CCCCUUAGAGGCGAAGUUGGCCUUGAGCUGGUCCACGGUGGCGAAGGGUGGUGGCAAGUUGGGGAGUGUCUCAUUACUGAAGGAAACAAGUCCAUCGUAACGGCCAGCUGGCAUGUCGAAGUAGACCUUCUUGUUGCUGAGGAAGUAGGUGGCAUCACGCCCAGCGAANNNNNNNNNNNNNNNNNNNNNNNNNNNNNNNNNNNNNNNNNNNNNNNNNNNNNNNNNNNNNNNNNNNNNNNNNNNNNNNNNNNNNNNNNNNNNNNNNNNNUGAGGAGCGCAUCUAAUUUUCAAAGCAUCAAUAUCACAAGACAUCCUAUCAACGUUCUUAGCCAAAUCGUUCAUUUUGAGUAGUUUUUCCUCUAUGGACGCAUUGAAAAUCUUUUGAGGGUUGAUGAACUCUUUGAUAUUACUCUCUAAAUCAGAGGGUAAUUUGUUGUGAUUUCCAUAAGUGUUGUUGUAGGAAUUUCCAUAAUUGUUAGAGGAGUUACUAGGAAAAGGCCUAGGAACAUAGUUUCCUCUAAAAGCAUUGUUGUUGCGAAAAUUGUUCCUACCAACAAAAUUAACGUCCAAACUAGCGUUGCUACUCUCAAUCAAGGAAGAUAGUGGCAUGUCAUUAGGAUCUAAAGGAGCAUUUCUACUAGCAACCAAAUUCAUCAACUCGUCCAUCUUAGCACUAAGCGAGUUAAUUUCUUCUAUAGCGUGUACCUUCUUGCUAGCAGGUGACCUUUCAGUGUGCCACUGAGAGUAGUUGGUCAUGAUGUUGUCUAGGAGUUUUGUAGCGUCUCCUAACGUGAUUUCCAUGAACGUUCCACCUGAGGCGGAGUCCAAGAUAUUGCGAGAAGCGAAAUUCAAGCCAGCGUAAAAGAUUUGUAUAAUCAUCCACAAACUCAAGCCAUGAGCGGGACAAUUUCUAAUCAUAAGCUUCAUCCUCUCCCAAGAUUUUGCAACGUGUUCAUGAUCAAGUUGCUUGAAAUUCAUGAUAUCGUUACGUAAGGAGAUGAACUUAGCCAGCGGAAAAUACUUGGAUAUGUAAGCAUAUUUGCACUUAUCCCAAUAAUUGAUACUAUUUUUAGGCAAAGAAGAAAACCAAGUUUUUGCGCGAUCUCGCAACGAGAAAGGANNNNNNNNNNGCUUCAACUUAAUCACGUCAUUAUCCACAUCUCUUUUCUUUUGCAUAUCGCAAAGCUCAAUGAAGGUAUUCAGAUGGGAUGCAACAUCCUCACUAGGAAGGCCAGAGAAUUGUUCUUUCAUAACAAGAUUCAGCAAAGCUGCGUUGAUUUCAUACGAUUCCGCACUAGUGGCGGGAGCAAUCGGAGUACUAAUAAAAUCAUUAUUAUUGGUACUCGAGAAGUCGCAAAGUUUGGUGUUUUCAGCCAUGGUGACUUCAACAAACAAACAAGCACACAAGCAAGCAAGAAAACCGGCAAAAAGGCAAAAAGCAAAAGAAAACGACAAAGGAGAAAGGCAAAUGAAAACGGCAAAUGUGAAGUGGGGGAGAGGAAAACGAGAGGCAACUGGCAAAAAAGUAAAUGCAAGAGAUGAGUUUGUUAGACCUACUUGGAUAGAUAUCUCCUUCCCCAACAACGGCGCCAGAAAUACUUCUGCUACUUCAACAAAAGACCUUCCAACGGCGCCAGAAACACGUGCUGACGGGAGACUGUUCUUGUCUUGAUUCUCCUCAGCAACGGCACCAGGAAUCAUUCUGCUACGGCUACGCCUUUAGGGACUUCCUAGGAAAAUAUGCAAAUGAUUUCACCCAUGGCCUUGGAGCCUUGCGUUGGCGUUCUUUCGAAGCGGAAAGGGUGAUGUAGCGCAGCGGUGGUAGGUAUUUCCCACAGUUUGAGAACCAAGGUAUCGAUCGAGUGAAGGAGUAUCACAAGUACCUGCACAAACACAAAAAGCUUGCUCCCAACGCUAUGAAUGGGUUGUCAAUCCCUUAUAGAUUGUUCGCCAAGUAAGAACUGAAAGCAACAAAAUAACAAAGCAAAGUAAAAGCGAAAGUGGAAACGAUAGGUGUGAAUAAACCCGGGGGCCGUAGUGUUUACUAGUGGCUUCUCUCAUGAAAGCAAGUAGACGAUGGGUGAACAAAUUACUGUCGAGCAAUUAUAGAACCGCGCAAAGUCGUGACGUCAUCUAUGACAAUAAUUAUAUCUAUAGGCAUCACGUCCAAAACAAGUAGACCGAUACUUUCUNNNNNNNNNNNNNNNNNNNNNNNNNNNNNNNNNNNNNNNNNNNNNNNNNNNNNNNNNNNNNNNNNNNNNNNNNNNNNNNNNNNNNNNNNNNNNNNNNNNNAGAGGAGAUUUUGAAACGGAGUCCAAACGGAAGAAAAUCCCCGAAAAGAUUUUUUCUGGAACGGAAAAAGAUCGGAGAACUUAGAAGCCAAGCCAGAAGAGCCCCAGGGGCCCCACAAGCCCCCACCCCGCGGCCAGGGGGGGCGCCAUCCAGGCUUGUGGGCCCCCUGGAGGUCUCCUGACCUAGAUCUCGCGCCUAUAUAUUCCCAAAUAUUCCCAAAAAAUCCAGAGACGAUCGCAAUCACUUUUCUGCCGCCGCAAGCUUCUGUCUCCGCAAGAUCCCAUCUGGGGCACGUUCUGGUGCCCUGCCGGAGGGGAGAUUCAGACACGGAGGGCUUCUUCAUCAACAACAUGACGUCUGCGAUGAUGCGUGAGUAGUUCACCAUAGACCUACGGGUCCAUAGCUAGUNNNNNNNNNNNNNNNNNNNNNNNNNNNNNNNNNNNNNNNNNNNNNNNNNNNNNNNNNNNNNNNNNNNNNNNNNNNNNNNNNNNNNNNNNNNNNNNNNNNNNNNNNNNNNNNNNNNNNNNNNNNNNNNNNNNNNNNAUAUCCGAUGUAAUCUUCUUUUGCGGUGUGUUUGUCAAGAUCCGAUGAAUUGUGUAUUUAUGAUCAGAUUAUCUAUGAAUCUUAUUUGAGUUUCUUCUGAUCUCUCUUAUGCAUGAUUUCAUAUCCUUGUAAUUCUCUUCGAGUUGUCGGUUUUGUCUGGCCAACUAGAUUUAUGAUUCUUGCAAUGGGAGAAGUGCUUGGUUUUGGGUUCAUACCGUGCGGUGACCUCACCCAGUCAUAGAAGGGGUAGCGAGGUACGCAUCGUGUUGUUGCCAUCAAGGGUGAAAAGAUGGGAUUUUGAUCAUUGGUUUGAGAUUAUUCCUCUACAUCAUGUCAUCUUGCUUAAAGCGUUACUCUGUUCGUCAUGANNNNNNNNNNGGAUAGCGGUCGAUGUGUGGAGUAAUAGUAGUAGAUGCAGAAAGUAUCGGUCUACUUGUCUUGGACGUGAUGCCUAUAUGCAUGAUCAUUGCCUUAGAUAUCGUCAUGACUUUGCGCGGUUCUAUCAAUUGCUCGACAGUAAUUUGUUNNNNNNNNNNNNNNNNNNNNNNNNNNNNNNNNNNNNNNNNNNNNNNNNNNNNNNNNNNNNNNNNNNNNNNNNNNNNNNNNNNNNNNNNNNNNNNNNNNNNAUGGACCCGUAGGUCUAUGGUGAACUACUCACGCAUCAUCGGAGAGGUAAUGGUGUUGAUGAAGAAGCCCUCCGUAUCCGAAUCCCCACUCCGGCACGGCACCAGAACGUGCCCCAGAUGGGAUCUUGCGGAGACAGAAGCUUGCGGCGGCGGAAAAGUACUUUCGAUGAUCUCCUGAUUUUUUGUGGAAUUUUUGGAGAUAUAUAGGCGCAAAACCUAGGGCAAAGGAGGUCCAGGGGGCCCACANNNNNNNNNNUGGCCACGAGGUGGGGGCUUGUGGGGCCCUUGGGGCCCCCUGCCUUGGCUCUCAAGUCUCCUGAUCUUCUUCUUUUACGGAAAAAAUCUUUUUGGGGAUUUUAUUCCAUUUGGACUCCGUUUCAAAAUCUCCUCUAAAAGGGGUAAAAAACAUGGAAAAACCAGGAACUGACACUUGGCACUGUGUUAAUAAGUUAGUCCCAAAAAAUAUAUAAAAGGCAUGCAAAACAUCCAAAGUUUGACAAGAUACUAGCAUGAAAUUAUCAGAAAUUAUAGAUACGUUGGAGACGUAUCAACCUCCUCAAUCACUUUGAGGUUGGUUCCAAAUAUCAGUAUGUCAUCAACAUAUAAGCAUAAUAUAACUCCUUCGCCCCCACCAUGGCGAUAGUAUACGCAUUUGUCAGCUUCAUUAAAAAUGAAGCCAAUAGGUGUCAGAGUUGUAUUAAACUUCUCAUGCCAUUGCUUAGGUGCUUGUAUCAAGCCAUAUAAAAGAUUUCCCGAACUUACACACAUUUCCUUCCUAGCCAUCUAUCACAAAGCCAUCUAACUGUUGCAUAUAGAUUUCCUCGUCUAGCUCUCCAUUUAGGAAAGUCGUCUUGACAUCCAUUUGAUGAACGAGAAGACCAUGUGAGGCCGCUAACGAGAGUAGUACUCGAAUGGUGGUCAGUCUAUCCACAGGCGAAUAAGUGUCAAAGAAAUCUUGUUCUUCUUUCUGGGCAUAGCCCUUGGCCACAAGCCUAGCCUUGUACUUUUCAAUUGUACCAUCGAGCCUAAGCUUCCUUCUGAACACCCACUUACAUCCCAAUGGUUCCCAACCAUAGGGACGAUCAGUAAUUUGCCAUGUCCCAUUAGCCAUGAUGGAAUCCAUCUCGUUAUGGGCCACAUCUUUCCACUAGUCAGCAUAUGAAGAUGCAUAAGCUUGUGAAAUAGAAGUGGGAUUAUCAUCCACAAGGUACACGAGGAAAUCAUCACCAAAGGUCUUUGCAGUCCUUUGUCUCUUGCCCCUACCAAGGGUUUCCUCGUCAUCCUCCUCAUGAUUUUUAUCAUGUGUUUGUUCAUAAUAUUCCGUAGGAAUGGCAAGCUCACUAGUCUCCUCAGAUUCCUGUCUAGAAGUGCUUUGCAUAUCUCUCAUGGAAAAGAUAUCCUCAAAGAAUGUAGCAUCCUUAGGCUCCAUAAUUGUACCGACCUUCACAUUAGGUACCUCGGAUUUCACUAUUAGAGAUCUAUAGCCAACGAUAUUCUUAGCGUAGCCCAAAUUAACGCAGUCCACGGUCUUUGGUCCAAGCUUACGCUUUUAGGGGAUCAGCACAUUGACUUUCGCCAAGCAACCCCAAGUACGUAAGUAGGAGAGCGUCGUCCUUCUCUUCAACCACUCCUCAUAGGGAGUGACCUCAUUAUCUUUUGUCAGAACCUUAUUCAAGACAUGACACGAAGUCAAUAUAGCCUUCCCCCACUUUGAAUAAACCCGAUGUAUCUAACAUGGCGUUAACAAAAUCAGUUAGAGUAUGGUUUUUCCGCUCGGCAACCUCAUUUGACUAGGGUGAAUAGGGAGGCAUCCUAUCAUGAAUAAUGUUGUGUUCUGCAUAAAAAAGAAUCAAACUCAUUUGAGAAGUACUCUCCACCACGAUCGGACCGGACUCGUUUAAUUUUCUUUUCAAGUUGAUUCUCAACUUCUGCCUUAUAGAUUUUAAAGUAGUCUAGAGCCUCAUCUUUAGUAUUUAACAAAUACAUAUAGCAAUAUCUAGUGGAAUCAUCUAUCAAUGUCAUGAAGUAUUUCUUUCCACUUUUAGUCAACACGUCAUUCAUCUCACAAAGAUCAGAAUGUAUGAGUUAUAACGGCGCCAAGUGUCUCUCCUAUGCAGCCUUGUGAGUCUUGCGAGGUUGCAUUGCUUGCACACACGAAUAUCACUUCAAACAUUUGGCUAAAGUAAAACUCGGGAUUAAAUUCAGUUUUGCUAGCCACGACAUAACACCGAAACUAAUGUGAAGAAGACGUGAAUUCCAAACUUCAGAUUCAUUAACACUUGAAUGAAUAUUGUUCACGACUUUAUUACAAAAAUCUGCAAGGGAAAGGCAGAACAGACCUCCGCAUUCAUAACCUUUUCCAACAGAAAGUUCAUAUUUCAUAACAACUACUUUAUUAGACUCGAAGACCAACUUAAACCCUUCUCUACAUAGAAGGGAGCCACUAACAAGGUUCUCCUUGAUGGCGGGGACAAUAUUCAUGUUCCUUGGUUAUACCUAAUUGAUCUUCAUGUACAUAUACAUGAUCCUGUAGAGAUGUCGUAGUCCACGUGUCUUGCUUUCAGUUUUCUCGUCAUGUAAAUUUGCCUGUAUGCCGAAUCAGAAAAAUCCAGCAUGUGGACAAAUUGCUUCGUCAUGGAAUAUAUGGUCAGGCGUGAAACAGAUCUGUAUUGCAGCAAUCUGCAAGAUUCACAGCUACUGGUUUUAUCCUCAUAUAUUACUCUCUGUGUUAUCUCUUAUUAUUGCUUUGUCUCUUCCGUAUCAUGUAACCCUUUUAUUGAAGAAGAAUGUAUGCUAGAUAAGAAAAAUCCGUUUCUUCAUGGAAUACAUGGUUUGCAUAUAUUCAGGAGUACUCAGUGAUGGCAGCAAAGUAGGCAAGUUUUGGUGGGAUUUUUUUUAUCCAAUUCACAGAAUCAUUACAAACUAGAAGACACCCUGCACAUUGCGGUUUGUAGGCGUAACUCUAAUGCGCUCGAAAAAUCUAAAACAAAAGCAAAAAUAUUUAGGUUCAGGGGUCACAACAUUAUGAGGACCUCAAAAUGCAUGUCUUGUUAUUUCUCUACUGACAUCAGGCGGAGUACAAAACAUAAUAUUUUUUCAAUUCUAGCGAGUAGAAACUACCAACUACUUAAGCACCAGUAACACAACCAUGCAUGGAAUACACAAAUUAGAUGCCACAGUUCUUUCAUAGCAGUUGUGCUCAGUUCACCAAGUAAGGUAAUAUCAUACUCCCUCCGUUUCUAAAUAUAAGACCUUUUAGAGAUUGUACUAUAAACUACAUACGGAUGUAUAUAGACAUAUUUUAGAGUAUAGGUUCACUCAUUUUGCUCCGUACGUAGUCUUCUAGUGAAAUACCUAAAAGGUCUUAUAUUUUGAAACGGAGGGAGUACUAUCAUAGUAAUGCUUCUUGGGGUUUAGUAAUGCAAGAUUGUUCUGUAAUAUCAGAAACCUGUGCGAGUAGUAUGAGCUAUCAAAAGGCAAUCGUAUUUAUAUUAAUCCUGCCACGAUUUCACUCAAAGCUUAACACAAAGUAUUUAUCGUGGAUAUAAAUCUGAAACUUUUCUAAAGGGGGUACACCGAAGCAAAUUUCGUAAAGGAAUUGUCAAAUAACAAGUGAUGCACUCAAAAUAGCACUAGAAAUCUUGACAGGAGAACAUAUUUUGUUUCCUCUAUGGACAGAUAUGGUGCAAUCUCCUGAAAUUUUGAUCUAGCGAAAGUGGGUAUUGUGAUGUGAUGCCUACGAGGAAUGAACAGUGUACUCCUUAAUGCCAGGCUCCUGGUUUGGAAUGCACAAUCAUGAAUCCAGCUAAAUAUGAUGUAACACAGUUCAACCCAAUAACAUGUAACAGCAUAACUGAACACAGAAACAUCCAUGCUACCGUAAACACAAAUUCCAUGUCAAGAGAUACACGGACAGAAUGAGCAGAACCAUCUCUUCAAGAAAUAGGAUUAGUUAACAACCCUAGCAAGUUCGCUGACAGAAAACAGCAAGAAGUUACACAGAUUGACUGAGAAUGCAUACAGUACUUGUUCCAAUGUUAGUAUCGAAGGAUUUAACAGCCUCUAGUUCACGGCCUGAGCUUCCGCCACAGCCAUGGGAUCUGCUUCAUCCGUUUCACCGUUCUUUUCUGCGGCUACUUUCUCCCUGUGAAGCCUUUCUGCUUCUUUCAUUGCUGCAUUCUGCUCUGUCUGAAGGCGCUUCAUUUCCUCUUCUUGCUGCUGCCUCUCAAACCAAGUAUCCGCAUCCGCCCAAACUGAACAGAGAAACAUACCAGUGAGCACCCAUAACGUUAUAUUUGAAGACUCUAAACAUGAAAACACGGGAAGCAUGAGCAUUGGAAGCACACACUAAUCCUUCAAUCUUUGUGCAUUAGUUUGCCCCAUAGAAUAAAAAUUGCAGAAGAAUGGCAAAGAAGAUAACUUGUAUGAUGUGCUAAACAGAAGAUUGCAGAUCAACUAUGUGCAUCGAGAAAUAAUAAAUAAUAAUAUGGGGAACUUACAAGUGUACAUGUCAUGCUUGCUACAUAAUUUGGACAAAAGGACUUAAGAAUGGCUUUAGUUGUUUCAGACAGAAAGAAGCUCCGCUGAACAAAUAUACCAAUGACAACUGCAGCAACGCGUACAAACUAUUGGAGAUAAUACAUGUCAAUACAUAUUCUGCGGCAAGUUUAUAAAAUAGCUUUUGGGGAAACAGUGAUUUAGAAACUCAUCUAAAACGCUUUGUUAUUUGUACCACCAGCUUCUAUAGUUUNNNNNNNNNNCCCUCCGUCCCAAAAUAACUGUCUCAACUUUGUACUAGCUCUAGUAUAAAGUUAUACUAAGCUUAAGACACUUAUUUUGGGACGGAGGGAGUACUAGCCAUGAUAUGUUGCCUGGAACCCAAGCAAAGGUAGAAGUUGUGCUCAAUGGGAUGCUGCGCCGUGAAACCACGCCCCCAGAGCAUGGUGGCAGGAGGGUAGAGAGAAAGAAAGAGACAGGGAAGAAGUAUCACUGUAAUUUUUCUGUUCAUAUCGUGAAUACCAAGAAGAGUUUCNNNNNNNNNNUGUUUUUGGUAUAUAACAAAUCAACCAAGUUCAUUAUACUAUUUGCAACAGUUAGUUACCAUUUGGAGCAUAGGCUUUUGUACAAAAUGAAACAUUCACUCUAAUUGAAUAUGAGUUCUGAAGAAAUUCUUACAAGAAUGUUGUGUUGAAAACAGAGCCUAAAAUUACAUAAUACGUAAAAUGUUCUGAUGCGAAAGAAGAACUCAGCUUGAGUACCAGUAACAUAUCACUGUAAUUUUUCUGUUCAUAUCGUGAAUACCAAGAAGAGUUUCACAGUGUGAACAGCUGUGGACUCCUAGAUGGACUUCCUUACAGUUUCUUCCUGAUAGACAUGUUCUACUGCAGUUCUUUCACUACAGAGGGACCGUUAAGUUCAAGCUUAGUUCCAUGUACUAGCCAUGAUAUGUUGCCUGGAACCAAAGCAAAGGUAGAAGUUGUACUCAAUGGGACGCUGCGCACCAAACCACGCCCGCAGAGCUUGGUGGNNNNNNNNNNNNNNNNNNNNNNNNNNNNNNNNNNNNNNNNNNNNNNNNNNNNNNNNNNNNNNNNNNNNNNNNNNNNNNNNNNNNNNNNNNNNNNNNNNNNAAAAAAUAUAAAACCAGCACACAUUGUCAUUUUACAUCACAUACUUAGCAAACAAAAAUAUAAACUUUGAUUUUGAGUCGGUCAACGUUUUUGUGAAAAAGUUGACUCUUUUUCAAAUGAGCACAAAUAAUUCAAAAAAAAUAAAAAAAAAUCAAAACUUGUGCCCAUGGUCCUAUUAUGUUGCAUAGCAACCUAAUAUAUAUAUGAACAUGGUUUAUAUACAUUUGCAGGAAAAUGCCUUUAAGAAGAUGACGUUUACCCUACCUUAUGAGGUCGUUUGUCACACAUUUUUCAUGACCAUGGCUCUAACUUAACAAAAGAGCUCAGAAUGAUGACAUAACAACCAUAUUUGAGUUGUUGUGGUAGCAUUGAAAUAUCAUACCCGAGUCAAAAGUUCAACUUACUCCAAAUUUGAAUUUAAACCGAAAUUUUUAUUUUUCAUCAAAUUUCAAAUUCAUUUUGAAAACAAUAAUAAUCAAACAAGUUUGAUGGAAACAUGUGGGUACAUAGUGCCCAACAAAUUUUAUUACAUGCCAUAAAUUUCAAAUGAUCAACAGUUCUAUCUCUUCCGACCACGCCGUGUACCCUUCUUCGCCUUGGCAUUUCUUGUUUUUGGUUGUACUGCACACACAAGUUCACUUAUCAUCUUGGUUUUCUUCACUGGACUCGAUGCUAUCGCCUCAUGAAACUCGAUAUCAGCUUCAGUUUCGACAAUUUCGACAGUGUGCACAGCUUCAGUUUCAGUUUCGACAGUGUGCACAACUUCAGUUUCGACAGUGUGCACAGCUUCAGUUUCAGUUUCGACAGUGUGCACAACUUCAGUUUCGAAAGUGUGCACAGCUUUAGUUUCGACACUUGCAGCACCAAACUGUUCCAUCCACUGACUUGUUUGCCUUCUGCUGCCACUCACUCUUGCUCUUUUUGUUGGCCAACACUGUUCGACAACAAUAGGCUGACUUGGAAGCUUCCUCCUGAAAACAACAAAGCAUGUCACAUAUUUAUAAUUUAAACAAAAUCAGAAUAUGAACAAACACAGAUAAACAAGCACAUACUUUCUCGGAUUAGGAGGAGAGAAAAUGCAUAGUCUGGAUCCCUCUCUGUGCCCAAGUAUUUGGCACCUUUUGCAUCUGUUUUUGUUACCCUUUUGAGCCCUUUUUGGCUUUGCAUCUGUCUUCUCCUUCUUGCCCUUCUUACUACUCCCACCUUUUUCAAACCAUGCUUUGAAUCUACUCUGUUUAGGUCUGCCUGCCUUUCUUUUUGUUAGAGGAGGACACAUGGAAUAUUCAAGCGGCACUUCUGGCCACUGUUCCUGAUCUGUAAGAGGUGGAAUUGGAGUUGCAUAUGCAGCUCUGAAUUUUGCAACCGAAUAAUACUCAUGCAGAUAUGGAUGCAUAUUUAUUUUUGGUUGGCCGGCUAAGAAUAGAAUGACAUGAUCACAUGGUUUACCAGUGGCCUGCCAUUCGAGGCAACUGCAAUCAUGCAAUUCAGUGUUAACAACAUGCCUCCUUCCAGUCUUGUUAUCUCUAACUUCAGCACCCCACAGUGAUGAUUUUUCAACAGACAAAUGUGUAAGACCUCUGCUUCUGUUGACCACCUGUUGCACCACUGCUGGAAGUUUAUCACCUUGCAGACAAUCAGCAAUCUUUUUUCUCAAUUCCCACAGUCGCAUGAGCAUGAUCCUGAUUUGAUCAACCAUGUCAUGCACAGGCAAAUCUUUUAGCUGCUUCACCUUGUUGUUGAAACUUUCUGCCAAAUUGUUGUUGAUAUGGUCACACUUGAUGGCAGUGUUGAAUCCUGACCUGUACCAUAAUAAAGAAUGGUAGGUGUUCAACCAUGUACCAAACUCCUCACAUGUUGCCAUUACCUUACUAAGAUGAUAUGAAUGUGUCUGUUUAGUGUAAGAUCUUGCUGCUGGCCACAUUCUCCCAAAUUCAUCUCCUCUGAAUUUUUUGAUCAAAUUCAUCCACAAAUGGCCGAAGCACUCCCUUUGCUCAGCAUGUGGGAACACAUUUUUAACUGCAUUUUCUAGACCUUUGCAUGCAUCUGUGUGUAUUGCCAAAGGUGACACUGGCCCUAAGCAUCUUUUCAACUGCAUCAUGAACCAUGUCCACGAAGCCUCUGUCUCUGACUGAAACAAGCCAAUAGCAACUGGAAACAUCCAGUUAUGUCCAUCUAGAGCAUUACAUGCUGCCAACUGACCAUUCCACUUGCCUGUCAAAAAUGAUGAGUCUAUGCUCAAAUAUGGACGACAUCCUGCUUUGAAGCCAUCGAUGCAAGGCUUUAAAGCCAUAAAAAUUUUGGAGAAAUAAACCUUGCCAUCCUCUGAUACCUCAGUAUCUAUCUCGACAACACUGCCAGGUGACCUUUUCUCCACCUCUGCUUUGAAAUUGAAAAGCAGCCUAAAUGUGUUUGCCCAAUCACCAUACAAAUUCUUCAUUGCCCUUUGUUUAGCCUUCCCACUGUGGUAUAAUGUAGUUUAAUGGGGUACAACUUUUCCAAGUCUACUUGGAGUCUUUUUGCAGUAGUGCUGGGUGUUUUGGCCAAAAUUGGAGUUAUCUUUUCUGCAACCCAAAUUUGUGAUGUCAUGCUUGAUUUUUUUCUGUGAACUUGUGAGACAAGUAUGUUUAUUAGGGAUUUGGUUAACCCUGACAGUACUUCCAUCAGGCUGCAGUCUAGCAGAUAUGUACCACUUGCAAGCCCUCCUACCACUACCAUCAAAACCUCUGCACUUAGCAUAAAACUUCUUUCUAUCAGUCCAAACUGUCUUGGCAUCAAACUGAUGUCUGACUGCAUAAGUCUUGAAAGACAACCUGAACUCAUCCAUGUUUGGCCACAACUUCCCCACUCGAAUGACAGGGUUUUCCUUGUCAUACACAUGCACUAGCUCUUCAUCAUGUGCAUCAUCUACAUCAUCUGCAGCAUCUUCCAUCAACUGUUCAUCUACAUCACUCAAUUAUCUGUCAUCAUUAUCACUUGUAUUAGCUUCAUCCCUCUCCUCCUCAUCUCUGUCAUCCACUGGAAUGCCAAAUAGUUUGGCCAUCUCAGUAUCAGCAAUUGGUGGAAUGACCAAAUCAGUAGGCUCCUCCAACUCAACUGCAUUCCAAUCAACAACAUUAACAUUUCCCUCUUCUGCAUGUGCAUUAGCUCCAUCAGCUAUUACUGUUAGAUCCGUCAUAAUGGGAACGAUAUGCCUCUGCGAAGCCCAAUCAUCAUCUGCCUUCUGCAUAGCCAAGUGUGACGGCACAUAACCUACCUUCGAGUCAAUAUUCAGAUCAACGAGCUCAGCAAAAAAUUCAGCCCUGAGGCUUGCCCAGCCCUCUUGCCUAUCGAUUUCAACAACAAUAUCUUCACCAUCUUCAAUUCUGACAUACUCUCUUUGAAAUCAUCAUACCGCAAUAGUGAAACCUGUUACUCUGGACCCCAAAGCACAGUUUCCCCAAUUUUCUCCACCAAUUUCCUCACUGCCUUCUCUUCCAUCGACUCUAUCUCAAUGGGAUCAAUUUCUGCACAAUCAACCUCCCAUUUCGCAAUUAUGUCUCUCUGGAUGUUCUCAAUGCUACCAUCAACUAAUUUUGCCGUCGAUGGAAAGAAAUUGAUUGCAAAUUCAAAUGUUUCAGGAGCAGCAUUCCCUGCCCCUCUGUUAUAGACGGGCGGGCAGCGUCAGACAGAGCAAAGAUUGCCUUCAAUCGCACUCACAAAAUGGGCGGGAAGGGAGGCGCAUUACCUGUUCGAAGCUGAAUCUGGCGGCUUCUUCUCGACCUGACCACGGGCUCCUCUCACCGCGCCGCCCCCUCUCACCUUCUAUCGAUUUCACCAAGCAAAACAGAGAGCUCAGAUCUACAAGGCGGAGGGGAUUGGGACUAGAGUAUUGAAUUCACUCACCACCAUGGCCGCCGCCGCCGAAAGGGCGCUAUGCCGAGAAAGAGGGCUCCUCCGCCGUAGUCGCCGCCGGAGCUGAAGAUGUCGGGCAGUUUCGGACAGCUCUAGUCGGGCAGUUUCACGAGAUGCGGUGCUAAUUAAUUUGGGCCCAAAUUAGGUAAGACAUGACUUAACGCAAAUUGGACUAGUUGACUAAGGUUUUAUCGCAUGUGUGGCCGUGAGCUAUUUUCUUCCUGCAAACCGUCGCACGAGAGCUAUUUCAUCGAACGACGUCCCAUUCCAUCCAAUUCGCAGGAAAGACGUUGCACAGGAGCUAUUGGCCCGCUCUCUCUCUGCUACCUGAUCUACAGAGAGCUUACCUGGGGAGGAAGAAGGAGAUGGGGAGAGGUGGCAACGCUAGGGGGGACGCGGAACCCUAGGCUACUAGCCACGCACGCCGAGGCUAUAUGAGCCGCGGAUGGGACGGACGGCGUCAAACUCUCUCGGUCUCUCUCUGAAGUUCUGACGGAAAGUGUGCACAAGGACAACGACGUCACGAGGAAGGGGACGGACGUGCUAGGUGGGCUCUCGCUGGGGAACAGAGAGAAGAAAUGGGCCUCGGGAGAGAAAGAGAGGCCCAAGUUGGCGAUAGGUAAAGGAAAAGAAACCCACUGGGGUUUCUUAUUUAAAACCAACACAAACAACCAAAUAAAAACACAGGCUAAACUGAGAUGCUAAAAAUAAAGCAGAAAAUACCCCUGGUCAUAAGGAAUUAUGACAUAUUUGAAUAAAAUAUAAAAGGAAUAUUUGGAGCAACUAAAUAUUUACAAAACAGAAUUAAUGGAUCUGUUUUGUGAUUAUUUGCACCACUAUAACACAGCCUCAAAACACUAAAUGCAUAUCAUCACAUCCACCACAAAACAUACUAAAACAUGGGCACUUUUGAAAUAGAGAAGGAGCAAAAGAAUCUUGGCUUUGAGAUAAAAGAGAGGAAGAAGUUUUAAAUCUAGUUGGAAUCCACAUAGCUUCCUACUAACAAUUACACCACUCCACACACUUCACAUAAACCACACAUCAUCACAUGACAUACUCUACAUCACAAGGACUCACAAGCAACAAACACAAAAGACAAGAAAGAAAUAGAUGCAUGCAUGCAAAAGGAAACAUGACAAGGUGACAUCACAUGAAAUAACACAUGCAUUGAGCUCUCAUGGCAAUGAUAAGAUGGACCCACAUACAAAAAGUUCCAAAUAUGGCAAGUUACACUUCUGGGGCAUUACAUCGAGCUUGGAGAGGAGAAAGCUUAAGUGUGGCUCGGGCAUUUCAUCGAACACCGCAUGUGCAUGGCAUAGAAGGGUGUCAAGAGGAUGGCAUGCACACCUCACACAGCCAAAAACAGAGAAGAGGGUGGGUAGGUAUAUAUAGGCAUCUCUUAAGUCCUGGUUCCAUCUCCCAACCGGGACUAAUGCUCCGCGACACGCCACGUGUUAGUCGCUGGAUCUUUAGUUCCGGUUUUUGGCACAAACCGGGACUAAUGCGUCGAACCGAACCGGGACUGUUGCCCCGCGAGGCCCUGACAGCUCGAAUCGGAACCAAUGCCUGGCAUUGAUCGCGGUUUUAUUUCGACCCGGGGCUAAUGUGAUUUGGGGAUGCGGCCGAAAGCCUCAUUUUCUACUAGUGUUGUAUCUUUUUCUCGUCCUUCGUCGUUCUUCAAGAUUGGAGGGCCUCAAAUCCAUGAGGUACGCCGCACGUCGUGACGAGAUUCCUCCGGGACGUGUGGGGUUUCGGGUCUACAAAAGCGUCCACCGGAUUACUUGCGUACUGCACUUUCGGUCAGGUCUCUUUCGACGUGAGCUGCGGUGCAUCAUCCCCCGUGUUGAGGGUACACGGUGACAUGUUUGUGUGCGAACAGAAUGUCAUGCAAAAUUCUUUCUGCCUCUGCACUUUCAAAAGGAGAAUCAUAAGCACUUUCAAAAAAUUCUUUCUGCCUCUUCCCGUGGAAGAAAUCUACACUCAAACGUGUCCACACGGUAGGAUACAGACACACCAUUAGCAGUUUAGCACUACAACUGACUGUACUACGAUCAAGUCCAGACAUCAUCAAAGUUGACUGCCAUUUAAUUUCAGAGUUAUAUAUAAGAGUUGUGUAACGCAGAUCAAUCACUCCGCAGUUAGCGCUACACGACCAGCGAAAUAUCCAACGACGUGCUAAUCCUCUCCAAUGAUCACCCUAGCAGUAGUACACGACGCAAUGUCAAAGCAUCUCAUGCUCAUUUCCCAGUUGAGCUUCUCGUCCGGUACAAUGGACGAUGUGCCGGAGCAGCAGCAGCUAGCUAUCCGGUAUAAUGUCAAGUUGCCAACUGCUUGAACAAGCUAGCUGUUAACUGUUAAUCUGUUAGUUGGCAACGUGAUUAGUAGUUGAGCUUUGACAUUCCGGGCGGGUGUUAAUUAGUUGCAGCCCAUCCGUGGCAGCAGUUCACCACUGAUCCAAAGUGUACGUGAUCAUCUAGGAAAACGUGUGCGUGCAGUCGGUCGGCAGUUUCCCAAAUACUGUUAGCACUUAUCUAAUUCGCUCCAAUAAUCACCCGCGCAGUACACGAUGCAAUAACAAAACAUUCCCCGAUUACUCAUCGCCUUGUCGCCCAGUCUAAUGUGCUAGAGCACAGCGGCUGCUCAACUAACAUCUCGGCAGCAAUGUCAACUGCUUGAGCUGUACCUCCAUUGUGCUCCCCACGUUGGCUUCCCACUUGCCUCUUCCGGAAACAUUCUCGCACGAUUGUCAUCCCGAGCACAGGCUCUCCCCCUUGGAGCGAGCUAGCAAGCUACAAAUAGGCAGGCAGAGCAGCGUGUCUUCUCAUCAGUCAUCACCCAAGCUGAGCUGAUCACGACAAGCACUAGGAUCAGCCCCCCGAGCUAGCGACCACCAUGGCCAAGCUCGCCGCCGUCCUGACUCUCAUCGCCCUGCUCGCCUGCACGGCGCGUACCUGCCAAGCAGGCUACGGGUAUCCCAACCCGGUCCCGUCCACAGGUAGCCCUCCGCCGCCAUACGCCCCUAGCACACCUAGUCCUCCGCCGCCCACACAUGCAACACCUAGUCCACCACCGCCAUACACCCCGAGCACACCUAGCCCUCCACCGCCCACCCCAGCUACCCCAAGUCCUCCACCGCCAUACACCCCAAGCACGCCUAGUCCUCCACCACCCACCCCAGCUACCCCAAGUCCUCCGCCGCCAUACACUCCGACCACCCCUAGCCCACCACCGCCCACCCCUAGCCCACCUACCAAAGGACUCGCGGUCGGCUACUACAAGAAGUCAUGUCCUCGUGCUGAAGACAUCGUGAGGAAAGUUGUGAGCGACGCCAAUGCCGGUAUCAUGGCUGGACUCAUCCGUCUCUUCUUCCACGAUUGCUUCGUCAGGGUAAGAUUUUUUGACACUAGAACCUUCACACAUAUAAAUGUUUAUUGUGUCAUGAAAUAUAUGUAGGCUUAUGUGCGUGUGGCGUCUAACGGUUUAUUUGUAGGGUUGUGAUGCCUCCGUGCUUCUCGAUCAAGUGGACCCCAAUAGCCCAACAGAGAAGUUUGGCAUCCCGAACCUGAGCUUGCGUGGCUUCGAGGUGAUCGAUGCCGCCAAGGACAGAAUCGAGAAGGAGUGUGGGAGCGACGUCGUCUCAUGCGCUGAUGUUGUGGCUUUCGCUGGGCGUGAUGCCACCUACUUCCUCAGCAACAAGAAGGUCUACUUCGACAUGCCAGCUGGCCGUUACGAUGGACUUGUUUCCUUCAGUAAUGAGACACUCCCCAACUUGNNNNNNNNNNNNNNNNNNNNNNNNNNNNNNNNNNNNNNNNNNNNNNNNNNNNNNNNNNNNNNNNNNNNNNNNNNNNNNNNNNNNNNNNNNNNNNNNNNNNUAUUCCCUUCCUUCAUAUCGAUGAUAGCACCAAUAGUCCUUAGGAAAUGUCUACCAAGAAUAAUAGGGCAUGAAGGAUUGCAAUCAAUGUCAAGCACAAUGAAAUCAACGGGUACAUAGUUCCUAUUUGCAAUAAUAAAAACAUCAUUGAUCCUUCCCAUGGGUUUCUUGACAGUAGAAUCAGCAAGAUGCAAAUUAAGAGAACACUCUUCAAUCUUAUUCAAACCUAGCACAUCACAUAAAGACUUUGGAAUCGCAGAAACACUAGCACCCAAAUCACACAAAGCANNNNNNNNNNAAUUAAAACCCAGAACAUCACAAAAAAGACUUUGGAAUCGCAGAAACACUAGCACCCAAAUCACACAAAGCAUUGCAUUCGUAGUUUUUGAUUUUGAUUUUGAUGGUAGGUUCCCACUCAUCAUGAAGCUUUCUAGGGAUAGAGACUUCCAAUUCAAGUUUCUCUUCAAGAGUUUUUAUCAUAGCUUCGACGAUAUGAUCGGUAAAGGCUUUGUUUUGGCUAUAAGCGUGUGGAGAGUUUAACAUGGAUUGCAUCAAAGAAAUGCAUUCAAUCAAGGAGCAACUAUCAUAAUUGAAUUCCUUGAAAUCCACAGUAGUAAUUUCAUUACUACUCAAAGUUUUAACAUCUUCUACUCCACUUUCAAUGCUUUUAGCAUCAAGAUAGAUGGACUCCGAAUCAUUGGGGCACUUUUCAANNNNNNNNNNUUUCCUUGAAAUCCACAGUAGUAAUUUCAUUACUACUUAAAGUUUUAACGUCUUCUACUCCACUUUUAAUGAUUUUAGCAUCAAGAUAGAUGGACUCCGAAUCAUUGGGGCACUUUUCAACCAAAUUGGAUUCAUAUCCAGCCCCAUAAUCAUUAGGUUUGACACAAGAAAACAAAGAUUCAAUGGGAGUCACACCAAGCACUUNNNNNNNNNNNNNNNNNNNNNNNNNNNNNNNNNNNNNNNNNNNNNNNNNNNNNNNNNNNNNNNNNNNNNNNNNNNNNNNNNNNNNNNNNNNNNNNNNNNNAUUCUUACUAGUAGGUGACCUUUCAGUGUGCCACUGAGAGUAGUUCGUCAUGAUGUUGUCUAAGAGCUUUGUGGCUUCCCCUAACGUGAUUUCCAUGAACGUUCCACCUGAGGCGGAGUCCAAGAUAUUUCUAGAAAUGAAAUUCAAGCCAGCGUAAAAGAUUUGAAUAAUCAUCCAAAGAUUCAAGCCAUGAGCGGGACAAUUUCUAAUCAUUAAUUUCAUUCUCUCCCAAGAUUGUGCAACAUGUUCAUGAUCAAGUUUCUUGAAAUUCAUGAUAUCAUUACGGAGAGAGAUAAUCUUAGCCGGCGGAAAAUACUUGGAUAUAUAAGCAUCUUUGCACUUAUCCCAAGAAUCGAUACUAUUUUUGGGCAAAGAAGAAAACCAAGUUUUUGCGCGAUCUCGCAACGAGAAAGGAAAAAAGCUUCAAUUUAAUCACGUCAGUAUCCACAUCUUUUUUCUUUUGCAUAUCGCAAAGCUCAAUGAAGGUAUUGAGAUGGGAUGUGGCCUCUUCACUAGGAAGGCCAGAGAAUUGCUCUUUCAUAACAAGAUUCAGCAAAGCGGCAUUGAUUUCGUAUGACUCCGCACUAGUGGCGGGAGCAACCGGAGUACUAAUAAAAUCAUUAUUAUUAGGGAUUAUUCCAUCUGUGCCCCCAAUUCCUUAGUUGUGCUCAGUUUUCUCCACGCUUCAAACUUUUGCUCACUUUUCCCCACUCCCUUAGCUGAAACUCUCACAAAUGUUCAUAACAGGCGUUUGCCGUCUUGGCCGUUAACUGACUUGUGGGGCCAUGUUUGACUCUGUUGACUGUGGAUGUGGCUUCGCUGGUUGGGCCGUGUUUGUGUUCAUAGGACGGGCCCGUUAGUUUGUUGGUAAUAAAUUAAAAAAGCCUACUAUCGAUGGAUGCAGCCUGCUAUGCAUGCCCGGCUUUGGCAUCGAUGUAGCCUGCUAUGCAUGCGAACACCGCCACGCAUGCAUCUAGUGACCUAGACCUAAACGCAUGCAUGCACGCCGACACGCACGCAUCAAUCCGUGCCGCACGGUUGCCGGUGGAUUCAGUCGCUCCGCAACGUCGUUUCACGCGUCGCAGGCAUACGUGCCGGUGGCAGAAGGGGCAGGCUGCACGCACGCUCGCGUCCAUAUGUCGAGGCAUCGGUUCACGCCGCACGGCUGCCGCUCGAUUCAGUUGUGCCGGUGGCAGAAGGGGCAGGCNNNNNNNNNNNNNNNNNNNNNNNNNNNNNNNNNNNNNNNNNNNNNNNNNNNNNNNNNNNNNNNNNNNNNNNNNNNNNNNNNNNNNNNNNNNNNNNNNNNNUUCACUGGGUGAGGUCACCGCACGGUAUGAACCCAAAACCAAGCACUUCUCNNNNNNNNNNCGACAAACACACCGCAAAAUAAGAUUACAUCAGAUAGAUCUCAUGAAGAUCAUGGAGAACUUUGUAUUGAAGAUCCAAGAGAGAGAAGAAGCCACUAGUUACUAGCUAUGGACCCGUAGGUCUAUGGUGAACUACUCAUGCAUCAUCGGAGAGGUCAUGGUAUUGAUGAAGAAGCCCUCUGUGUCCGAAUCUCCCCUCCGGCAGGGCACCAGAACGUGCCCAGAUGGGAUCUUGCGGAGAUAGAAGCUUGCGGCGGUGGAAAAGUGAUUGCGGUCGUCUCUUGAUUUUUUUUGGGAAUAUGUAGGCGCAAGAUCUAGGUCAGGAGACCUCCAGGGGGCCCACAAGCCUAGAUGGCGCCCCCUGGCCGCUUGGUGGGGGCUUGUGGGGCCCCUGGGGCUCUUCUGGCUUGGCUCCCAAGUUCUCCGAUCUUCUUCCGUUCCAGAAAAAAUCUUUUCGGGGAUUUUCUUCCGUUUGGACUCCGUUUCAAAAUCUCCUCUGAAAGGGGUCAAAAACAUGGAAAAAAUAGGAACUCGCACUUGGCACUGAGUUAAUAAGUUAGUCCCAGAAAAUAAAUAAAAAGCNNNNNNNNNNCAAAGGGGUCAAAAACAUGGAAAAACAGGAACUGUCACUUGGCACUGAGUUAAUAAGUUAGUCCCAGAAAAUAAAUAAAAAGCAUGCAAAACAUCCAAAGUUUGAAAAGAUAAUAGCAUGAAACCAUCAAAAAUUAUAGAUACGUUGGAGACGUAUCANNNNNNNNNNGUUGAUGAAGAAGCCCUCCGUAUCCGAAUCCCCCUCCGGCAGGGCACUAGAACGUGCCCAGAUGGAAUCUUGCGGAGACAGAAGCUUGCGGCGGCGGAAAAGUACUUUCAAUGAUCUCCUGAUUUUUUUUGUGGAAUUUUUGAGGAUAUAUAGGCGCAAAACCUAGGGCAAAGGAGGUCCAGGGGGCCCACAAGCCUGUGGGCCGCGGCCUCCCCCCCUGGCCGUGGGUUGGGGGCUUGUGGGGCCCCUGGGACCCCCCCUGCUUUGGCUCUCAAGUCUCCUUAUCUUCUUCUGUUACGGAAAAAAUCUUUUCGGGGAUUUUAUUCCGUUUGGACUCCGUUUCAAAAUCUCCUCUGAAAGGGGUCAAAACAUGGAAAAAAUAGGAACUGGCACUUGGCAUUGAGUUAAUAAGUUAGUCCCAAAAAAUAUAUAAAAGGCACGCAAAACAUCCAAAGUUUGACAAGAUAAUAGCAUGAAACCAUCUAAAAUAAUAGAUACGUUGGAGACGUAUCAAGCAUCCCCAAGCUUAACUCUUGCUAGUCCUCGAGUAGGGAAGUGAUAAAGAAUGAAUUUUUGAUGUGGAAUGCUACCUAGCAUAGUUGUCCUUUGCAACUUCUUUCACGUGACAUGAAUGUUCACAUCCGUAAGAUUCGAAAUGAUAGUUUGCUAUUGACAUGAAAACAAUAAUACUUCAAGCAAACUAGGAAGGUAGUCAUGAACUUUCAAAAUAACAAGGCCAAGGAAAGUUAUCCCUACAAAAUCAUAUAGUCUGGCUAUGCUCCAUCAUCCUCACACAACUAAUGUAAAUCNNNNNNNNNNGUAUUGGCCAAGUAAUUGUUUUCGCACUCUUACUUUCUCAAACUUUUUAUAACUAUCACGCAAUACAUGAGCGUGAGCCAUGGAUAUAGCACUAUAGGUGGAAUAGAGUGUGGUGGUGUUGUGAGACAAAAAGGAGGAGAUGGUCACAUUGACUCGGCGUAUCAAAGGGCUAUGGAGAUGCCCAUUAAUAGAUAUCAAUGUCAAUGAGUAGGGAUUGCCAUACAAGAGAUGCACUAGAGCUAUAAGUAUGUGAAAGCUCAAAAGGAGAACUAGUGGGUGUGCAUCCAACUUGCUUGCUCACGAGGACCUAGGGCAAUUUUGAGGAAGCCCAUCAUUGAAAUAUACAAGCCAAGUUAUAUAAUGAAGAUUCCCACUAGCAUAUGAUAGUGACAAAGCAAGAAGCUCUCAAUCAUGAAGAACAUGGUGCUAUUAUGAAGCACAAGUGUGGAAAAAGAUUGUAGCAUUGUCCUUUCUCUCUUUUUCUCUUUUUUUAUUUGGGCUCUUAGGCCUCUUCUCUUUUUUUCUUUUUUUCUUUUUUAUUUUUGGGCUCUUUUUUUUAUUUCCUCACAUGGGACAAUGCUCUAAUAAUGAUGAUCAUCACACUUUUAUUUACUCACAGCUCAAAGCUCAAAAUGAUGACUCUAUAGGGAAUGCCUCCAGUAGUGUACCGGGAUGUGCAAUGAUCUAGCAUGGCGUAUGACGUUGAAAACAUCUCGCUAGCUAUCUUAUGAUCAUGCAAUGGCAAUAUGAGAGUGACGACACAAGUCAUGAGACGGAACGGUGGGAGUUGCAUGCAAUAUAUCUCGGAAUGGCUAUGAAAAUGCCAUAGUAGGUCGGUAUGGUGGCUGUUUUGAGGAAGGCAUAUGGUGGCUUGGUGCAACGGCGAAAGUUGCGCGGCACUAGAGAGGCUAGCAAAGGUGAAAGGUGAAAGUGCAUCUAUACCAUGGACUCACAUUAGUCUGAAGAACUCACAUACUUGUUGUGAAAGUUUUUAUUAGUAAUCGAAACAAAGUGCUAAGUGCAUACUCCGAGGGGAAGGGUUGGUAGGUGUUCACCAUCGCGCGAUCCCGACCUCAACACAAAGGAUGACAAUCAAUAGAUCAAUUAUGCUCCGACUUCCUAACAUAGCGGUUCACCAUACGUGCAUGCUACGGGAAUCACUAACUUCAANNNNNNNNNNUACUAACAUAGCUCUUAAUAUUACUGAAUCGACGUCUCAAAACUAAUUGAGAGGAAUCAAGACUUCUCUUUCUACUCAAUGCACAUGAAGAUGGAGGUUUUUGCAUCCUCUUUGGGUACCUAUCACCUUUGGGACUACUUUCAUAGCUUAAGACAACUACCAAGUCACGCACCGCCGUGCUCUAAAAGAUAUAAGUGAAGCACAUAGAGCAAAAGUAUCUAGCUCAAAAGAUAUAAGUGAAGCACUAUGAGCAUUCUAGCAAAAUCAUGAUGAGUGCAUGUCUCUCUCUCUCAAAAGGUGUGCAACAAGGAUGAUUGUGACACAACAAAAAGAAAAGACUCCUACGAUACAAGACGCUCCAAGAAAAACACAUAUCAUGUGGUGAAUAAAAAUAUAGCUCCAAGUAAUGUUANNNNNNNNNNNNNNNNNNNNNNNNNNNNNNNNNNNNNNNNNNNNNNNNNNNNNNNNNNNNNNNNNNNNNNNNNNNNNNNNNNNNNNNNNNNNNNNNNNNNGGAGGCGCGGCUGCUGGGCGCGGGGGCGGGGGCGGGGCGGUUCGACGCGCGGCUGCAGGAGGCCGUGCUGCGGCACGGCGUGUUCGGCGCCGUCGAGGCCCGGCUCGGCGACCCGGGCGAGGUGGGCGACGGGUGCGCGGCGGCGGCGCUGGCGCUGGUGCGGUUCAACCGGGACGUGUUCGUGGGGCCGGUGCUGAUGGGCCCCGCCAUCGGCGCGCUGGUGUCCGCCGCGUCCGCCCACCCCUCGCCGGCGCCCCUGCGCGCGCUCAACGGGCUGGUGGCGGAGAUCCGGACGCCGCUGGUGGACGAGCUGCACGCGCGCGGGGAGCUCCCGCGGCUGCUGGCCCUGCUCUGCGCCGCCGACCCGCUCCGGCGCGCGCCCGCGCUCGAGCUCGUCCUCCGCGUGGCCUACUACGGCCGGCGCGAGGUGCUCGACGCGCUCCUCGCCGAGGGCCUCGUGAAGCGCCUGCUCUGCCUCCAGCGCACCGCCGCGGACACAACGGAGGAGGAGGAGGCGGUGGCGCGGUUCGCGGUGCAGGUGGAGGCGGGGCAGGGGCUGCGGCCGCGGGAGAAGCGCGCCGCGAAGCUGGAGAUCCUCCGGCGCGUGCGCGAGGCGGCCGUGUCGCCCGCCGAGGAGGCCGCCGUGCUCGCCGAGGUGCUCUGGGGCGCCACGCCGUAGCCCCCGUAGCAGCUCGCACGACGCGAACGCGAGCCAGCAUCGUCUGACACCCGGGCCCCACCUGCCUGUCGCGCACGUAGGCCGGUUGACCGGCUGGUUGGUGUGGCAUUUGUUUUUCGCCUCUCUUUCUGUCACAUUUCCCUUAAUCUUUUCUGUGAAUAGCAUAGCUACCACUACUAGUACUAGAAGUCUAGAACUCCAGUUGUGUAGUAGAGCAGUACUGUGGAUAGGUAGGAGCUGAGAGUAGACAGCGUGUGAACGUACAAGGGAGUCCAAGAUUGUACUAGUAGUAAUACCAUUAUUUGUAGCGGUAGCGUGUAAAAAAGAUGUGUAGGGAUGGAAAAGAGUACUACUAGCAAUCGGAUGAAAAAACGUGGACGCGGUGACAGCGAGAGAUAGAGGCGGCAUGUGAUUGGCACCUCCAGGCGAGGCGAGAAUGGUCGGCCGAUGGAGCCUGCGAGCACGACGUGCGAUUAGUACAACAUCUUGUUGAACGAGAUACGUAUUGGCUACCACCACCACGUGGCGAGGUCGAUCCGGCGGUUUCCAGGGCCACGUCGACACAUUGGAACGGAUGGGAUGGGCCCUUACUGUCAACCUGGCACGCAGGUCGUGGGGCCACGAGAAGAGCCGGGACUCCACGCCGUUCACGUGCCGUAGCCACAUCGCUGAACGGGAUGCAGAUGUCGGCGCUCUGCACCGCAGCCGCACCGGGGUGAAAGGGAGAAGAUAACUGAAGCUCUUAUUUUCUCAACACAUACUACAACUACAAGGUAUCUGAAGCUCGAUUGGUAGAGUGGUAGGUGGUGGUGCGGCAGCGGAAAGGCUGCGACAGAUACCUUGAAGAAGAAAAGGGAGCCCGGGUCCGGUGUCGAGUGGUGGCGACCCUGCCCUUUUCCAUCAUCUUGCUCGGCCCCUUGUCGCACUUGCUGCAGCCAAAAAAAAGGCAGUGCAGCGCCCACAUCAGAAUCCACUGAAUGUUUAGCAGUAAGAUUCGACGCCGAACUCUCAGUAACAAGAUGAUACAAAAACUUUCGAAGAACAGAAAAGAAUUUGGGAUAUUCACUCUGGCAUAAAGAACACCCAACCACACGGCUCAUCCGGUCAUACCCAAAAGCCAGUCAACAUGACCCCGUGUGAGCGAAUAUUAAAACUGUCCGCACGUUCGGGUGAAGUUACGAUGGCCCGCACGUCGACCCAACGACAACUAUUCGUCCUCACCCCGCACGUGUGGCACAAAUCUAUUUCGUCCUAACAUUUUUCGAUAGCAACUUUAGUUGUAAAGCAUGACAACUUCCCGUUUGCACGUCGAGUUUCGUUUUUUUGGUGUUCCGUGUUUUUUUCUCGGAUGGCAAUUUUAGUUGUGAAAACGUCAGGACAGUGUUACUUCGUGCCACACGUGUGACACUUAUCAUUUGGAUGAAACAUAGUUGUCAUGUCUAGUUACCUAUACUUGCCACAUCUAAUCAAAUUAUAGUUGUCAUAUGUGAUUAACUAGUUCUCACGUGUGUUCAAAUCAUAGUUGUCAUGUAUCGUCAACCAUAGUUGAUAUGUGUGAUUAACUAGUUGUCACAUAUGCACAACUAUAGUUGCUAUCUAUCACCAUGCAAGCGUCGUAUGGGUGAAGAACGGUUCGCCCACACAGCGACGCGAGCAACCGCGUGCUAGUGGACUGGAUGAUGUCCGUGUGGGCAAGGAGCGGUUCACCCACACGACGACACGAACAUUCGUGCACUAAUGGACUGGAUGUUGUCCGUGUGGACGAGGAGCGGUCCACCCACACGACGACACAAACAGCCAUGCACUAAUGGACUGGAUGAUAUCCAUGUGAACGAGAAACGGUUCAGCAACGACAAGAGCAGCCGUGCGCUAAUGGACUGCAUGGCGUCCAUGUGAACGAAGAGCGGUUCAUCCACGCAACACUGGGUGUUUACGUGGCUCUCAACCUAGAUGGUAACUACAACAAUAUUCGUGCAAAUGAAUCGAACGUCGUCGCAUGUGUUUGGGCUAUGUUAUUUUAUUAUUUUUGGAAACAACAUAUUUAUUCCUUAUAUAAUGGACAUAUCGUUUACAAGUAAAUGAGUAAUAAAAUCAGGGAUUAUCCAAAACAAAGAGGAUUUUUCACUAAAUGAGUUCUUGACGAGCCACUUCAUUAGCUUCACGUGGGCACUGUGUGUAAGACACAUUUAAGAAGUCCAUUGCCAAUUGUUUGCACUCGAGCACCAUUGCAACAUCUGAGCCAACAUAUGUAUGUAUCUGGUUGUUGCACCGCUUCGACCACAAAGCUACUAUCGGACUCUUUGAUGCAAUCGAUCGUCUCUACUAGAUAUAGUCCUUUCUGAAUUGUUGUAAUCUCCGAAGAAUCAACACUGGCCGCAUGAGGAACAAACCAUGUUGCAGCCAAAACAAAAUUCCCUCUUCCAUCCCGAACAAUAGCGCCAGUGGCAUCAGAUAAAGUUUCAGCUUGAAACGCCGCACAUGUGGGCGUUAUCAUUUAAGAAAAAAAAACAAGAUGAUACAGCCUUGUGCUUUUGCUAUUAACCAUGGGAAAAGCUAACCAUCAGCCAGCGGAUUAUAAUGGCCGCAUCAGCCACCUCCCCCGUAAGACACGCGUCCAAGUGACUAUACGGUUCUGCAACAAAGAUUAUGUUUCUGAAACAUAUACGAUGUUGCAGUGGUCUACUAUAGAUUUAUGUUCUGACCAUCCGGCCGUCGUCAGCCGCCCAUGCCGCCCGUGAACGUUGUAAAAAAUUUCCGCAACUUGACCUUUGUUGUAAAAAUUCCUGAAACAUGACCUUUGUUGUAAAAAAUUCUCCCGCAAAAAUACCUAUGUUGCAGAAAGACGAAGAAAAAAAAAUCCUGCAACAAGCAAAUUGUUUCUGAAACUCGACCGUUGUUUCAGGAAUUAACGGAUCCAAAGUUUAUUUCUUGCAACAAAGCGAAAGUUUCUGCAACUCAGCCAUCGUUUUAGGAAUUAUGGGUGCCUGACCGGAGCAGAUCCGACGGCUACGUGUAGAUCGGACGGCCCUCCAAGUGAUGGAUGUUUAGUAAACAUCCACUGAUGGAUGCGUAGGAGGCCCCAUUAACCAUAUAGUUUCUGAAACCUUCUACGACAACAAGAUCCAACAUCCGUUAGCUCCAUGCUCCAUCAGUUUGUUUAGACAAAAUGGCAACAGCAAGAAUUGCUGCAGCUAUAUGCAUUGUUACGGCCUUCAGUGCGGAAGAUAGGAGUGCAUGGCAAGCAGUCAAACAAAUCUGGAAUGGUAGGACACCAAAAGAUGCUACCAGCCCUUCAACGACUGAGAACUACCAAACAAGGCAACAUGUAUGUGCAUCACCCAUUAUCUUCAACAAAAUCAAACAAUUUCCACUCACACUUUCACCAUCACGUCUAUCAUAAUGUACACUUCUUACAGUGGCCCAGUGGCAACUAGCAUAAUUUACAUGACAAAAAAAUCCAAUCCACAAAAUUGAGUGUAGCUGACAAGCCAACCACCGGUUACCCCCCAAUGUGCAAGUAGGGAACCGUAAAAGAAUGAUGUUCAACGAAUGAUAUUUUUUCUCACAAACUUUACAGCAACACAAUAUUGCACAAGAGCGCUUUUCAGUCAAAACAAGCCCAUAAAAUCUUCCGCAACAGUGGAAUCCCCCAUGAACAGACAACAUUGAAAUCCCCGCGACAAGAGAUGAAACAAACCGGGCCAAAUCACUUGCCAGAUCUUUCUUUCUUUUCUUUUCUUUGCAUGGAUAUGAAAGGUGCAAAGAGGUGUUGCGGUUCUCUCUAGCUAUGUACACAUCUUCCAAGGCUUCACACCAGCGGGAUGGGGCUGGGGCAAUGGCUGCUGGCUUCAGGGGAUGGUAUGAAGAAAGACGAUGUCAGGGAGCUGGAGAUCUGCGCCUUCACCCCUUGCUCCUGGGAGAGCUCGUGGAUGUCCCUGACGAUGUCGAACACGGCUUCCGGCUGGGCCAAUUUCAACGCGUUCUCCGACAUUCUCUUGCGGUCCUCUGAGCCUGGACCGAACCAGUGGGCGACAAGUUCGGCGGUUUCCUUGGGGCUCUUGGAGAACACGCCUGCGCCGUUGUCCACGACAUAAGGGACGUUGCCGACUUCCUGAGACGCAAGAAAACAAGACUGUCUUAGCUGAUAUAUUGUUUGAUGUAGACUGCCUGGUAAGCAGAAUAGAAGCGUGCAACUCUUGCAAGAUGUAAGAUGCACAUAAAGAUAAACAACGCACAACCACUUUGUUUAUUAUACUGUACAAGCCUCAACCAGUAAAUAAAAAAAAUAGCCAUAACCAUGCACAGUUAUUACUGUAUAAAACAAUUAUCUAUUCAUCAGAAUAAAGUUAAUAAGAAUUGUCCUUUCUUCAGAUCUGUAAAGAUGACACAUGGGAAGAAGUCCCAAGACAAUAACCGUAAACAAGCAUGGCACUGCACCAAGGACCAACUUAUACCAAUAUUGACUCGAAAAAAUGUACUCGUAUCUUGUUAAGGUUCAAGGACUACAUAUUAAGAAGAAUUUUUUGAGCUCUUAGCUGUCAGGUGUUUAUGUUCACUGCAUCAUUGCAAAUACAUACACCUUGAAUGCUUGCUGUUAACAAUUUAUAAGGUGGAAAGUGAGUGGAUACAAACCUGUCCAGGUAUGAAGUCAUUAAGGAUGAUAGGAAGACCCCUAAUCAAGGCUUCAGCAAUGGUGCCUGGUCCAGCCUAUUGAACCAAAAUAACAUGAAAACGAAAUUAUGAGUACCACAAUACCUUCAGAGGAAGCAGCACACUAGCAAUAGAGAAGGGUCAGUAAUGUAUAUACCUUUGUUAUAAUGCAAUCACAAGCCCCCAUCCACUUUUCCAUUUGGGUCUCGAAUCCCCUAAUCUUUUAUUUAACAAAAGAAAAGCAGUUAACGAAUUAUUCACUUUGUGUGGGCUAAACAAGAAACAAGUUGAAAUUUUAAAAGAACUGAACGUGUAGCAUUUUGUCUAUACCUUUAUUGGCAUUUUCCAUUCAAGAGCCUGCAAUGAAGAGCUCAGUGUUUUGUUCCGACCACAAAUGACAACAAGCUGCCCAAUCGGCUUUCCAAGCUCUUUGUCAAACAAUACAUCUCCAAGGGCUUUUGCAGUCUUCUUUACAGGACCCAUGCCCUCUCCACCUCCCAUCAGCAACACUGCCGGUAGCUCAGGAUCCAAUUCAAGUUCCUUCCGCAAAUCAUCCUGGUGAGUAAUUGGUUUACAAAUGUGUUAGCUGUAAGCGAGCAUUUGCAUCAAGACGUAUCACUGUACAGCCAUACAUUUGACUGUUUCUGGAGAAAUUAGUACAAUCAUAGGGCUACAGCCCAGAAUGUACUUGGCAGUAAUGAAUAGACAAGGGAUAAAAAAAAUACCGCAAGCGAACUAUCAUGUUUGUUCAAAAGCGACUAAUAAGCAUUUGCGCGAAGACACAUCACUAUACAGGCAUACAUUUGUUUGUUUGUGGAAAGCAUAGUAGAAUCAUAGGGCUACAGACCAGAAUGCUUUACAUUCUGGAGAAUCAAUGUACACAAUGCUUGGCAGUUAAUGAAUAGACAAGAUACUUUGAAAACUCCCAUACAAAAUUUGGUACCAGUCUGGCAUAUCAAGAAGUGACAACAGUCUUAACUUUAAAAAGGGGUAUAUACCUUAACUAGAACAGCACGGCAGAACGAUGGUCGAAUGGGAAGACCGAACACACGGAUCUGAGAAGUUUUCAGGUCAUCCAGUUCUGCCCUCUUGGCUACUUCCUCUGAUGGGCAGUAACACCUAUUCACGUCAGCAUGGAACCUGUAUAUUUGCACUGCCAGAUUUUAAGUCUAUGUUUGGAGUGUGUCAAAAGCAGUUAUUUUUUCUGAAACAAAAACAGUUUCCAGGUCCCCUUAUUGAGAGGGGAACAUACCAUGUAGGGUGGCAAGUGUUGAGGUCAGUGAUGACAGUAGCGAAGACUACUCUGUUCUGCAGACCUUGCCAUUUGAGUACCCAUAGAGGAAUGUGUUGCAUGAGGGGGUGAACACUAAUUAUUAUAUCUGGCUUGUACUUCUUCAAUCCAGCCUCAACCUUCCUACAACCAUAAACAAGAAAUUAUUCAGGAAAAUAAAACUACAUGUAGACUUGAUGCAGAGGCAAAGUCUACUGCUAGGAUCAUUGAACUUGGAUUGUAGGUUGAAGUCUAAAUGACACAAGCAUUAAUAGGACAUCGAAAUAGAGCAAAAAAUAGGAGUACAAGUUAAUUGACUUUAAACGGCAAAUCGAUAGGCAAUGUUAGUGGUUCGGGGUAUGAAAAAAAUAGUAAUCCAAGAAAUAAAAGCUUGCAUAUGCGCACUAACAAUGUGGUUUAUAAUAUGUGGGUCAUGGUUUGGAAGCAAUGUUAUACUAGGGCCGACUUGAUAACUGUGAAAGCACAUAUGCUGUUAACUCACUCACUAAAUGAUCCUCAAGGGAUGGCAGCGAUGCAAUGCAAUCAGUUUUUGUGACCUCCUAGAAUACCACACCUACAGGGUGACACCAACACAGAGUGGCAAUUUGAUGCCCAUGGUACAAACUGAAUUUCUCGGAUAUGCUUUCCCGUCACUGUCCUGCUAUACAACCUGGCAAACCUAUGUGCGCAGCCUGAGCCGGUCCACAUGGCUCGAUAUCUGACCUCGGCACAAGUUUAUUCAGGAAACUUGAUUUCAACAGCAAAAUUACAUGCAUUACAUGACAAGGAAUCCAGCAGAGAUAUUUUAGCAUCUCUAGUCAAGACAGCAGUGGUCCUUGUAUAAAAUUAUGGGCGCCAUAUCUCCGGUAAGAUCUGGGAUUAUAAUAUAUACAGUGUAUAUACUAGUUCAAUCAAAAUGCUGACAAAAGUGCCGAUCCACUAUAAAAUUUGGGACUAGGUCAGCAAUUUGCAAUCUAACGCAUCAUCAACCAAUAACAGGAAAAAAACAGUCUGGCUCUGGCGUGAAUGUGAAAACAGAAAUCACAUCGAAUUGUUUAUUUGUUUGUUUGUUUGUUUGUUUUAUGAUGACCCCGACGAACGAUGUGUGUGAUGAGGUCAAGCAAGAAAAACGUUGCAGGAAGCGUAAGUAAAAAUGAAAUCGGUGAGGCGUGAGUGGGAGAGAAGGGAAGCGAUCCGUACGUACUUAGCGUAGAAGGAGGCGAGGGCGGCGAGGUAGAAGUUGUGGACCCAUCGGGGCGAUGUGCCGUGGAAGGCCACCUUCCAGAGCUGCACGUGCUUCACCAUGAACUUGUAGGAGCUCUCCAUGUUGUUGAGCGGCCAGCCGGCGUGGUCCUUGCAGAGGUCCUUGACGAAGACCUGAGCCCCAAAUCGAAAUCGAAACCGGAGCCCAUCAGUGCGGGGCGCGGGCGCGGGCGCUUGGAUCGACGGACAAAUUUUAUUGGAGAUUCCGAUGACGAUUUUAUUAUUAUUCGCGGACAGGAGAGGGAGGGGAAUAAUUCGGUUGGGUUGUUACCCGGUAGUCGUCGCCGAACUCGAUGCGGAAGGCGUCCUUGAUGGCCUCGGCGGAGGCGCGGUGGCCGCCGCCGGUGUCGCUCAUGAGGAUGAGGACGUUCUUGGCGCGGUUGGCGCCGAGCUGGACGAGCUCGACGGUGCCCUCCUCCUCCUCCCAGAAGGGCUCGUCGUCGUCCUCGGGCCCGGCGAGCGAGGCGAGGGAGGCGGACGGGGAGGAGGAGGAGGAGGAGGCGCGGCCCGCGGAGGAGAGCUCCCCCGCGUAGGAGAGGCUCUUGCGGAACCUGCGGCGCAUCCGCUGCUGGUGGUGGUACGCCGCCACGCUCUCCAGCACCGUCUCCCGGAUCGACCGCACCCGCGGCGACGCCGUCGACGCCUCCAUCGCGCCCGCCCGCCUGGCCCCGGAUCGCCGCCGAGGGUGCAGGCGCAGGAAGGGGUGCGGCCGCGUUUAAAAUUGGCGAGGGGGCAGGAGGGAAUGGCGGAGGGGCGGAGGAGAGGGGGAGCUGGCGCGGCCGCGGCCGGGAGAGACAACUGGAAUUUUGGAGGUUGGGGACGGGACGGGACGGGGACGGGGACGGGAACGGCGGUGGUGGUGGUUGUCGCGUGUUUUGUGCGUGUGCCCUCGCUCGCUCGCUCGCUCUUUUGGUGGCUUCUGAUUCUGAUGAUUUGGGGAUUGGGGAUUGUCGACGUUGGUUGGUGUCACGGCUGGAAGAGUCCGAGGGGUUUUGGGGGAAAAGGGUCCAUCUUGCACGAGACCACCCUCGUUGCUCCAAGAGUUUAGUGGACCCUAUACAUGUCUUACCAAACCCGGUGGUUUCUUUAUAUUUGACCUACGGUAUUCCUGUUUUAUUUGACCUAAUAUAUAGGUUUUCCUCUUCUCUUAGACCAAAGCCACCGAGUAUAUCCGACUAUGGCGCUAAUGAAGAUCGAACCACGGGUGUAUAAGUCAUCUUAGGUUGUGCACCAUUGACCAAGGCGAAGAGAAAAACAAUAAAAUUAAUGUGAUUUUCCUAAUUGAUACCAUUGCAUGCAAUGAACUGAUCACUGCAUGUCGUGCUAGUUAGUCUCAAGUCAUUAAAAACAUACACGCCCCACAUCUCUAAUUGGUUGAUUCCUUUAUUCGUAUCAAAAAACAAAAGACGAGAUGAAAAUUAAUGCAUUUGGUUUUCGUAAGAUGACUUAUACACCGAAACAGAGGAAGUAAAUGCGUUUGGACAUCCCGUAGGUAAAACAAAAAGUGAGGAGACAUGGUUUGUUGUUCCUUGUCUUGCGAGAUUAUUUCGGGUGCUCGUGUUUUUUGGUGGCAUAAACAUAGUUGUGUCCUAGAUCGAAACUUGCGGCAUGAUAAACGAUAUUGAUGUUUGGUUUGGUUUGGUUGGAUAGACUUCACUAGCCCCGAGUAAAAGAUGCAUCAAAAGGAAACGGACUCUUGAACCUCUUUCACGCUCAUGUCACGUCGAGGUACUGCAGAAAAAAAGAACUGCAAAAUCUGAUUUAACUUUUUCGUAAUCGAUUAGUUAACAUGGUGGUUAACCAUAUUAUGAAACUGAAAAAAAAGUCAUUGGCUUAUCAAAUUCUCUAUCGGGUCAUGAAAAAGAUUCAACAAAAGACAGAAACAAUUCCUCUAUUGCUUUUACGUCAAGCAAAACGUAGAGGAACUCCCUAUAUAGGAGUAAAAACAAGACGAAAUAAAAAAAAAAAAGGAUCAACGCGGAAAGUUUCGAUUGAAAUAUGAUCUAAACAAGGAAGAGCACUUGCCAUUUGUUGAUUAUUAGAAGCAUCCCAAAAGCCCCUGGGUCGAAAUAUGGCUUUCAGAUUAAGUUGUGAAGUAGUAGAUGCUGCCAAAGGGAGAAUUGAGGUUGACAUGCCACAUAUGGCAUGCAUUGUCUUUUUCUUAAUUUGCCACGCCUAUUGUGUCAUUUCUUUAUCCCUCUCCUUCCAACCAAUUUUGUAGGUUUUGUCUUCAAAUGGACGGAUUCAGCCAUACACUUCAUCUUGUCUGAUAACAAAAGUUUUCCAUGCAUGGAUAUGAUGGUCGUUAUCACAUUAAAGGGCAUGACAAGGCGACAUCAUAAUUGUCGAGCAACGAUGUCUAAUACCACAUGGCAUACGUGAUGAGAACCCAUGUCUCCUAAAGGCGAAGCAAAGAGCAAGGCGAUCGGGUGAAAUACCGUGUGGAUGUGGGAAAGAGUUCAGUGGACCGUAAACUUGUCUUACCAAACCUUGUGAUUUAUUUAGCCUAAGGAAUUUCUUCUUAUUUUUGACCUACUACUAAGUGUCUUCUUCUCAAAAAGUAAAUAAAUAAGUGUCUUCUUCUCCUUCUUUGAGGCAAAAGGUACCAAGUACCGGACUAUAUAGCGCUGAUAAUGCUCGAACCACUGGUUUAGAUGAGAAGAGAAAAAGAUUAAUGUCAUGACUCGCCGAACACUAGGGGAAACGAAGUGAAAAUUUGUUUGGACGCCGUGUACAUAAAACGACGACAAUGUAAAUUUGUAUGGAUAGUCUUGUGAUGAGGAGACAUGGUUUCUUGUUCCUUAUGCGAUUAUUUCGGGUGCUCAUGUUUUUUGGUCGAACAAAGAUAGUUGUGUCCUAGAUCAAAACUCGUGACACAAUCAAUCAUGUUGAUUUGUUGGUCGGUUGAUCUUGGCUAGCCUCUCAAAAUCGAGGGUUCACAUGCGCGUGCGUGUCUUGUUUUUACAACGGCAUUGUCUUUUCUUAAUCUGCAACCUUUACCAUGUCAUUUGUUUGUUCCUCUUUUUUCAAUCAUUUUCGCAGAUUUUGUCUUCGGCUGGAUGGACUUGGUCAUAUUCUCCACAUCAUAUGAAUAAAAAUGUCUCCACGUGUUGAUAGAAUGGCCGUCAUCGCGUCACGAGCCAUGACAAGAGGAUAGUUAGGAGUACCACAUGGCAUACGCGGCGAGCAACCAAUGUCUCCUAAAAGCAAAGCAAGGAGCGGUGUGUCGGGGUGAAAUACCUAACCUAGGUUUGAUAUACAGCGUGCCAUGCCAAAAUACUUUUUUUUUUUGAAUAGUUUGAAUUUCUUACCACGCGUGUCACUGUUUUUUUUUUCGGGCGAGAAGCUAAUGUAAUCGAUUGUGCGCGCGAUGAAGCAAACCCUGGUUAAAAAAGCAAAAAAAAAAACGUUUUGUGUGCGUGAUGAGAAAUAAACGAGCGGGGCGCGAUUAGAAAUGUUUGCAUUGGCGAGGUGGGUCGUGCGAAAAACGUAGCAGCAGCCAGCAGCCGGAUGCGGAUGCCCCUGGAGAAGAAAGAUGCCGAGGGUGGAACGUGGUGGGCCAUGCCACGGAAGGCUGCGCUGCGCUGCGCCGCGCUGUUUACUCCUUCUCCGCGGUCGGAUCCCCGUGGAAGGGAAGGGAGGGGAAUUAUCCCGGGAAUCCGCCGGAUUAUUCCGCCCCGAGCCCCGCGCGGAAGAAAGAGGCUUUGCGUCGCUCGCCCGCACCCGUGUGCCGUGUGUCCCGUGCCGCGCGGCUGCUUGCUGGGAUUUUUUCACUCUUUUAACAUUUUUUUUAAACAUGAGCAUAAAAUGAACCAGAUUUGUAAGCAUUUCACGAUCUGACCCUUUUAGAAACGUCACAAGCCGUGGCGUUGCUGUCUCACUAUGCAACGCCUGUCUACCAUGGCGUUGCUGCCCUGCAGUGACACGCCUGUCUACCGUGGCGUUUUUUUUUUGCAACGUCAGUCUAAAGUGGCGUUGCAGAGCCACUGUGAAAUACCAACAGUGCUGGCGUUGCUGCCCAACACCAUGUUAAACCGGGCCAGGAUUGUUCCACCCCGGGUCGGGUGCCAUCCGCAGUGUGCGCGCGCCGCCGUGUCGGUCGGCAGAGAGCCAAGUCACGAUUUGAUGGUGAUGGCGCUGCACCUGCGCCGUCGAAUGAACCGGGCCAGGUCGAUCGACACUCCUUCCUUCCGGCCAGCUGUGGACGUCCGUCCGCGCCUGACGCGUGCGCAAGCACAUUCCGUCCGCGCGUCGCGCCAUGCCGUUGCUUUGUCGCGAGAGGCACUGGGAGUACGUACAGUACUAGCCAAGUGUUGGAGGGAGGUCGCUCUCCAUCAAAAGUUAUCCAAUCCAAGUGCACCAAUAGCUCACGGUGGCGUCGCCAAGGGCACAACAUAGAGUCAUGUUUGUUUUUAAUAAGGUUUUCGAUCUUUUUUGUUUUUGGUUUUGAUAUUUUCUGCUCUUACAACCGGGAUUUUUUUAACACGGUUAUUACAACAGAAGGUCAUGUUUGUUUCCAACACUGUAAUUUUAGAUGUUUUAGUAUGGACUACAUACAGACUGAAAUUACUAAAAUGUGUCUAUGUAUAGCCGAUUCAGCAUAAACUUAGAGCACCUUAUAAUAGUAUAAACGAAUGAGUAAAUCAUUGUGGAUUUGAAUAGACCAUGGGGAGAUUAGACUCGCUAUUCCUCAUCUCGCACCGGCAGCCUUGGCUAACCCUAGUUGCCGCCCCAAAAAAAAGCUAGGGCUCCACCACCUCCCGACGGCGUCGUCGCUGGUCCGCCCCGUCUUCGGUAGCCUUAGGGCCAUGGAGGCGAAGCGGAUCUCGAGCCUUGUCAAUGGGAGGGCUUCGUUGUUAGAUCUUUCUUCAAGUUUUGUUACGGUUUGUGUUCUGCUGAGGAAGACGAGACGGUGGGGGCUCCCUGAAGAAGGAAUAAAGGUCUCGUCGCCCAGCCCCCGUUUCGGUGAUGCGUCUAGCAUCGUUGGCGGGCAUGUGGAGGUGUGUCUCCGGCGGAUCUAUCUUUGGUGGAUUUGCUCGGACCUGUUCGUCGUUCGUCUUUGUUCGUGUGUUUUUAGGUUGGAUAAUUCCGAUCUACACUCUUCAUUUGCGACGGUUGUUGUUUUGGUGUGUUGGUCCUAUGGAGCCUUAGCACGACGACUUCCCGACUGUCCACUACAACAACGUUUGCCCGACUCCAACGAGGGAGGGGCGAUGACAGCGGCGCGCCUUCGCCUCGUUUCAGUGCUUGUAGUUGUCGCUAGGUGGUCUUCGAAUCUGGAUGUAAUUUUUAUUAUUUCUAGUUUUUUUGUACUACCAUGAUUGAAGAUGAAUAGAUUGAAAGUUUUUUCCGCAAAAAAGAAGAAUAGACCAUGGCAUUUUGAUUCACCGGUCUAAAUUUGCAGUCGGUGGACUGUAGAUCUUGUUAAAAAAAUUGAAAAUCAAACUGAAAAAAUAGAAGAAUCAAGGAAACUCUAGGAAAUUUGAAAAGAAAAUUUGAGGGGGGAGAGAAUUUGAAAUUACAAGAAAAAUUAUCGUAAACUCCCCCGCCAACAACAAAUGAAAGAAAUUCAAAAGGUAUAACAUGGGAGGAAAAUGGAAAUAUUCAAAAAAUGUAAAACUCAAAUCUUGUUUUUUUGGGGAAAUUGGAACUUGGAAGGCAAACUAUCGGGAAUUCCCCAAGAAUAAAUGUGAAAAAUAUAUAAAGUAAAUUCAAAAUAAAAUAUGAGAAAUAUAGGAAAUAUUCGAAAGAAUGAUGAAAUUUUUGGGAAAUUUAAAAGCGAAAGACAAACUACUAAAAAAUUACCAAUAACUAAUGAUCAAUGACAAAUCAAAGGAAUACAAAAGGUAUAUAACAUCAUGGACAUUGGAAAUAUUCAGACAUGAAUAUUUGAAUUUUUUGGAACCAGUAGACAAAUUAUUGGAAAAUCGCCAAAAUAUAUAUCAAUCAAAGAAUGAAGUUUAGUAUUAAGACUCUUGGGAUAAGAAAAAUAAUGUAUUUUACCAGGUAGUCCUUAAUGUGAGCCUCCUAGUGUGAAAUGUACAAUCAUGAAUCAAGUCCUUAGCUCAAAUCGUUCUCCAACUAUAUAUGAUUGUAAAAAAGUUCAACACAAUCACCUGUCACAUCAUAACUGAACACAGAACAUUCAUGUUACCGUAACACAAAUUACAUGUUAAGAGGUACACGACCGUUAUCUCUACAAGAAACGGGAUUGGGUAACAACUAGCCUUAUCAAGUUCACUGAUAGACAACAACAAGGUAGUUUACACCAAUUGUCUCAGGGGGUCCGGGCAAGCUCGCACGACCGCGAGGGAGGGAGGGUGGAAGGGGGAAGGCAACAUGAAUUUUGGAGGUUGGGGAUGACAGCGUUGGUGGUUGUUCUCACAUGUUUUAUGUGUGUGCUCUCUCACUCGCUCGCUCUUUUGUUGGUCUAUAAUUUAGAGAUUUGAAGGGGGUUCGUUGUUCCUUUCAAGAUUGGAAGAGUCCGAGGAGUUUUGAAGAAAUAGGAUCAAUCUUGCAUGGGACCACCAUCAUUACUGUUGUGGGAAAGAGUUUAGUGGACCACAAACUUGGUUUACCAAACCUAGUGAUUUUUUUUAUUUAUUUGAUCUAAGGAAUAUUUUUUGCUUUCCUAUGACCUAACAAAAAUCUUGUUCUUUUGGACGAAGGACGCAUGCCGAGUGUCAAACUUUAAUCUAGCAUUAAUAAAGUUUUAACCAUGAGUUGUUUGCAAAAUAGAAAAGAUAAGUUUAGACAAAAGAAAAUGAGAUUAAUGUCGUGAAAUACCGUAUGUCUUGAGAUACGAAUCAUAAAGGUGUUUGGAGGGCGCAUAGAAAAAGAACGAUACUAGUUUGCACGGAUAGUCGAAGCAAGGUGAAAAGGAGACAUAGUGUCUUGUUCCCAAUCAUACCAAGGGGAGCUCGUGACAAGAUCAACAACGUUGAUAUUCGGUCGGGCUAAGAAUUUUCGCUAGCCCUAAGAAAAAGAUGAAUGAAACCCAGGGUUUACAGGGCGCACUUGUUUGUUUGUUUGUUGGGACAUUAUAUUUUCUUAAAUUGUAACCCUCAUUUUGUUGCUUUUUUGUUCCUAUUGUUUCAGUCUUAUAUUACUCAUUGUAGAAUUUGACUUCUUAUAGAUGCAAUGAUACCGUCCAUGGUUAUCUCGUAAUAAAUUUUGUCAUAUGUGGUCGAAACCGACAUCGCAAUUCAUGACAAGACAACUAGUCUGACUAUCGAGCUACAACGAUCUCUAACAGCGCAUGAAAUUCAUGGCAGGCAACCAAUGUUUGUUUCCUAAAUGCAAAGCAAAGCAAGCAGAGUAUUCAUCAGGUGAAAUACCUAGGCUCGAUGUGCUCAUUGCAAAAUUUUGGAUGAAAUAUCCCACUGUGUGCCUCGCGAAGGCGACGAUGCAUAUAUGCCUAUCAAAGAAUAAUACUCACCCCAUCUCCAAUUACUUAUAGAAAUAAAUAUAUAUAGAAUUAAAAAUAUAUCUACGUGGCGGGUAAGCCAUGUUAGUUUCCUAAAUGCAAAGCAAAGCAAAGCAGGCAGGGUAUUGACCGGGUGAAAUACCUAGGCUCGAUAUGCUCAUUGGUAAAACUCGAAUGAAAUAUUCCACCGUGUGCCUCACAAAGGCGACGAUGGGUAUAUGCCGAGCAAAGUAAUAUAAGACUCCUUUCGUCUCGAAUUACUUGUCACAGAAAUGUAUAAAUAUAAAUAUAUCUAAAACUGAAAAUAUGUCUACAUACAUUUAUUUGUGCGAUAAGUAAUUAUGAAGCGAGGAGGUAAUUCGACGAUGGCAAUGCAAUCGAUUGUGUGCACACAUACAAGAAAAAAGCAAAUCCUACUCCAAGGAAAGAAAAGACGAAGCAAAUGUUACCCUGAUGAUGAUCUUCUCAAUUGUAUCCUAAAGAAGGGAGCUCAUAUACGUGGCAGAGUUUGUGGAGUGGGUUACAAACAUUCAGACAAGGCAUCAUAUGGCGUGUGGAAGAUGGAGCUUCCAUUAAAAUCUGGGAGGACCCGCGGAUACCUAGUAGCCCCAACAAAAAACUUAUGACUCCCCGAAGCAACAUUGUGCUGACCAAAGUUACUGAACUAAUAGAUGCAGACAGCAGAUCAUGGGAUGAGGAGCUCAUUACGGAUAUCUUCUGGCCAAUUGAUGCACAACGCAUUCUAAAUAUCCCUCUUGCGGUGGGGAUGAUGGACGACUUUGUUUCCUGGCAUCCAGACAGGUGUGGUAUGUUCUCUGUGAGAUCGGCGUAUCAACAAGAAUGGGAUAACCAACAUGGACGAAAGUUGAGGAGGACGAACACAAAUCAUUCCUCAGGUAAUAACCCUAUUUGGAGAACCAUUUGGAAGCUAAGGCUACCCGCGAAGAUCAAAAUUCAUCUAUGGAAAUCAUUACUGGGAGCUAUACCAUGCUAUGGGGUUUUGGCAAAUCGACACAUCAUGACCAACUCUCAAUGGCCGCUCUGUACAAUGGACUGUGAAAGUAUAAAGCAUGCCUUUUUCCAGUGCCCUAGAGUGCGGGAAAUCUGGAGGGUUUUAGGGCUUUCGAGCCUGGUUAACCAAGUCUGUGAUCUGGAGCAAGACGGGAGUGGGGUUUUAUCUGAAUUGAUACUCUCUAAGAGCACCAUCAAAUCAAAUAUUUCGGAUGUUGGCCGUGCUGAACUCAUCGCUACGACGGUCUGGUAUGUCUGGUGGGAAAGGAGGAGUUUUACUCAUGGUGACCAUAUUGCUGAAUCACCCAGAUCGGCGCAUGCAAUAUCGGCACUUGCGAAGAACUUUGUCAGGGCAAGGAAUAGGCGCCCAGGUGUUGUGCGACAUGGAUGGCAACGGCCGGCUGAUGGUCUUUACAAGCUUAACGUGGAUGCGGGCUUCUCUGAAGACUCGGGGACGGGUAGCUCCGGGACGGUGUUGCGAUCAGAUAGAGGAGAGUUCAUCGCCGGUUCAUGUAGUGCUAUAUCAUUUGCUGAAGAUGUCAGUUCAGCAGAAGCAAGAGCCCUGCGAGAUGGACUUAUCCUGGCUAGCAGGUGGGUGUGCAAAAGUUCAUUGUGGAGUCUGGUUGCCAGGAUGUGAUAAACACCAUGUUACUCGACGGCAAUUCAUUCGGACCAACGACGGCAAUAUACGAAGAGUGCUCCUUUCUCGCAAAGAACUUUAGUUUUAGUUUGAUCCAAUUUGCCUUCUGCCUAAGGGAAGCAAAUAUGGUAGCUCAUACCCUAGCUAGGUUUACUGAACCCACUAGAACUAUAAAGUGAAUGGAGGAGCCUCCUGACUUCCUCAUAGAUAUAUUAGCAAAUGAUGUAACUGUCUUCUCACAUGAAAUAUAAAAGCCGCUCAGGGUUUCCCCGUUCAAAAAAAAAAGACGAAGCAAAUGUUAGGCGUGCGAUUCACGCAACGCUCCCUGGUUUCCCUGUCAAAACGUCACUGGCAAUGGGGAAAGACGUGGAUAAGCCUAGGAGCAGAUUAAAACAGGCGGGGGUGCGAUGGGAAAUAUAGGCAUCGACGAGGGGGCCUUGCAAAAGAUACAGUGCCAACCAGGAUGCGGAUGCCCAGGAAAAAAUAUGCCGGGCGGACCGUGGUGGGCCAUGGCAGAUGACACGGAAGGCUGGGGCUGCGCUGGGUCGGAUCCCCGUGGAAGGGAAGGGAAGGGAAGGGAAGGGAAGGGAAGGGAAUUAUCCCAGGAAUCCGGCGGAUUAUUCCGCCCCGAGCCCCGCGCGUUCCCAUGGGAAUAUGGGAUCUGGGAACGUACCUACGUACUACGUGCGGCGCUGGGAUCGCUCACACGAGACCAGACCAGACCAGACCCGUCUCUGGUGGACGGCCGGCUGGACUCGGUCGCGCUACUCGUCGUGGGGGCCCAAGGAAAAGACAGACGGGCUGGCUGGGCUGAUGAUUGGAGUCGGCGCCAAGUCUUGCCCGGGAUGGUCAUGGUGGUGGUUGGCGUGCAAGGCUGCGUGUAGCCAUUGGAACUUGCAAGCCCGGGCAUGACACAAGCUUAGCUGCUCUGCUCAUUUCGGAACGGUUUUAUAUGGUCCUUAGAGCAUCUAUAUCUCCGUCAAAUCAUCCCUCAAAUGUGUGCGGACUUGUCCGAUGGGUGACUGGAUAGAAGAGAUAAUGAACAAAAAUGAUCUAACUGAACCCUUAUAUUCUCCUUACAAGCCUCGGGCUGUCCUGAACCCUCGUAUCCAUUUAAAAUAUGAGGAGGAUAUGAAGGCUCGCGGACGCGACGGGGCAUGUCCGAUCAGUCCGCCACAUAGAACAUGGCCCCAUCCUGAACUAUUUUUUUUUCUUUUUUUAUUCAUUCUUUUUUUCUCUCUCUUCCUCUCCAUCAAGAACGUGCAAGUGACCGGACAUAUAAGGAAGAAAAUAUGAUUGGGCGACGACGAAUUAUGCCUCUGCCUCCGCCAUGCUCAAGCUGGGAGCCUCCUCCUCUGUGUCGUCCUCCUUCAUGGCCUUCAGCUCCUCAUCCUCCUCCUCCCGCUCCUCCUUUGUCUCCGACGGUUCUGAAGGAAGACCUGCAGCAAUGCGGGCGACACGGCGAGCCUGGAUCUCCGGAGUGAGCUGCGCAUAGGUUGUGAUGAGCCGCCGAACCAUCCUGACAGAGAGGGAAGUGCGAGAUGAGCAUCAGCUUGGGUGGCGGCGGAGAGAGAGAAAAGGCAUAUAAGCUAGGGACGGGGGCGCCAACUGGCUUAAAUAGCCGCCCCGACCUGGAACAGAGAGCCGAAGCGGUGCCACGUGGCGUUCACACCGCGCCGACGGUCGAGGCGCCUGUCAGACCGUCGAAUUUCCCGACGAGUCCACAUGGGGCCACGUCGUCAGACCAACGUGGCGGGCAUGAUCAGGCGCGCCGGGCUCCCUCAUAUCCGUCCCAUAUUUGAACUGAAAAUGAAAGGUGACGAUUAGCCCGGUCGUUUGAGACCGGUUUAAGAGACUAGCAUGGGUCGCAUUUUCGUGAUCGGACGACCUGUCCGGACGUUUAAGACUGAUAUGAGGGAUCCAACUGUAGAUGUUCUUAGAUAAUAUUGUAGUGCAUUUACCAUUUCGCGCCGCCGUUCUCCCUCUGUCCACAAAUAAAUGGUCUCACGAUGGCGUCGCGAAGGUACAACAGAGAGUCAUGUUUGUUUCCAAAAAGCUAUAGGAUUUUUCUGGUUUCAACAUUUUUUGCGCUUAAUUCAAUGAGAUUUUUUUGUACGUGUAUAAUAGAAAGUCAUGUUUGUUUCAAUCAGGUCUCAUUUUGGAAGUUUUAAUAUGAACUAUAUAUAGACUGAAACUAGUGAACAAAUUCACUGGAAUAUGUCUAUAUAGAGACGAUUCAGACAAAAGUUGCAACAUCUUAUAAUAGUAAACGAAAGGAGUACAUCAUUGUUUUUUUAACACAAUACAUAGAGACGAUUCUACGAAGUUCUUUAUUGGUUGAACCUCUAUGUCAAGGAUUCAUUUAACUCCGUAUAGCAUUCCUUUAUCCUUCGGUAUGUUACUUGCUCGAGAUUCGAUCGUCGGUGUCUCUAUACAUAUUUCAAUCUCGUUACCGACAAGUCUCUUUACUCGUUUCAUAAUACAAAAUUCUAUGGCUAACUCUUUAUUCACAUUGCUUGCAAGGCUUGUUUGUGAUGUUGUAUUAUCGAGUGGGCCCAGAGAUACCUCUCCGUCAUACCGAGUGACAAAUCUUAGUCUUGAUCCAUGUUAACUCAAUAGACACCUUCGGAGAUACCUGUACACCACCUUUAUAGUCACUCAGUUACGUUGCGACGUUUGAUACACACAAGACAUUCCUCCGGUGCCAGUGAGUUACAUGAUCUCAUGGUCAUAGGAAUACAUACUUGACAUGUAGAAAACAGUAGCAACAAAAUAACACGAUCACGUGCUACGUUCAUAGUUUGGGUCCUGUCCAUCACAUCAUUCUCCUAAUGACGUGAUCCCGUUAUCAAGUGACAACACUUGUCUAUGGCUAGGAAACCUUAACCAUUUUUUAUCAACGAGCUAGUCAACUAGAGGCUUAUUAGGGACAGUGUUUUGUCUAUGUAUCCACACAUGUANNNNNNNNNNNNNNNNNNNNNNNNNNNNNNNNNNNNNNNNNNNNNNNNNNNNNNNNNNNNNNNNNNNNNNNNNNNNNNNNNNNNNNNNNNNNNNNNNNNNNNNNNNNNNNNNNNNNNNNNNNNNNNNNNNNNNNNNNNNNNNNNNNNNNNNNNNNNAUGUAUCCACACAUGUAUUUGUAUUUCCAUUCAAUACAAUUCUAGUAUGGAUAAUAAAUGAUUAUAUUGAAACACGAAAUAUAAUAAUAACUAUUUUAUUAUUGCCUCCAGGGCAUAUUUCAAACACCGCGACCCUGCUACAGCGAGCCACGACGGCCGCCACCACACCCUGCUCCGCUCGCAAAUCCCGAUCCGCCAGAUCGGGACGCCACCGCGCCAGAUCUGCAGGGCACUCCGCCGCCACGCCCCCAGGUCAUCAUGCANNNNNNNNNNNNNNNNNNNNNNNNNNNNNNNNNNNNNNNNNNNNNNNNNNNNNNNNNNNNNNNNNNNNNNNNNNNNNNNNNNNNNNNNNNNNNNNNNNNNNNNNNNNNNNNNNNNNNNNNNNNNNNNNNNNNNNNNNNNNNNNNNNNNNNNNNNNNNNNNNNNNNNNNNNNNNNNNNNNNNNNNNNNNNNNNNNNNNNNNNNNNNNNNNNNNNNNNNNNNNNNNNNNNNNNNNNNNNNNNNNNNNNNNNNNNNNNNNNNNNNNNNNNNNNNNNNNNNNNNNNNNNNNGCGGCGGGGGGGGAAGAGGGCCCCGCCGCUGGCCAACCACGAGGGGCUUUGCCCUGGCAGUGCCUGCCGACGACGGGAGGAGAGCCAGGGAUGAAGGGAGCUAGGCAGGUGGUAGCGGAUCCACGUGAGCCACAUGCAUGAGACUUUUUUCACGAUGCGUACUAUGUUGCAUGACAAACAGAAUAUAUAACGAGAGCCCGGUUAAAGAGGGCGAGGGGGGAGGGGGGGGGGGGGGGGNNNNNNNNNNNNNNNNNNNNNNNNNNNNNNNNNNNNNNNNNNNNNNNNNNNNNNNNNNNNNNNNNNNNNNNNNNNNNNNNNNNNNNNNNNNNNNNNNNNNNNNNNNNNNNNNNNNNNNNNNNNNNNNNNNNNNNNNNNNNNNNNNNNNNNNNNNNNNNNGGGGGGGGGGGGGGGAGGGAAUGGCUCCUGAUCCGGUGUGGAAGGAGUUGUGAGGAAGAACGGUCCCGUCAAAAGUUCAUAUUUUUUUUUAACUUAGAGGGUGUUGCAAGGUAUAAUUCCUUGCUACUGUACUUUGACUGACGGGCACAUGAAAUCGCCAAUUAUUUGCCCCGUCUGUCAAAUUAAUCCUUGGGACCUUCAACAUAUGCUUUUCACGUGUGGUAGAGGGAUGUAUGUAUGGAAGGAACUUGGUUUGAAAGAAUGCAUUGAAACGGCCACUGCCCAUGAACGAUCGGGAUGGGUGAUUAUAGAGCAAUUAUUGCGUGCUGAGCAAAGGAAUGGGUAUCCCUAUACCCAAUGGCAUUGAGAAAAAAAUGAUGUAUGUUUUUUUGCCUGAAAUUAUUAUUUUAAUUGCGAAAUGACAUUGUUCAUACAGUUCGGGUCGGGCUUGGAAUUUUCAGAUCGGGCCCUGUCAAGCCCAGCCCGGCCCAGAAAACGAUCAGGUUUACACCUUGCUCGACCGACCGUGGCAAGGCCCCUGUUUUCAGGUGGGAAAGAAAAACAAAUCCCCUGCUUCUGUUUUCCNNNNNNNNNNNNNNNNNNNNNNNNNNNNNNNNNNNNNNNNNNNNNNNNNNNNNNNNNNNNNNNNNNNNNNNNNNNNNNNNNNNNNNNNNNNNNNNNNNNNNNNNNNNNNNNNNNNNNNNNNNNNNNNNNNNNNNNNNNNNNNNNNNNNNNNNNNNNNNNNNNNNNNNNNNNNNNNNNNNNNNNNNNNNNNNNNNNNNNNNNACGCCGCCGACGCCGCCAUGAACCAGCCGGUGCAGAAGAACACCCUCUACGUAGGUGCGCCGUAGCACCAUCCUCCCUCACCAACCUCUCCUCCUCCUCCUCCCUUGUCCUCGCUCGAUCGCUCGGUCGCCCGGUCGCCACCUGUUCGACGAAAUUCCUCAGUGAGAUGCACACGGUUCUUCCCCGGGGGCUGCUUGCUUCUCCGGCUAUGGAAGGACCUCGGCGAGCUUCCGCGUGAUGGAAAACUAAGACGAGCCCCGUUCCUUGGUUUUCGUCGGCGCAGGUGGGCUCGCGGAGGAGGUGGACGAGAAGAUCCUGCACGCGGCGUUCGUGCCGUUCGGGGAGGUCAAGGACGUCAAGACGCCGCUCGACCAGGCCACGCAGAAGCACCGCUCCUUCGGCUUCGUCACCUUCCUCGAGCGCGAGGACGCCGCCGCCGCCAUGGACAACAUGGACGGCGCCGAGCUCUUCGGCCGCGUCCUCACCGUGAACUACGCCUUCCCCGAGAAAAUCAAGGGAGGGGAGCAGGGAUGGGCCGCCCAGCCAGGUAUGCCACGCGCCCCAUGCUUCUCCGGUUCAAUUACGCCCUGCUUUCGUGCUGCCCUGGUGCUUGCUUGUCACUAGGGUUAGUGCUGCCAAACGUCUUCACCUGCUAUGAGGUAGUAAAGGUUAAGGCCUUAAGGGUGUGGAAUUUUUACGACUUGCGAUUAGACUAAAGCCUAGCAAUAUGAUUAUUGUCCCCGAAUUAUGCUUUUGCAUUGUGGUUUGUCUUUAUGUUUUCAUUAUAAGGAUUUUCUCCAGUUCGAAUUGGUAGAAAAAAUGAAUGCCCAUGAGCAUUAAGUUAUUGUGCUGACCAACAAGUUGCAGGUCUUGGAUUGGUUUGUGUUCAUAGGGUCUGGAUUUAUUCUAAUGUGGUUAGCAAUAGAUUUCUACUUACAACUCUCUGUAUUGGAAAAAUGUUAGCUCUUGCUUGGUAGAAACAAUGUUCAGAAUUCCAACUAUAAUCUGAAUAUUCCAAAUGUGUUAAUAUGGUUCAUUUCUAGUAGUCAGCAAUCAGCAUUCUAGGUCCUCUGCUAAUCUCAGAAUAUCUAAUUUACUAUGGAUGGUCCCAUAUUGAAAAUAUAGCCCUUGCCUGGUUUAGUUGAAACGAUGGUACUAAACUACGGUAAAUAUUUUGUCCCUCUUAUUGUCUCAUUAAUUAGCAAGGAUCCUUAACUGGUUUUAGAGGAUUUUGGAAUUAUUUCAUAUGUUACUAUUUAGCAAUGAAAAAAGACGAAACAUGGUUGUAAUGUGGAGGCAUGACUACAAGCAGUGGAGCCAUGUGCCUGCGGGUGUGACGGCAGAAGUAGGCUGCCUAAGAGCAUCUCUAGUAGAACCCUCAAACCCUUAAAUCCAAAAUCAGUUUUAAGGGUUGAGAAUUGGUCAUUUUUGACACUUUUAAGGGUUGAAAAACAGAGGCAAAGACUAGAACCCUCAAACCCAACCCUUAUAGCCUAGUUUUGAACACUAUGAACAUGCACGCGGAGGAACAUAGGAUACAAAAAUGACUUCAGCCGCGGAGGAGCUCGCGCUCGCGGAGGAGCUCGCGCNNNNNNNNNNNNNNNNNNNNNNNNNNNNNNNNNNNNNNNNNNNNNNNNNNNNNNNNNNNNNNNNNNNNNNNNNNNNNNNNNNNNNNNNNNNNNNNNNNNNNNNNNNNNNNNNNNNNNNNNNNNNNNNNNNNNNNNNNNNNNNNNNNNNNNNNNNNNNNNNNNNNNNNNNNNAGGAGCUCGCGCUCGCGCUGCCUGGACGAGGCCGUCUCGCGUACCGCGCGGUGGAGCUGCGCCGGGCGCCGCGGCCCUUCUCGGCGGGCGGCCGCGGCAGGCGCGGCGGCGGGCGGGGGCGCGGCGGCUGGAGCACGGGGGNGGGAGGCGGGGCGGCGGCCGGAGCGCGGGGGGCGGCGGGGCGGCGGCGGCCGGAGCAACUUCCUCGCGCGGGCGGGAACCAACUGCCUCCCGCGCGAGGUGGGAAGUGGAGUACGGGUUGGGGGCAGUUUUCCCCCCCAACCCUCACUUCUACAGGCUGGGAAGGGGUUUGAGGGUUCGACCUCUAAUUUUUUUUACGGGUUUAAGGGUUUAAGGGUUCUAGUCUACGCCGUUUUUCCGAUGAAAACUGUAAAAAAGCGGUUAUUUUUAAGGGUUUGAGGGUNNNNNNNNNNNNNNNNNNNNNNNNNNNNNNNNNNNNNNNNNNNNNNNNNNNNNNNNNNNNNNNNNNNNNNNNNNNNNNNNNNNNNNNNNNNNNNNNNNNNNNNNNNNNNNNNNNNNNNNNNNNNNNNNNNNNNNNNNNNNNNNNNNNNNNNNNNNNNNNNNNNNNNNNNNNNNNNNNNNNNNNNNNNNNNNUCUACUAGAGAUGCUCUAAGCCAGCUUAGAGAAAAGCCUUAACCUAGCUUGCUAUUUCCUUUAAAUUAGUUGCAUUGCUUGAUGAACCGAGUGUCAACAACGCACACCAAUGUGAUAGCCUUGGAUGAUGAACUCAGCAAAAAAAACACUUGAUGGAUGUCUCGAGCCCAUUCGAAGAGACGCCGUUCGAUUCUUACAAACAGAAGGAAAUGCAAGAAUUAGGGUGGAGGGGAUCUCCUACUUCUAUGGGUGGCUUAGAAGCUCGAAAUCUAGGUAGGACGAAAGCUGAACUAGUUUCUUCUCAAAUCAAAGUGUGAAAGCAUUACAUACUACCCAAUUCUCAUGAAGAUUAGGUGGUGAGUCAAGCACGAUAAGAUCCACCUGUUAUUAUAUUUGGUUGCCCGAGCUCUUCUAAUUGAUCCUACUUGAGUUGGUUGUCUAGCAUUAGGUGUUAUUGGGGAUGUCUCCAUCAGUCUCCCUAUGUGUAGUGCCUUGGCCAGAGGAUUAAAAGUAAACACGGAAACUAAUAUUUCUUCUUCCCCGUCUCUUUCGUUCUCUCUACCCUCCUGNNNNNNNNNNNNNNNNNNNNNNNNNNNNNNNNNNNNNNNNNNNNNNNNNNNNNNNNNNNNNNNNNNNNNNNNNNNNNNNNNNNNNNNNNNNNNNNNNNNNNNNNNNNNNNNNNNNNNNNNNNNNNNNNNNNNNNNNNNNNNNNNNNNNNNNNNNNNNNNNNNNNNNNNNNNNNNNNNNNNNNNNNNNNNNNNNNNNNNNNNNNNNNNNNNNNNNNNNNNGAAAAAUUACAGUGAUACUUCUUCCCUGUCUCUUUCUUUCUCUCUACCCUCCUGCCACCAUGCUCUGGGGGCGUGGUUUCACGGCGCAGCAUCCCAUUGAGCACAACUUCUACCUUUGCUUGGGUUCCAGGCAACAUAUCAUGGCUAGUACUCCCUCCGUCCCAAAAUAAGUGUCUUAAGCUUAGUAUAACUUUAUACUAGAGCUAGUACAAAGUUGAGACAGUUAUUUUGGGACGGAGGGAGUACAUGGAACUAAGCUUGAACUUAACGGUCCCUCUGUAGUGAAAGAACUGCAGUAGAACAUAUCUAUCAGGAAGAAACUGUAAGGAAGUCCAUCUAGGAGUCCACAGCUGUUCACACUGUGAAACUCUUCUUGGUAUUCACGAUAUGAACAGAAAAAUUACAGUGAUAUGUUACUGGUACUCAAGCUGAGUUCUUCUUUCGCAUCAGAACAUUUUACGUAUUAUGUAAUUUUAGGCUCUGUUUUCAACACAACAUUCUUGUAAGAAUUUCUUCAGAACUCAUAUUCAAUUAGAGUGAAUGUUUCAUUUUGUACAAAAGCCUAUGCUCCAAAUGGUAACUAACUGUUGCAAAUAGUAUAAUGAACUUGGUUGAUUUGUUAUAUACCAAAAACAAAACUAUAGAAGCUGGUGGUACAAAUAACAAAGCGUUUUAGAUGAGUUUCUAAAUCACUGUUUCCCCAAAAGCUAUUUUAUAAACUUGCCGCAGAAUAUGUAUUGACAUGUAUUAUCUCCAAUAGUUUGUACGCGUUGCUGCAGUUGUCAUUGGUAUAUUUGUUCAGCGGAGCUUCUUUCUGUCUGAAACAACUAAAGCCAUUCUUAAGUCCUUUUGUCCAAAUUAUGUAGCAAGCAUGACAUGUACACUUGUAAGUUCCCCAUAUUAUUAUUUAUUAUUUCUCGAUGCACAUAGUUGAUCUGCAAUCUUCUGUUUAGCACAUCAUACAAGUUAUCUUCUUUGCCAUUCUUCUGCAAUUUUUAUUCUAUGGGGCAAACUAAUGCACAAAGAUUGAAGGAUUAGUGUGUGCUUCCAAUGCUCAUGCUUCCCGUGUUUUCAUGUUUAGAGUCUUCAAAUAUAACGUUAUGGGUGCUCACUGGUAUGUUUCUCUGUUCAGUUUGGGCGGAUGCGGAUACUUGGUUUGAGAGGCAGCAGCAAGAAGAGGAAAUGAAGCGCCUUCAGACAGAGCAGAAUGCAGCAAUGAAAGAAGCAGAAAGGCUUCACAGGGAGAAAGUAGCCGCAGAAAAGAACGGUGAAACGGAUGAAGCAGAUCCCAUGGCUGUGGCGGAAGCUCAGGCCGUGAACUAGAGGCUGUUAAAUCCUUCGAUACUAACAUUGGAACAAGUACUGUAUGCAUUCUCAGUCAAUCUGUGUAACUUCUUGCUGUUUUCUGUCAGCGAACUUGCUAGGGUUGUUAACUAAUCCUAUUUCUUGAAGAGAUGGUUCUGCUCAUUCUGUCCGUGUAUCUCUUGACAUGGAAUUUGUGUUUACGGUAGCAUGGAUGUUUCUGUGUUCAGUUAUGCUGUUACAUGUUAUUGGGUUGAACUGUGUUACAUCAUAUUUAGCUGGAUUCAUGAUUGUGCAUUCCAAACCAGGAGCCUGGCAUUAAGGAGUACACUGUUCAUUCCUCGUAGGCAUCACAUCACAAUACCCACUUUCGCUAGAUCAAAAUUUCAGGAGAUUGCACCAUAUCUGUCCAUAGAGGAAACAAAAUAUGUUCUCCUGUCAAGAUUUCUAGUGCUAUUUUGAGUGCAUCACUUGUUAUUUGACAAUUCCUUUACGAAAUUUGCUUCGGUGUACCCCCUUUAGAAAAGUUUCAGAUUUAUAUCCACGAUAAAUACUUUGUGUUAAGCUUUGAGUGAAAUCGUGGCAGGAUUAAUAUAAAUACGAUUGCCUUUUGAUAGCUCAUACUACUCGCACAGGUUUCUGAUAUUACAGAACAAUCUUGCAUUACUAAACCCCAAGAAGCAUUACUAUGAUAGUACUCCCUCCGUUUCAAAAUAUAAGACCUUUUAGGUAUUUCACUAGAAGACUACGUACGGAGCAAAAUGAGUGAACCUAUACUCUAAAAUAUGUCUAUAUACAUCCGUAUGUAGUUUAUAGUACAAUCUCUAAAAGGUCUUAUAUUUAGAAACGGAGGGAGUAUGAUAUUACCUUACUUGGUGAACUGAGCACAACUGCUAUGAAAGAACUGUGGCAUCUAAUUUGUGUAUUCCAUGCAUGGUUGUGUUACUGGUGCUUAAGUAGUUGGUAGUUUCUACUCGCUAGAAUUGAAAAAAUAUUAUGUUUUGUACUCCGCCUGAUGUCAGUAGAGAAAUAACAAGACAUGCAUUUUGAGGUCCUCAUAAUGUUGUGACCCCUGAACCUAAAUAUUUUUGCUUUUGUUUUAGAUUUUUCGAGCGCAUUAGAGUUACGCCUACAAACCGCAAUGUGCAGGGUGUCUUCUAGUUUGUAAUGAUUCUGUGAAUUGGAUAAAAAAAAUCCCACCAAAACUUGCCUACUUUGCUGCCAUCACUGAGUACUCCUGAAUAUAUGCAAACCAUGUAUUCCAUGAAGAAACGGAUUUUUCUUAUCUAGCAUACAUUCUUCUUCAAUAAAAGGGUUACAUGAUACGGAAGAGACAAAGCAAUAAUAAGAGAUAACACAGAGAGUAAUAUAUGAGGAUAAAACCAGUAGCUGUGAAUCUUGCAGAUUGCUGCAAUACAGAUCUGUUUCACGCCUGACCAUAUAUUCCAUGACGAAGCAAUUUGUCCACAUGCUGGAUUUUUCUGAUUCGGCAUACAGGCAAAUUUACAUGACGAGAAAACUGAAAGCAAGACACGUGGACUACGACAUCUCUACAGGAUCAUGUAUAUGUACAUGAAGAUCAAUUAGGUAUAACCAAGGAACAUGAAUAUUGUCCCCGCCAUCAAGGAGAACCUUGUUAGUGGCUCCCUUCUAUGUAGAGAAGGGUUUAAGUUGGUCUUCGAGUCUAAUAAAGUAGUUGUUAUGAAAUAUGAACUUUCUGUUGGAAAAGGUUAUGAAUGCGGAGGUCUGUUCUGCCUUUCCCUUGCAGAUUUUUGUAAUAAAGUCGUGAACAAUAUUCAUUCAAGUGUUAAUGAAUCUGAAGUUUGGAAUUCACGUCUUCUUCACAUUAGUUUCGGUGUUAUGUCGUGGCUAGCAAAACUGAAUUUAAUCCCGAGUUUUACUUUAGCCAAAUGUUUGAAGUGAUAUUCGUGUGUGCAAGCAAUGCAACCUCGCAAGACUCACAAGGCUGCAUAGGAGAGACACUUGGCGCCGUUAUAACUCAUACAUUCUGAUCUUUGUGAGAUGAAUGACGUGUUGACUAAAAGUGGAAAGAAAUACUUCAUGACAUUGAUAGAUGAUUCCACUAGAUAUUGCUAUAUGUAUUUGUUAAAUACUAAAGAUGAGGCUCUAGACUACUUUAAAAUCUAUAAGGCAGAAGUUGAGAAUCAACUUGAAAAGAAAAUUAAACGAGUCCGGUCCGAUCGUGGUGGAGAGUACUUCUCAAAUGAGUUUGAUUCUUUUUUAUGCAGAACACAACAUUAUUCAUGAUAGGAUGCCUCCCUAUUCACCCUAGUCAAAUGAGGUUGCCGAGCGGAAAAACCAUACUCUAACUGAUUUUGUUAACGCCAUGUUAGAUACAUCGGGUUUAUUCAAAGUGGGGGAAGGCUAUAUUGACUUCGUGUCAUGUCUUGAAUAAGGUUCUGACAAAAGAUAAUGAGGUCACUCCCUAUGAGGAGUGGUUGAAGAGAAGGACGACGCUCUCCUACUUACGUACUUGGGGUUGCUUGGCGAAAGUCAAUGUGCUGAUCCCCUAAAAGCGUAAGCUUGGACCAAAGACCGUGGACUGCGUUAAUUUGGGCUACGCUAAGAAUAUCGUUGGCUAUAGAUCUCUAAUAGUGAAAUCCGAGGUACCUAAUGUGAAGGUCGGUACAAUUAUGGAGCCUAAGGAUGCUACAUUCUUUGAGGAUAUCUUUUCCAUGAGAGAUAUGCAAAGCACUUCUAGACAGGAAUCUGAGGAGACUAGUGAGCUUGCCAUUCCUACGGAAUAUUAUGAACAAACACAUGAUAAAAAUCAUGAGGAGGAUGACGAGGAAACCCUUGGUAGGGGCAAGAGACAAAGGACUGCAAAGACCUUUGGUGAUGAUUUCCUCGUGUACCUUGUGGAUGAUAAUCCCACUUCUAUUUCACAAGCUUAUGCAUCUUCAUAUGCUGACUAGUGGAAAGAUGUGGCCCAUAACGAGAUGGAUUCCAUCAUGGCUAAUGGGACAUGGCAAAUUACUGAUCGUCCCUAUGGUUGGGAACCAUUGGGAUGUAAGUGGGUGUUCAGAAGGAAGCUUAGGCUCGAUGGUACAAUUGAAAAGUACAAGGCUAGGCUUGUGGCCAAGGGCUAUGCCCAGAAAGAAGAACAAGAUUUCUUUGACACUUAUUCGCCUGUGGAUAGACUGACCACCAUUCGAGUACUACUCUCGUUAGCGGCCUCACAUGGUCUUCUCGUUCAUCAAAUGGAUGUCAAGACGACUUUCCUAAAUGGAGAGCUAGACGAGGAAAUCUAUAUGCAACAGUUAGAUGGCUUUGUGAUAGAUGGCUAGGAAGGAAAUGUGUGUAAGUUCGGGAAAUCUUUUAUAUGGCUUGAUACAAGCACCUAAGCAAUGGCAUGAGAAGUUUAAUACAACUCUGACACCUAUUGGCUUCAUUUUUAAUGAAGCUGACAAAUGCGUAUACUAUCGCCAUGGUGGGGGCGAAGGAGUUAUAUUAUGCUUAUAUGUUGAUGACAUACUGAUAUUUGGAACCAACCUCAAAGUGAUUGAGGAGGUUGAUACGUCUCCAACGUAUCUAUAAUUUCUGAUAAUUUCAUGCUAGUAUCUUGUCAAACUUUGGAUGUUUUGCAUGCCUUUUAUAUAUUUUUUGGGACUAACUUAUUAACACAGUGCCAAGUGUCAGUUCCUGGUUUUUCCAUGUUUUUUACCCCUUUUAGAGGAGAUUUUGAAACGGAGUCCAAAUGGAAUAAAAUCCCCAAAAAGAUUUUUUCCGUAAAAGAAGAAGAUCAGGAGACUUGAGAGCCAAGGCAGGGGGCCCCAAGGGCCCCACAAGCCCCCACCUCGUGGCCAGGGGGGAGGCCGCGGCCCACAGGCUUGUGGGCCCCCUGGACCUCCUUUGCCCUAGGUUUUGCGCCUAUAUAUCUCCAAAAAUUCCACAAAAAAUCAGGAGAUCAUCGAAAGUACUUUUCCGCCGCCGCAAGCUUCUGUCUCCGCAAGAUCCCAUCUGGGGCACGUUCUGGUGCCGUGCCGGAGUGGGGAUUCGGAUACGGAGGGCUUCUUCAUCAACACCAUUACCUCUCCGAUGAUGCGUGAGUAGUUCACCAUAGACCUACGGGUCCAUAGCUAGUAACUAGAUGGCUUCUUCUCUCUCUUGGAUCUUCAAUACAAAGUUCUCCAUGAUCUUCAUGGAGAUCUAUCCGAUGUAAUCUUCUUUUGCGGUGUGUUUGUCGAUAUCAGAUGAAUUGUGGAUUUAUGAUCAGAUUAUCUAUGAAUCUUAUUUGAGUUUCUUCUGAUCUCUCUUAUGCAUGAUUUCAUAUCCUUGUAAUUCUCUUCGAGUUGUGGGCUUUGUUUGGCCAACUAGAUCUAUGAUUCUUGCAAUGGGAGAAGUGCUUGGUUUUGGGUUCAUACCGUGCGGUGACCUCACCCAGUGAAAGAAGGGGUAGCGAGGCACGCAUCGUGUUGUUGCCAUCAAGGGUAAAAAGAUGGGGUUUUCAUCAUUGGUCUGAGACUAUCCCUCUACAUCAUGUCAUCUUGCUUGAGGCGUUACUCUGCUCGUCAUGAACUCAAUGCACUAGAUGCAUGCUCGAUAGCGGUCGAUGUGUGGAGUAAUAGUAGUAGAUGUAGAAAGUAUCGGUCUAGUUGUCUCGGAUGUGAUGCCUAUAUGUAUGAUCAUUGCCUUAGAUAUCGUCAUGACUUUGCGCGGUUCUAUCAAUUGCUCGACAGUAAUUUGUUUACCCACCGUGAUAUUUUCUAUUUUGAUAGAAGCCUCUAGUGAACACUAUGGCCCCCGGGUCUACUCCACACCAUAUUUUCAGCCUUACACUUUUUUACUUUGUUGCACUUUUCGCCUUCAGAUCUUACUUUGCAAACAAUCUUGAAGGGAUUGACAACCCCUUUAAAGCGUUGGGUGCAAGCUCUUUUGUGUUUGCGCAAUUACUCUGGACUUGACGAGAUUCUCCUACUGGAUUGAUACCUUGGUUCUCAAACCGAGGGAAAUACUUACUGCUGCUGUGCUGCAUCACCCUUUCCUCUUCAAGGAAAAAAACCAACACAAGCUCAAGAGACGACAGAAGGAUCUCUCGCACCACUGCCGGGGAAGGACUUUUGUUGGCGUAGCAGAAGGAUUUCUCGCACCGUUGCCGGGGAGGAUCAAGUCAAGAACUCAUCCAAGUAGGUGUUGCAAACUCAUCUCUUGCAUUUACCUUGUUUGCGAGUUGCCUCUCAUUUUCCUCUCCCCCACUCCACCAAUUUGCCUUUUCGUUUGCCUUUUUUGUUUGCCGUUUCGUUCGCCCUUUUUCUAGCUUGCUCUUUGUUCGCUUGUGUGCUUGCUUGCUUGCCGAAGUCACCAUGAAUGAAAACACCAAACUUUGUGACUUCUCAAAUACUAAUAAUAAUGAUUUUAUUAGUACUCCGAUUGCUCCCGCCACUAGUGCGGAGUCAUACGAAAUCAAUGCCGCUUUGGUGAACCUUGUUAUGAAAGAGCAAUUCUCCGGCCUUCCUAGUGAAGAUGCCGCAUCCCAUCUCAAUACCUUCAUUGAGCUUUGCGAUAUGAAAAAUAAGAAAGAUGUGGAUAAUGACGUGAUUAAAUUGAAGCUUUUUCCUUUCUCGUUGCGAGAUCACGCAAAAACUUGGUUUUCUUCUUUGCCCAAAAAUAGUAUCGAUUCUUGGGAUAAGUGCAAAGAUGCUUAUAUAUCCAAGUAUUUUCCGCCGGCUAAGAUUAUCUCUCUCCGUAAUGAUAUCAUGAAUUUCAAGAAACUUGAUCAUGAACAUGUUGCACAAUCUUGGGAGAGAAUGAAAUUAAUGAUUAGAAAUUGUCCCGCUCAUGGCUUGAAUCUUUGGAUGAUUAUUCAAAUCUUUUACGCUGGCUUGAAUUUCAUUUCUAGAAAUAUCUUGGACUCCGCCUCAGGUGGAACGUUCAUGGAAAUCACGUUAGGGGAAGCCACAAAGCUCUUAGACAACAUCAUGACGAACUACUCUCAGUGGCACACUGAAAGGUCACCUACUAGUAAGAAUGUACACGCUAUAGAAGAAAUUAACUCGUUGAGUGCUAAGAUGGACGAGUUAAUGAAUUUGGUUGCUAGUAGAAGUGCUCCUUUGGAUCCUAAGGAUAUGCCCUUGUCUUCUUUGAUUGAUAGUAGCAACGCUAGCUUGGACGUUAAUUUUGUUGGUAGGAAUAACUUUGGCAAGAAGAAUGCUUUUAGAGGAAACUAUGUUCCUAGUCCUUUUCCUAGUAACUCCUCUAAUAAUUUUGGCAACUCCUACAACAAUACUCUUGGAAAUUACAAUAGAUUACCCUCUGAUCUAGAGAGUAAUAUCAAAGAGUUCAUCAACUCUCAAAAGAUUUUCAAUGCGUCCAUAGAGGAAAAACUACUUAAAAUUGACGAUUUGGCUAAGAGCGUUGAUAGAAUGUCUAGUGAUGUUGAUGCUUUGAAAGUUAGAUGUGCUCCUCCCAAAAUCAACAUGUACGAAACUUUGAAAGCUAUGCGUGUUUCCAUGAUUGAGAGCCAAGAAAGAACCGCCCAAAUUCGUGCUAGACAUGAAUGGCUUAAAAAGGCGUGUUCUCGUGAUGAGAAUCACGAAGAUCUUGAAGUGCUUGGUGUGACUCCCAUUGAAUCUUUGUUUUCUUGUGUCAAACCUAAUGAUUAUGGGGCUGGAUAUGAAUCCACUUUGGUUGAAAAGUGCCCCAAUGAUUCGGAGUCCAUCUAUCUUGAUGCUAAAAGCAUUGAAAGUGGAGUAGAAGAUGUUAAAACUUUGAGUAGUAAUGAAAUUACUACUGUGGAUUUCAAGGAAUUCAAUUAUGAUAGUUGCUCCUUGAUUGAAUGCAUUUCUUUGAUGCAAUCCAUGUUAAACUCUCCACACGCUUAUAGCCAAAACAAGGCCUUUACCGAUCAUAUCGUCGAAGCUAUGAUAAAAUCUCUUGAAGAGAAACUUGAAUUGGAAGUCUCUAUCCCUAGAAAGCUUCAUGAUGAGUGGGAACCUACCAUCAAAAUCAAAAUCAAAAACUACGAAUGCAAUGCUUUGUGUGAUUUGGGUGCUAGUGUUUCUGCGAUUCCAAAGUCUUUAUGUGAUGUGCUAGGUUUGAAUAAGAUUGAAGAGUGUUCUCUUAAUUUGCAUCUUGCUGAUUCUACUGUCAAGAAACCCAUGGGAAGGAUCAAUGAUGUUCUUAUUAUUGCAAAUAGGAACUAUGUAUCCGUGGAUUUCAUUGUGCUUGACAUUGAUUGCAAUCCUGCAUGCCCUAUUAUUCUUGGUAGACCUUUCCUAAGGACUAUCGGUGCUAUCAUCGUUAUGAAGGAAGGAAAUUUUAGAUUUCAAUUUCCUUUAAGGAAGGGCAUGGAACACUUUCCUAGAAAGAAAAUAAGACUGCCUUAUGAAUCCAUGAUGAGGGCCACUUAUGGUUUGAGCGCCAAAGACGACGAUACGUGAUCCUAUCGCUUUUAUGCCUAGCUAAGGGCGUUAAAUAAUAGCGCUUGUUGGGAGGCAAUCCAAUGAAUUUAUCUUUUUCUUUCUGUUUUGUUGCGUCCACACCAUCACAAUUCUGUUGUGAUUGUGUUUUUUGUGUUUGAGCCAAGCAAAACCUUUAUGACUAGUCUUGGUGAUGGUUGUUUGAUCUUGCUGGAAAAAGACAGAAACUUUUCGCUCACGCGAUGAUUUUUCAUUUUUAUUCAGAAAGAGCUUUUGAGUUGAUUUUUUUGCUGCUGGUUGAUAUGCCUUUCGCCCACGCAGUCGUUAUUUUUCAGAAUUUUUGAGGUACCAGAAGUAUACGAAGUAUACAGAUAGCUACAGACUGGUCUGUUUUUGACAGGUUCUGUUUUUUGUUGAGUUGGUUGCUUGUUUUGAUGAAACUAUGGUUAGUAUCGGGGGUACUAGCCAUGGAAAAGUGAGAAUACAGUAGCCCAACAUCAAUAUAGAUGGAAUUCAAGUUUGCUACAGUACCAAAAGAGGUGGUAGUUUGUUUUCUUGUGCUAAUGUUAUCACGAGUUUCUGUUUAAGUUUUGUGUUGUGAAGUUUUCAAGUUUUGGCUGAUGUUCUCAUGGACAAAGAGAUAAGAAGUGGAAAGAGCUCAAGCUUGGGGAUGCCCAAGGCAUCCCAAGCCAAAUUCAAGGACACCAAAAAUCCUAAGCUUGGGGAUGCCCCGGGAAGGCAUCCCCUCUUUCGUCUUCAAUCCAUCGGUAACAUUACUUGGAGCUAUAUUUUUAUUCACCACAUGAUAUGUGUUUUUCUUGGAGCGUCUUGUAUCGUAGGAGUCUUUUCUUUUUGUUGUGUCACAAUCAUCCUUGUUGCACACCUUUUGAGAGAGAGAGACAUGCACUCAUCAUGAUUUUGCUAGAAUGCUCAUAGUGCUUCACUUAUAUCUUUUGAGCUAGAUACUUUUGCUCUAUGUGCUUCACUUAUAUCUUUUAGAGCACGGCGGUGCGUGACUUGGUAGUUGUCUUAAGCUAUGAAAGUAGUCCCAAAGGUGAUAGGUACCCAAAGAGGAUGCAAAAACCUCCAUCUUCAUGUGCAUUGAGUAGAAAGAGAAGUCUUGAUUCCUCUCAAUUAGUUUUGAGACGUCGAUUCAGUAAUAUUAAGAGCUAUGUUAGUAGGGUGUUGUGAAUCUAGAGAUACUUGUGUUGAAGUUAGUGAUUCCCGUAGCAUGCACGUAUGGUGAACCGCUAUGUUAGGAAGUCGGAGCAUAAUUGAUCUAUUGAUUGUCAUCCUUUGUGUUGAGGUCGGGAUCGCGCGAUGGUGAACACCUACCAACCCUUCCCCUCGGAGUAUGCACUUAGCACUUUGUUUCGAUUACUAAUAAAAACUUUCACAACAAGUAUGUGAGUUCUUCAGACUAAUGUGAGUCCAUGGUAUAGAUGCACUUUCACCUUUCACCUUUGCUAGCCUCUCUAGUGCCGCGCAACUUUCGCCGUUGCACCAAGCCACCAUAUGCCUUCCUCAAAACAGCCACCAUACCGACCUACUAUGGCAUUUUCAUAGCCAUUCCGAGAUAUAUUGCAUGCAACUCCCACCGUUCCGUCUCAUGACUUGUGUCGUCACUCUCAUAUUGCCAUUGCAUGAUCAUAAGAUAGCUAGCGAGAUGUUUUCAACGUCAUACGCCAUGCUAGAUCAUUGCACAUCCCGGUACACUACUGGAGGCAUUCCCUAUAGAGUCAUCAUUUUGAGCUUUGAGCUGUGAGUAAAUAAAAGUGUGAUGAUCAUCAUUAUUAGAGCAUUGUCCCAUGUGAGGAAAUAAAAAAAAGAGCCCAAAAAUAAAAAAGAAAAAAAGAAAAAAAGAGAAGAGGCCUAAGAGCCCAAAUAAAAAAAGAGAAAAAGAGAGAAAGGACAAUGCUACAAUCUUUUUCCACACUUGUGCUUCAUAAUAGCACCAUGUUCUUCAUGAUUGAGAGCUUCUUGCUUUGUCACUAUCAUAUGCUAGUGGGAAUCUUCAUUAUAUAACUUGGCUUGUAUAUUUCAAUGAUGGGCUUCCUCAAAAUUGCCCUAGGUCCUCGUGAGCAAGCAAGUUGGAUGCACACCCACUAGUUCUCCUUUUGAGCUUUCACAUACUUAUAGCUCUAGUGCAUCUCUUGUAUGGCAAUCCCUACUCAUUGACAUUGAUAUCUAUUAAUGGGCAUCUCCAUAGCCCUUUGAUACGCCGAGUCAAUGUGACCAUCUCCUCCUUUUUGUCUCACAACACCACCACACUCUAUUCCACCUAUAGUGCUAUAUCCAUGGCUCACGCUCAUGUAUUGCGUGAUAGUUAUAAAAAGUUUGAGAAAGUAAGAGUGCGAAAACAAUUACUUGGCCAAUACCGGGGUUGUGCAUGAUUUACAUUAGUUGUGUGAGGAUGAUGGAGCAUAGCCAGACUAUAUGAUUUUGUAGGGAUAACUUUCCUUGGCCUUGUUAUUUUGAAAGUUCAUGACUACCUUCCUAGUUUGCUUGAAGUAUUAUUGUUUUCAUGUCAAUAGCAAACUAUCAUUUCGAAUCUUACGGAUGUGAACAUUCAUGUCACGUGAAAGAAGUUGCAAAGGACAACUAUGCUAGGUAGCAUUCCACAUCAAAAAUUCAUUCUUUAUCACUUCCCUACUCGAGGACUAGCAAGAGUUAAGCUUGGGGAUGCUUGAUACGUCUCCAACGUAUCUAUUAUUUUAGAUGGUUUCAUGCUAUUAUCUUGUCAAACUUUGGAUGUUUUGCGUGCCUUUUAUAUAUUUUUUGGGACUAACUUAUUAACUCAAUGCCAAGUGCCAGUUCCUAUUUUUUCCAUGUUUUGACCCCUUUCAGAGGAGAUUUUGAAACGGAGUCCAAACGGAAUAAAAUCCCCGAAAAGAUUUUUUCCGUAACAGAAGAAGAUAAGGAGACUUGAGAGCCAAAGCAGGGGGGGUCCCAGGGGCCCCACAAGCCCCCAACCCACGGCCAGGGGGGGAGGCCGCGGCCCACAGGCUUGUGGGCCCCCUGGACCUCCUUUGCCCUAGGUUUUGCGCCUAUAUAUCCUCAAAAAUUCCACAAAAAAAAUCAGGAGAUCAUUGAAAGUACUUUUCCGCCGCCGCAAGCUUCUGUCUCCGCAAGAUUCCAUCUGGGCACGUUCUAGUGCCCUGCCGGAGGGGGAUUCGGAUACGGAGGGCUUCUUCAUCAACACCAUGACCUCUCCGAUGAUGCAUGAGUAGUUCACCAUAGACCUACGGGUCCAUAGCUAGUAACUAGUGGCUUCUUCUCUCUCUUGGAUCUUCAAUACAAAGUUCUCCAUGAUCUUCAUGAGAUCUAUCUGAUGUAAUCUUAUUUUGCGGUGUGUUUGUCGAGAUCCGAUGAAUUGUGUAUUUAUGAUCAGAUUAUCUAUGAAUCUUAUUUGAGUUUCUUCUGAUCUCUCUUAUGCAUGAUUUCAUAUCCUUGUAAUUCUCUUCGAGUUGUGGGUUUUGUUUGGCCAACCAGAUCUAUGAUUCUUGCAAUGGGAGAAGUGCUUGGUUUUGGGUUCAUACCGUGCGGUGACCUCACCCAGUGACAGAAGGGGUAGCGAGGCACACAUCGUGUUGUUGCCAUCAAGGGUAAAAAGAUGGGGUUUUCAUCAUUGGUUUGAGACUAUCCCUCUACAUCAUGUCAUCUUGCUUAAGGCGUUACUAUGUUCGUCAUGAACUCAAUACACUAGAUGCAUGCUUGAUAGCGGUCGAUGUGUGGAGUAAUAGUAGUAGAUGCAGAAAGUAUCGGUUUACUUGUCUCGGACGUGAUGCCUAUAUGUAUGAUCAUUGCCUUAGAUAUCGUCAUGACUUUGCGCGGUUCUAUCAAUUGCUCGACAGUAAUUUGUUUACCCACCGUGAUAUUUGCUAUUUUGAGAGAAGCCUCUAGUGAACACUAUGGCCCCCGGGUCUACUCCACACCAUAUUUUCAGCCUUACACUUUUUUACUUCGUUGCACUUUUCACCUUCAGAUCUCACUUUGCAAACAAUCUUGAAGGGAUUGACAACCCCUUUAAAGCGUUGGGUGCAAGCUCUUUUGUGUUUGAGCAGGUACUCUGGACUUGACGAGAUUCUCCUACUGGAUUGAUACCUUGGUUCUCAAACUGAGGGAAAUACUUACUGCUCCUGUGCUGCAUCACCCUUUCCUCUUCAAGGGAAAAAACCAACGCAAGCUCAAGAGACGAUAGAAGGAUCUCUGGCACCACUGCCGGGGAAGGACUUUUGUUGACGUAGUAGAGGUUAAGUCUUUGCUUUCUGAGAACUUUGAGAUGAAGGACGUUAGGGUGGCUGAUGUUAUCUUGAACAUCAAGCUUUUGAGAGAUGAUGAUGGUGGGAUUACACUCCUGCAAUCCCACUAUGUUGAGAAGAUUUUUAGUCGCUUUGGAUACUCGGACUGCAAAAUUUCUCAAAUACCAUAUGAUCCUACUGUGCUGGUUCGAAAGUUCACAUGCACAACUAAAGAUCAAUUGUGAUAAUCCUAAAUUAUUGGUUCACUUAUGUAUCUAACUAGUGCAACGAGGCGUGACACCGCGUUUGCUGUGAGAAAACUGAACCGGUUUGUUGCCAAUUCAGGUGAUGUUCAUUGGCAUGCUGUGGAAAGACCUAUGCGCUAUCCGAAAGGUACUAUAAACCACAUACUUCACUAUAUGGGACACUCGUCGGUACUUGAAGGGUAUAGUGAUGCGAAUUGGAUCUCUAAUGCUGAUGAGAUGAAGGCCACUACUAGGUAUAUGUUUACCCUUGGAGGUGGUGCUAUUUCCUAGAAGUCUUGUAAGCAAACGAUCUUAACAAGAUCGACAACGGAAGCAGAAUUUACAACAUUAGGCACAUAUGGUGUCGAAGCGGAAUUUAUUUGAGAUAUUUUGAUGGACUUGUGUGUGGUUGAGAAGCCGGUUCCAGCUAUCCUUAUGAACUACGAUAAUCAAAUAGUUAUUGUCAAAGUAAAGAGUUCAAAGUCCAACAAACAUAUAAGAAUGAGAUUGAAAGUUGUCAGAGGUUUGAGAAGCUCCGGAGUGAUAGCAUUGGAUUACAUCCAAACGGCUAAGAAUCUGGCAGAUCCCUUUACUAAAGGGCUAUCACGUGUUGUGAUAGAUAAUGCAUCAAGGGUGGGUAUGAGACCCACAUGUGUUUCCAUGGUGGUAACCCAACCUAUGUGACCGAAGAUCCCAUGAAGUAGGACCUGGAAAAACAAGCUAGUGCUGAACUGAGGAGAGUAACUUUACUAACCCACUCCAUUUGAGAUGCAAUAUUCUUGGAUACUAUACGAUAGGAUGACUAUUGUGUGUUCUAAAGAUUAUGUGUGAGAAAGAUGAUGUCCUGCAAAGUGAUCUUUGGAGGAAUACACCUAUAUGAGACCGACUGCUGGUCACGGUCUAUGGGAUUGGGGUCUGAUACGUCUCCAACGUAUCUAUAAUUUUUGAUGGUUUCAUGCUAUUAUCUUGUCAAACUUUGGAUGUUUUGCAUGCUUUUUAUUUAUUUUCUGGGACUAACUUAUUAACUCAGUGCCAAGUGACAGUUCCUGUUUUUCCAUGUUUUUGACCCCUUUGAGAGGAGAUUUUGAAACGGAGUCCAAACGGAAGAAAAUCCCCGAAAAGAUUUUUUCUGGAACGGAAGAAGAUCGGAGAACUUGGGAGCCAAGCCAGAAGAGCCCCAGGGGCCCCACAAGCCCCCACCAAGCGGCCAGGGGGCGCCAUCUAGGCUUGUGGGCCCCCUGGAGGUCUCCUGACCUAGAUCUUGCGCCUACAUAUUCCCAAAAAAAAUCAAGAGACGACCGCAAUCACUUUUCCACCGCCGCAAGCUUCUAUCUCCGCAAGAUCCCAUCUGGGCACGUUCUGGUGCCCUGCCGGAGGGGAGAUUCGGACACAGAGGGCUUCUUCAUCAAUACCAUGACCUCUCCGAUGAUGCGUGAGUAGUUCACCAUAGACCUACGGGUCCAUAACUAGUAACUAGAUGGCUUCUUCUCUCUCUUGGAUCUUCAAUACAAAGUUCUCCAUGAUCUUCAUGGAGAUCUAUCCGAUGUAAUCUUCUUUUGAGGUGUGUUUGUCGAGAUCCGAUGAAUUGUGGAUUUAUGAUCAGAUUAUCUAUGAAUCUUAUUAGAGUUUCUUCUGAUCUCUCUUAUGCAUGAUUUCAUAUCCUUGUAAUUCUCUUCGAGUUGUGGGUUUUGUCUGGCCAACUAGAUCUAUGAUUCUUGCAAUGGGAGAAGUGCUUGGUUUUGGGUUCAUACCAUGCGGUGACCUCACCCAGUGAUAGAAGGGGUAGCGAGGCACGCAUCGUGUUGUUGCCAUCAAGGGUAAAAAGAUGGGGUUUUCAUCAUUGGUUUGAGAUUAUCCCUCUACAUCAUGUCAUCUUGCUUAAAGCGUUACUCUGUUCGUCAUGAACUCAAUACACUAGAUGCAUGCUCGAUAGCGGUCGAUGUGUGGAGUAAUAGUAGCAGAUGCAGAAAGUAUCGGUCUACUUGUCUCGGACGUGAUGCCUAUAUGCAUGAUCAUUGCCUUAGAUAUCGUCAUGACUUUGCGCGGUUCUAUCAAUUGCUCGACAAGAAUUUGUUCACCCACCAUGAUAUUUUCUAUUAUGAGAGAAGUCUCUAGUGAACACUAUGGCCCCCAGGGUCUACUCCACACCAUAUUUUCAGCCUUACACUUUUUACUUCGUUGCACUUUCUACCUUCAGAUCUCACUUUGCAAACAAUCUUGAAGGGAUUGACAACCCCUUUGAAGCGUUGGGUGCAAGCCUGUUUGUGUUUGCGCAGGUACUUUGGACUUUACAAGGCCCUCCUUCUAGAUCGAUACCUUGGUUCUCAAACUAAGGAAAAUACUUACUGCUCCUGUGCUGCGUCACCCUUUCCUCUUCAAGGGAAAAACCGACGCAAACUAGAGAAGUAACAAGAAGAAUUCAUACGUGCUAGGGAAGGACUUUUGUUGCCGUAGAAGAACAAUUUCUGGCGCCGUUGCCGGGGAGGAAGAUCAAAUCAAGAACUCACCCAAGUAGGUGUCGCAAACUCAUCUCUUGCAUUUACUUUGUUUGCCAGUUGCCUCUCGUUUUCCUCUCCCCCACUUCACCAAUUUGCCUUUUUCGUUCGCCCUUUUUCUUCGCCCUUUUUCUCGCGUGCUUUUUGUUUGCUUGUGUGCUUGCUUGCUUGCUGAAGUCACCAUGAACGAAAACACCAAGCUUUGUGACUUCUCGAAUACUAAUAAUAACGGAUAUUUAAAUUAGUGCCCCUGGUUCCUUAGUUGUGCUCACUUUUCCCCACGCUCCAAAGUUUUCUCACUUUCCCCCUCUUCCUUAGCUAAAACUCUCACAAAUGCUCAUAGCGGCCGUUUGUCGUCUUGACCGUCCAUUGACCGUUAAUUGCUGGCGAGUGGGGCCGAGUCUUCGUCUAACUGUUGCUUGCUGACGGGUGGGACCGCAAGGAGACACGUAUUGGGCAGCUUGUCUGAAUCUGAAUCUGAAACACGUAUUGGGCAAGGAGACACGUAACGGGUGAAGGGGAAGGGAGUUCAGACAUCAUCUGUCUGUGCUAAUAGCCAGCACCCCGGCACUCCUUGUAGGUCGACACCAAGUAAAGAAAGUGGUUCAUGGAGCCACAACAUGCCUGCUGCCAAUUGUGGUUCCGAUUCAGCUGCUGCUUCUCGUGUACCUUCUGCAGUUGGUGUAGAAGAGGAUGCAGAACCUGACGAGGCAGUGCCUACAAAUGAUGAUGAAAACGAGAUGAUGUUUCCUGAACUGGUCGAUGUAGCCAGUCAACAAGCAGUGGAUGAUGAAUAUAUGGAGGAGCUCAUCAGCCAAGCUAGGUUUUAUGACACUGACAAUGAAGAGAAGGUGGAGACCAUGGACAGCUUAAUCGAGGAUGAAUACGAUGGUGAUGACAUGCCAACAAUUGAGUGGAACAGGGAAAAACCUGAGCUUCCUGUAGGUACCAUUUUCCAAUCAAUGGUGGACUGUCGGAAUGCAGUGACAACAUGGUGCAUUAUAUCUGAAAACACCUAUAAGAUUAAAAGGAGUGAGCCAGCAAGGUUCACAGUUUUUUGUCCAUAUCCUAGGUGUAGGUGGAAGUUGCAUGCAUCUCGUAUGAGAAAGAGCAAAUAUAUUCAGGUAAUCCAAGUUCAGUUAGUAAUUUAGUUUCAGAUUGUUGAGUAAGGUUUCUUAACUGUUUUUUACCCUUUUAUUUUGUUUCAGAUAAAGAAAAACCCACACAAGCACACCUGUCCACCUGGAGGGGGAGGGGGGAAGGCCAAAACCAAGCUAGCAAAAACUAGGUGGCUGGCAGAUGCUAUAUUGGAUUGGCUGAGAGAAGAACCUGGACUUGGUCCAACAGCACUCCAUGGGAAGAUUUUUGAGAAGUACAAGAUAGAAAUUCCUUACAUGAGAAUUUUCAAUGCUAGGGAAAAGGCUCUUGAUAGAAUUAAUGGUCAAUGGAAUGACAGUUUUCAGCUGCUUUACCCUUUCAAAGCUGAAGUGGAGAUGACAAGUCCAGGGAGUGUUGUAGAGAUUGACAAGCAUACAGUUCAAUUCAAAAUAAAAGGGAAGUCAUUUCAGAAGGAGUGUUUUAGAAGGGCUUUUGUUUGUGUCAAGGCUUGCUGGCAGGGGUUUCUAGAUGGUUACAGGCCCUUAAUCGCCGGCUUCACCGUCUUCUUCGCCGCCGGCUUCAGUACUCCUCCUCCUCAAGGCCGUUGUCACCGAGGUAGUACGGGAGGCUAUGCAUGCGGUCGCGAGUGGGGAAGAUGCUCUCGAAGUCGGUGAAGAUGUUAUAGGCGGUGAAUGCGAUGAACUCGCACCCACACCAAUACACCUUGCCGAGAAGGUGGUAGGCAUCGAACCUGUUGGUGAAGUGGACGACGAGCCCUACCGGUGGAGCGUUGGCGAGGGGACGCUGCUCCACGAGGUUGAACAUGGGCGGCGAGCCCGCUGGGAGGUGGUGGAAGCCCGCACGGAGGAACCCCCGUGCAAGCUCAGUGCUACCCCUCCAGCGUGAGAACGCCCACACGCGGAGCGAUUCCUCGACGAUGACAUUGGCGGGGUACCGCCGUUCCGGCACGGUGGGAGGCUCUUGGAACGUCGGCCCGUAGAACUUCAUCUUGAACGCUUCGCUGAGUGGAACGGCUUUGGCUUUUGGGGAAGAAGAGAAGUGGGAGGCGCAGAUGGAUCUGUAGAAGAAGAGGCAGUGAAGGGCAGUUUAAAUAGCCGGGGGAGACGAAGUGGGUACACGCGCAAACGGCAUAGAUCAUGACUCAGUCCUGUGUGAACCGAUGCGAUCAUCAAUGUGUGAACGUGAAUCGAAGCGAGCGUGCUCUGCGUUGGCGGCUGCCUGCCUGCCCCUUCUGCCACCGGCACAACUGAAUCGAGCGGCAGCCGUGCGGCGUGAACCGAUGCCUCGACAUAUGGACGCGAGCGUGCGUGCAGCCUGCCCCUUCUGCCACCGGCACGUAUGCCUGCGACGCGUGAAACGACGUUGCGGAGCGACUGAAUCCACCGGCAACCGUGCGGCACGGAUUGAUGCGUGCGUGUCGGCGUGCAUGCAUGCGUUUAGGUCUAGGUCACUAGAUGCAUGCGUGGCGGUGUUCGCAUGCAUAGCAGGCUACAUCGAUGCCAAAGCCGGGCAUGCAUAGCAGGCUGCAUCCAUCGAUAGUAGGCUUUUUUAAUUUAUUACCAACAAACUAACGGGCCCGUCCUAUGAACACAAACACGGCCCAACCAGCGAAGCCACAUCCACAGUCAACAGAGUCAAACAUGGCCCCACAAGUCAGUUAACGGCCAAGACGGCAAACGCCUGUUAUGAACAUUUGUGAGAGUUUCAGCUAAGGGAGUGGGGAAAAGUGAGCAAAAGUUUGAAGCGUGGAGAAAACUGAGCACAACUAAGGAAUUGGGGGCACAGAUGGAAUAAUCCCUAAUAAUAAUGAUUUUAUUAGUACUCCGGUUGCUCCCGCCACUAGUGCGGAGUCAUACGAAAUCAAUGCCGCUUUGCUGAAUCUUGUUAUGAAAGAGCAAUUCUCUGGCCUUCCUAGUGAAGAGGCCACAUCCCAUCUCAAUACCUUCAUUGAGCUUUGCGAUAUGCAAAAGAAAAAAGAUGUGGAUACUGACGUGAUUAAAUUGAAGCUUUUUUCCUUUCUCGUUGCGAGAUCGCGCAAAAACUUGGUUUUCUUCUUUGCCCAAAAAUAGUAUCGAUUCUUGGGAUAAGUGCAAAGAUGCUUAUAUAUCCAAAUAUUUUCCGCCGACUAAGACCAUCUCUCUCCGUAAUGAUAUCAUGAAUUUCAAGCAACUUGAUCAUGAACAUGUUGCACAAGCUUGGAGGAGAAUGAAAUUAAUGAUUAGGAAUUGUCCCGCUCAUGGUUUGAGUCUUUGGAUGAUUAUCCAAAUCUUUUACGCUGGCUUGAAUUUCGCUUCUAGAAAUAUCUUGGACUCCGCCUCAGGUGGAACGUUCAUGGAAAUCACGUUAGGAGAAGCCACAAAGCUCUUAGACAACAUCAUGAUGAACUACUCUCAGUGGGACACUGAAAUGUCACCUACUAGUAAGAAGGUACACGCUAUAGAAGAAAUUAACUCGUUGAGUGCUAAGAUGGACGAGUUAAUGAAUUUGGUUGCUAGUAGAAGUGCUCCUUUGGAUCCUAAGGAUAUGCCCUUGUCUUCUUUGAUUGAGAGUAGCAACGCUAGCUUGGACGUUAAUUUUGUUGGUAGGAAUAACUUUGGCAAGAACAAUGCUUUUAGAGGAAACUAUGUUCCUAGGCCUUUUCCUAGUAACUCCUCUAAUAAUUUUGGCAACUCCUACAACAAUACUCUUGGAAAUUACAAUAUAUUACCCUCUGAUCUAGAGAGUAAUAUCAAAGAGUUCAUCAACUCUCAAAAGAUUUUCAAUGCGUCCAUAGAGGAAAAACUACUUAAAAUUGACGAUUUGGCUAAGAGCGUUGAUAGAAUGUCUAGUGAUGUUGAUGCUUUGAAAGUUAGAUGUGCUCCUCCCAAAAUCAACAUGUACGAAACUUUGAAAGCUAUGCGUGUUUCCAUGAUUGAGAGCCAAGAAAGAACCGCCCAAAUUCGUGCUAGACAUGAAUGGCUUAAAAAGGCGUGUUCUCGUGAUGAGAAUCACGAAGAUCUUGAAGUGCUUGGUGUGACUCCCAUUGAAUCUUUGUUUUCUUGUGUCAAACCUAAUGAUUAUGGGGCUGGAUAUGAAUCCAAUUUGGUUGAAAAGUGCCCCAAUGAUUCGGAGUCCAUCUAUCUUGAUGCUAAAAUCAUUAAAAGUGGAGUAGAAGACGUUAAAACUUUAAGUAGUAAUGAAAUUACUACUGUGGAUUUCAAGGAAAUCAAUUAUGAUAGUUGCUCCUUGAUUGAAUGCAUUUCUUUGAUGCAAUCCAUGUUAAACUCUCCACACGCUUAUAGCCAAAACAAAGCCUUUACCGAUCAUAUCGUCGAAGCUAUGAUAAAAACUCUUGAAGAGAAACUUGAAUUGGAAGUCUCUAUCCCUAGAAAGCUUCAUGAUGAGUGGGAACCUACCAUCAAAAUCAAAAUAAAAAACUAUGAGUGCAAUGCUUUGUGUGAUUUGGGUGCUAGUGUUUCUGCGAUUCCAAAGUCUUUUUUGUGAUGUUCUGGGUUUUAAUUAGAUUGAAGAGUGUUCUCUUAAUUUGCAUCUUGCUGAUUCUACUGUCAAGAAACCCAUGGGAAGGAUCAAUGAUGUUUUUAUUAUUGCAAAUAGGAACUAUGUACCCGUUGAUUUCAUUGUGCUUGACAUUGAUUGCAAUCCUUCAUGCCCUAUUAUUCUUGGUAGACAUUUCCUAAGGACUAUUGGUGCUAUCAUCGAUAUGAAGGAAGGGAAUAUUAGAUUUCAAUUUCCUUUAAGGAAGGGCAUGGAACACUUUCCUAGAAAGAAAAUAAGAUUGCCUUACGAAUCCAUGAUGAGGGCCACUUAUGGUUUGAGCACCAAAGAUGACGAUACGUGAUUCUAUCGCUUCUAUGCGUAGCUAAGGGCGUUAAGCAAUAACGCUUGUUGGGAGGCAACCCAAUGAAUUUAUCUUAUUCUUUCUGUUUUGUUGCGUCCACACUUUAAUAAUUCUGUUUUGAUUGUGUUUUUUGUCUUUCUUUUUGUGUUUGAUCCAAGCAAAGCCUUUAUGACUAGUCUUGGUAUUGGUUGUUUGAUCUUUCUGGAAAAAGACAGAAAUGUUUUGCUUACGAGAUGAUUUUUCAUUUUUAUUUAGAAAAAGCGUUUGAGUUGAUUCUUUUUGCUUCUGAUUGAUAUGCUUUUUUUCUAGACCGUCGUAAUUUGUUAGAUUGUUUGAGGUACCAGAAGUAUACGAAGUAUACAGAUUGCUACAGAGUGGUCUGUUUUUGACACAUUCUGUUUUUGUUGAGUUGGUUGCUUGUUUUGAUGAAACUAUGGUUAGUAUCAGGGGGUACUAGCCAUGGGAGAGUGAAAAUACAGUAGCCCAUCAUCAAUAUAGAUGGAAUUGAAGUUUGCUAUAGUACCAAAAGAAGUGGUAGUUUGUUUUCUUGUACUAAUGUUAGCACAAGUUUCUGUUUAAGUUUUGUGUUGUGAAGUUUUCAAGUUUUGGGUGAUGUUCUCAUGGACAAAGAUAUAAGGAGUGGAAAGGGCUCAAGCUUGGGGAUGCCCAAGGCAUCCCAAGACAAAUUCAAGGAUAUAAAAAAUCCUAAGCUUGGGGAUGCCCCGGGAAGGCAUCCCCUCUUUCGUCUUCAAUCCAUCGGUAACAUUACUUGGAGCUAUAUUUUUAUUCACCACAUGAUAUGUGUUUUGCUUGGAGCGUCUUGUAUCUUAGGAGUCUUUUCUUUUUGUUGUGUCACAAACAUCCUUGCUGCACACCUUUUUGAGAGAGAGAGAGAGACAUGCAUUCAUCGUGAUUUUGCUAGAAUGCUCAUAGUGCUUCACUUAUAUCUUUUGAGCUAGAUACUUUUGCUCUAGUGCUUCACUUAUAUCUUUUGAGCUAGAUACUUUUUCUCUUGUGCUUCACUUAUAUCUUUAGAGCACGGCGGUGCGCGAUUUGGUAGUUGGCUUAUGCUAUGAAAGUAGUUCCAAAUUUGCUAGGUAUCCAAAGAGGAUGCAAAAACCUCCAUCUUCAUGUGCAUUGAGUAGAAAGAGAAGUUUUGAUUCCUCUCAGUUAGUUUUGAGACUUGGAUUUAGUAAUAUUAAGAGUUAUGCUAGUGGGGUGUUGUGAAUCUAGAGAUACUUGUGUUGAAGUUAGUGAUUCCCGUAGCAUGCAUGUAUGGUGAACCGCUAUAUUAGGAAGUCAGAGCAUAAUUGAUCUAUUGAUUGUCAUCCUUUGUGUUGAGAUCGGGAUCGCGCGAUGGUUUACACCUACCAACCCUUCCCCUCGGAGUAUGCAUUUAGCACUUUGUUUCGAUUACUAAUAAAAACUUUCGCAAUAAGUAUGUGAGUUCUUUAUGACUAAUGUGAGCCCAAGGUAUAGAUGCACUUUCACCUUCCACCAUUGGUAGCCUCUCUAGUACCGCGCAAUUCUCGCCGGUGUACAAACCCACCAAAUUCCUUCCUCAAAACAGCCACCAUACCUACCUACUAUGGCAUUUUCAUAGCCAUUCCGAGCUAUAUUGCCAUGCAACUCCCACCGUUCCGUCUCAUGACGUGUGCCGUCACUCUUAUAUUGCCAUUGCAUGAUCGUAAGAUAGCUAGCGAGAUGUUUCAACGUCAUACGCCAUGCUAGAUCGUUGCACAUCCCGGUACACUGCCGGAGGCAUUUCCUAUGGAGUCAUUAUCAUCGUGAUCUUUGAGCUGUGAGUAAAUAGAAGUGUGAUGAUCAUCAUUAUUAGAGCAUUGUCCCAUGUCAGGAAAUAAAAAAAAGAGAAAAGAGGCCAAAGAGCCCAAAUACAAAAAAAGAGAAAAGAAAAAAAGAGGCCUAAGAGCCCAAAAGAAGAAGAAGAGAGAAAAGAUAGAAGGGACAAUGCUACUAUCUUUUUCCACACUUGUGCUUCAUGUUAGCACCAUGUUCUUCAUGAUUGAGAGCUUCUUGCUUUGUCACUAUCAUAUGCUAGUGGGAAUCUUCGUUUUAUAACUUGGCUUGUAUAUUCCAAUGAUGGGCUUCCUCAAAAUUGCCCUAGGUCUUCGUGAGCAAGCAAGUUGGAUGCACACCCACUAGUUUUCCUCUUGAGCUUUCACAUACUUAUAGCUCUAGUGCAUCUCUUGUAUGGCAAUCACUACUCAUUCACAUUGAUAUCUAUUAAUGGGCAUCUCCAUAACCUAUUGAUACGCCGAGUCAAUGUGACCAUCUCCUCCUUUUUGUCUCUCAACCACCAACACACUCUAUUCCACCUAUAGUGCUAUACCAUGGCUCGCACUCAUGUAUUGUGUGAUAGUUAUAAAAGGUUUGAGAAAGUAAGAGUGCGAAAACAAUUACUUGGCCAAUUUCGGGGUUGUGCAUGAUUUACAUUAGUUGUGUGAGGAUGAUGGAGCAUAGCCAGACUAUAUGGUUCUGUAGGGAUAACUUUCUUUGGCCUUGUUAUUUUGAAAGUUCAUGACUACCUUUCUAGUUUGCUUGAAGUAUUAUUGUUUUCAUGUCAGUAGCAAACUAUCAUUUCGAAUCUUACGGACGUGAACAUUCAUGCCACGUGAAAGAAGUUGCAAAGGACAACUAUGCUAGGUAGCAUUCCACAUCAAAAAUUCAUCCUUUAUCACUUCCCUACUCGAGGACGAGCAGGAGUUAAGCUUGGGGAUGCUUGAUACGUCUCCAACGUAUCUAUAAUUUUUGAUGGUUUCAUGCUAUUAUCUUUUCAAACUUUGGAUGUUUUGCAUGCUUUUUAUUUAUUUUCUGGGACUAACUUAUUAACUCAGUGCCAAGUGCGAGUUCCUAUUUUUUCCAUGUUUUUGACCCCUUUCAGAGGAGAUUUUGAAACGGAGUCCAAACGGAAGAAAAUCCCCGAAAAGAUUUUUUCUGGAACGGAAAAAGAUCGGAGAACUUAGAAGCCAAGCCAGAAGAGCCCCAGGGGCCCCACAAGCCCCCACCCCGCGGCCAGGGGGGGCGCCAUCCAGGCUUGUGGGCCCCCUGGAGGUCUCCUGACCUAGAUCUCGCGCCUAUAUAUUCCCAAAUAUUCCCAAAAAAUCCAGAGACGAUCGCAAUCACUUUUCUGCCGCCGCAAGCUUCUGUCUCCGCAAGAUCCCAUCUGGGGCACGUUCUGGUGCCCUGCCGGAGGGGAGAUUCAGACACGGAGGGCUUCUUCAUCAACAACAUGACGUCUGCGAUGAUGCGUGAGUAGUUCACCAUAGACCUACGGGUCCAUAGCUAGUAACUAGAUGGCUUCUUCUCUCUCUUGGAUCUUCAAUACAAAGUUCUCCAUGAUCUUCAUGGAGAUAUAUCCGAUGUAAUCUUCUUUUGCGGUGUGUUUGUCAAGAUCCGAUGAAUUGUGNNNNNNNNNNNNNNNNNNNNNNNNNNNNNNNNNNNNNNNNNNNNNNNNNNNNNNNNNNNNNNNNNNNNNNNNNNNNNNNNNNNNNNNNNNNNNNNNNNNNNNNNNNNNNNNNNNNNNNNNNNNNNNNNNNNNNNNNNNNNNNNNNNNNNNNNNNNNNNNNNNNNNNNNNNNNNNNNNNNNNNNNNNNNNNNNNNNNNNNNNNNNNNNNNNNNNNNNNNNNNNNNNNNNNNNNNNNNNNNNNNNAAUUCUCUUCGAGUUGUCGGUUUUGUCUGGCCAACUAGAUUUAUGAUUCUUGCAAUGGGAGAAGUGCUUGGUUUUGGGUUCAUACCGUGCGGUGACCUCACCCAGUCAUAGAAGGGGUAGCGAGGUACGCAUCGUGUUGUUGCCAUCAAGGGUGAAAAGAUGGGAUUUUGAUCAUUGGUUUGAGAUUAUUCCUCUACAUCAUGUCAUCUUGCUUAAAGCGUUACUCUGUUCGUCAUGAACUCAAUACACUAGAUGCAUGCUGGAUAGCGGUCGAUGUGUGGAGUAAUAGUAGUAGAUGCAGAAAGUAUCGGUCUACUUGUCUUGGACGUGAUGCCUAUAUGCAUGAUCAUUGCCUUAGAUAUCGUCAUGACUUUGCGCGGUUCUAUCAAUUGCUCGACAGUAAUUUGUUCACCCACCGUGAUAUUUGCUAUUAUGAGAGAAGCCUCGAGUGAACACUAUGGCCCCCAGGGUCUACUCCACACCAUAUUUUCAGCCUUACAUUUUUACUUCGUUGCACUUUCCGCCUUCAGAUCUCACUUUGCAAACAAUCUUGAAGGGAUUGACAACCCCUUUGAAGCGUUGGGUGGAAGCCUGUUUGUGUUUGCGCAGGUACUUUGGACUUGACGAGGCCCUCCUUCUGGAUCGAUACCUUGGUUCUCAAACUGAGGGAAAUACUUACUGCUCCUGUGCUGCAUCACCCUUUCCUCUUCGAGGGAAAAACCGACGCAAACCAGAGAAUAACAAGAAGAAUUCCUACGCGCCAGGGAAGGACUUUUGUUGCCGUAGCAGGGUCAUCUCUAGUAAGCUCAUGAAUAGGACAUGGGUGUGACUAAUAUGCUCCACCCAAGGGGUCAGCCUUCGUCAGCCUAGUACUAGUAAGACUUGUGGUAAAACUUAUAUACGACAAACUGACAAUUCAAGGCAUAGUCCAUUGUCCAGUUGUGAAGGAGUGUAGAGACUUGCUCUAGCUGAAGCUCAACCUUAACAGGUCUUCACUGAAAUGCUGGUAUAUCAAAAUAGUGAUUGGAACAAGAGGACAUAAUGUGCCCUUGAGAUCUGGCCAGAGAUUGUUUAAAUAUGGGAUGUGAUCAUGUUGCACAAGCUUGGGAGAGGAUGAAAUUGAUGAUAAUAAAUUGUCCAAUUCAUGGCUUAAACUUGUGGACGACUAUCCAAAAUUUCUAUGUUGGACUAAACUUUGUGUCUAGAAAUCUUCUAGAUUCUGCCGCAGUUGGUGCCUUCAUGGAGGUGACCUUACGAGAGGCACAAAAUUUCUGGACAACAUCAUGGCCAACUAUUCUCAAUGGCAUACGAAAAGAGCUCCAACUCGUAAGAAGGUAAAUUCCGUUGAGGAAAUCACUACAUUGAUUAAAAAGGUGGAUGCUUUUAUGAAUUUUGUUGCUAAUAAAAAUACUCAUGUUCAUCCUAAUGAUAUGCCCUUGUCUACCUUGGUUGAACAAAAUAAUUAUGCAAUUGAUGUGAACUUUGUCUCGCAAAAUAAUUUCAACAACAUUGCUUAUAGGGGUAAUUUCAAUGCUAGGCCAUAUCCCGGUAAUAAUCCUAAUGGUUGUGGGAGUUCUUAUGGAAAUUCCUCUACAAAUUCUAAUAGGAUACCCUCUGAUCUUGAGAACACAAUAAAGGAAUUCAUUAAUUCUCAAAAAGUUUUCAAUACUAUGGUAGAAGAAAAAUUGCAUGUUGUUGAUUCUUUGUCUAAAAACAUGGAUAGGAUUGCUCUUGAUGUAGAAACUCUUAAAAACAUUUUGCCUCUUAAGCAUGAUUUUAAUGAUACUAUUAAAUCUAUCCAAGUUUCUAUUAAUGAAAGUAAGGAGACGACCGCUAAGUUGAAAGCUAAGCGGGAAUUCCUAGAAAAAGCUCUUCCACACGUUUUUUACCGGAAUCAUGAUGAAGAUUUUAAAAUGAUUGGUACUUCUCCUAUUGAAUAUUUGUUUACUUAUCUCAAUGUUAAUGAUAAAUGGGCUGGAGAUGAGACAACUCUAGUAAAGGAGCGUCACAUUUUCUUGGAGGGUGAUGAUUUUAAUGCUAAAACUAAAAAAAUGGGUUUGGAGAGGUCAAAACUUUAACUAGUGAUGUGCCCACUAUUUUGGAUUACAAGGACAUUAAUUAUGAUAAUUUCUCUUUAGCAAAAUUUAAUUCCUUGUUGCAAUCCAUUAUUAGUUUUCCCAAUGCUUAUGAAUAAAACAAAGCUUUUACUCAACAUAUAGUCACUAGUAGAAAAGAGGGCUUUGGUCCAGGUCUUGAAAUCCUAUUAGUCCCGGUUCACAUACGAACCGGGGCCUAUGGUGACAUUGGUCCCGGUUCGUGAGGCGAGGGCGCCGGCCGGGCAUCAUGGGCCAUUGGCCCCGGUUCGUCUCACCCCUUUUGUCUUGGUUCCAGUCAAGAACCGAGACUAAUAGGCCGGCAACCGUUUGUAUCCCCUUCAGUCCCGGUUGGUGGAUCAAACCGGGACUAAGGUGUGGUGGCGGACGUUCGUACAACCGUUCGUAUCCUCCUUUAGUCCCGUUUUGUGGAUCAAAUCAGGGUGGCGGCCCUUCGAAUUACCCCAUUAGUCCCGGUUUGUCGUCCAACCCGGGACUAAAGGUCCAAACGGUUCGCCCUCCCGCGUCGUUUCCAGCGAUGAAGACUGCAACCGAAGUAGAGUCUAUCGCCAUUCUCUAUUAUUCUCCUCUAGCGCUCUCCUCUGUUCUUCUUCUUCCACUCUUCUUCCCCUCUCUUCUUCCAUUCUUCUUCCACCAUGACAUAUCAAACCGUAAUGGUGCACGCACAUGGGACGACCAAAAUCAGGGUCGGGUACACGAACGAGAGCACGACGGUGCCAAAUUUUCUUGGACGGUUCCAGGCGUGGGUUGAUGCGGCGCCGAAGCGUGAGGCGUUCUUGGGGCUUGAUCUGGAGUACACGGUCGACCAACAAGGUGUUGCCGUCAUCCAACUGUGUUUCAAACAACAUGUCUUGAUCUUCCAAUGGGCGAGGUAAGUUUUGAGUCUUUCUUUGAUCCAAGGUUAUGAAAAUUGCAUGUAUUGAUCUUCUCUAGGUUCCAUUUGAUAGCAAUAUGGAGUUUCUAUAUACGUUCCAUUGGAUAGUUAAUUGAGGGUUUCAUAAUCAAUUCAUAGGAUAUGAAAAUUGCAUAGGAUAGCAAUACGUGUUACAACAUUGGAAUCCUAUAAAGAUCAAUUUCUCUUUAAUUAGUUGUGGUGAAACAAUUUUCCACUUGUAAGUUUUGAGGCUUUCUUUGAUCCAAGGUUAUGAAAAUUGCAUAUAUUGAUCUCCCUAGGUCCCAUUCGAUAGCAAUACGCAGUUUCUAUAUAUGUUCCAUUGGAUAUAUAGUUAAUUGAGGGUUUCUUGAUCAAUUCAUUGGAUAUGAAAAUUGCAUAGGAUAACAAUAUGUUACAACAUUGGAAUCCUAUAAAGAUUAAUUUCUCUUUAGUUGUAGUGAAACAAUUUUUCAUUGGUAAGUUUUGAGGCUUUCUUUGAUCCAAAGGUUAUGAAAAUUGCAUAUACUGUCUCUCUAGGUUCCAUUAGAUAGCAAUAUGCAGUUUCUUUAUAUAUUCCAUUGGAUAGUUAAUUGAGGGUUUCUUGAUCAAUUCAUAGGAUAUGAAAAUUGCAUGAGAUAGCAAUAUGUUACAAUAUUGGAAUCCUACAAAGAUCAAUUCAUAGGAUAUGAAAAUUGCAUAGAAUAGCAAUAUGUUCCAUUUGAAUCGUUAUGAUAAAUUUCUCUUUAGUUGUAGUGAAACAUUUUUCCUUGUUGCAGCAGUAUGUAACAUUUGUUCCAUUUUAAUUUGUUGAUGUUGUAGUAGUGAUAAGCAUUGUCCAGAACUCAUGGACUUCCUUCGCAGCGGCAUACGUUUCUCUAGCGUUGACAUAACGAACGACAUGCCGAAUAUGAGGCGCAACUUUGGUAUUGAGAUACCAGCUGAGUGCCACAUUGAUAUCCAAGGCAUAUUCCAACUUCAAUAUGAGAGGACUUCGAUGGCUGAUAUGGCAGUCGCCUUGAUCGACGAGGAGUACCAUGAUAUGAAGACUUCAUUCCCGAAGUCUCAGCACAGAAAGUGGGGGAAGACCCCACUUGACCCUAUCAACGUUCGGUAUGCAGCAAAAGAUGCAUACGUUGCAUACGAGUUGUACCACAAGAUUAGAAUCGUGAACUAUGGCCAGCGUCACCUCCCACCACCAGCUUUGGGACAUUCUGAUUCAGAUUCAGAUUCAGACGAGUAUCGUUCACAACGGCGAACACUUAUAUAUAUAUAUAUGUAUGCUAGCUAUUAUUAUGUACUGCUUGCAUGUAUUAUUAUGUACUGCUUGGAUCAAUUUAUAUAUAUAUCUAGUUUCUCUUUGUGCCAUUAUAUAGUUUCCAAAUUUGGUUUAGCCCUUUCUUUAUUCAUCACCACUUUAGGUAUUGUUGUGAACUAAUUCUUUAUUCAUAUUGGUGUAAUUUACUGUAUUCAAACUUCUUCAUGGUUCAUACCCCCCGAUACAACUCAUAAAUACAUCGAUGUAAGCAAGCAACACAAAGAAAACAGAAUUUGUCAAAAAACAGAAUAGUCGGAAGUAAUAUGUAUAAUUCGAAUACUUAUGUAACUCCAAAAAUUAUGAAAAAUUAAGACAAUCUGGUAAAUUGUAUAUGAAUCUUGUGUAAAAAAUUGAGAUCAUAAACGUUCUAGUGAAUUUAAAAAAUUCUUCGACUGAGGUUGAAAGUUUCUGUUUUUUCAGCAAAAUUAAAUGGCAAACACCGUAGACCAUCCCAAAGGUCUUACUUGGCACAAAUACAAAAUGCUAUCUGGGUGAAAUGAUGAUACCAUGCCAACUUUUAACCUAUUCAGAGUUCAUUUGUAGCACUUUUCAAUUUCUGGGUCAUUUAGCUCCAAAAAGCAUGAAAAAGUCAGAAAUAGUUGAAAAUUGACGAUGUGGCUUUGAAUGGUGCAUUUUGAACACACAAAAAGUUUGUAGUUCAAAUAAGUUCAAACAAAAUGAAAUCCCUUCUUAACAGAUGAGUUUUCGUAUGAAACCAUGAUACUUCAAAAGAGAUUGUCCGAUUUGUGCACGAAGUGCAUCCAGUUUUUACCACAACCCUCUCAACUUUUUAGCACAUGCUAUGUGGGUGAAAUGAUGAUACCAUGCCAACUUUCAACCUAUUCAGAGUUUAUUUGUAGUGCUUUUCAAUUUCUGGGUCAUUUAGCUCAAAAAAUCAAUAAAUGCAUGAAAAAUACCAAAUGAAGUCAGAAAUAGUUAAAAAUUGAUUAUGUGGCUUUGAAUGGUGCAUUUUGAACACACAAAAAGUCUGGAGUUCAAAUAAUUCCAAAAUAAAAAUAAAAUCCCUUUGUAACACAUGAGUUUUCGUAUGAAACCCUCAUACUUCGAAAGAGAUUGUUCGAUUUGUACACGAAGUGCAUCCAGUUUUUGCCGCAACCCUCUCAACUUUUUAGCACAUGCUAUGUGGGUGAAAUGAUGAUACCAUGCCAACUUUCAACUUUUUCAGAGUUCAUUUUAAUGCUUUUCAAUUUAAGGGGCAUUUAGCUAUUUUUUUAGUAAAGGCAUGAAAAAUAUCAAAUGAAGUCAGAAAUAGUUGAAAUUGAUGAUGUGGCCUUGAAGGGUGCAUUUUGAACACACGAAUAGUCUGGAGUUCAAAUAAGUUCAAAAAAAUGAAAUUCCUUUUGUAAGAGACGAGUUUUCGUAAGAAACCAUGAUACUUCGAAAGAGAUUGUCCGAUUUGUACACAAAGUGUGUCCAGUUUUUGCCGCACCCCUCUCAACUUUUUAGCACAUGCUAUGUGGAUGAAAUGAUGAUACCGUGCCAACUUUCAACCUAUUUAGAGUUCAUUUAUAGUGAUUUUUAAUUUCUGGGUCAUUUAGCUAAAAAAAAAUUCAAUAAAUGGAUGAAAAAAAACCCCAAAUGAAGUCAGAAAUAGUUAAAAAUUGAUGAUGUGGCCUUGAAUGGUGCAUUUUGAACACAAAAAUAGUGUGGAGUUCAAAUAAUUCCAAAAAAUGAAAUCCUUUUGUAAAAGUGAGUUUUCGUAUGAAACCCUGAUACUUCGAAAGAGAUUGUGCGGUUUGUACACGAACUGCGUCAAGUUUUUGCCGCAACCCUCUCAACUUUUUAGCACAUGCUAUGUGGUUGAAAUGAUGAUAUCAUGCCAACUGUCAACGCAUUCAUAGUUCAUUUGCAGUGAUUUUCAAUUUAAGGGCCAUUUAGCUAAAAAAUGAAAUUCUUUUAAAAGAAAUCACUGAAAAACAGUAAGUAGGAACAAAAAACUAUAUUCUUUAAAAAAAUAUAUCAACCAAUUGGCCACCACGGCCUGAAUAUGACUAAAAAACCAAUUAGAUAGUUGGGCCAGGAUUCAGGCCCGCAGAAGGUCCAACAGGUAGCGACAGUUUAGGUCCGAAAGCCUGCAUAUGAGAGGAGCUCGAAAAUGUAUGCGCACAAGCGCUUACAAACCACCCCACUUUUCCCUCGGCUAGCGAGGUGAGACUAAACAUCUACCUGCACCGCGGCUGUGCGAGUCACAUGCCUUUCGUGUCGGUUUAUGGUACAAACCGGGACCGGAGACAGACUUUAGUGUCGGUUGGUGGCACAAACCGGGACAAAUGGCCCAUUUCGUCCCGGUUGGUUCCGCAAACCGGGAGUACAUGUAUCUUCUUCCCCGUCAUUUGGGCUGCUGAAAAUUGACACGUAGUCCCGGUUUGUGGAAUCAACCGGGACGAAAGGGUGAAAUUGGUGCCGGUUCGGACCACCAACCGGGACAGAAGGUUUUCGCAUAUAGGCGGGAGUUGUCGAAAUUUUCCCCAAAACUCUCCCAUUGCUCGCCGCCGCUCUCGGAGCCGGUCCUCGUCGUCUCCGCCCCCGAUCCAGUCAUCCUCGUUGUCGCCGCCGUCCCCGAACACGUCGUCGUCGCCGCCGCCCCCGAUCCAGUCCUCCUCGUUGAGCAGCAAGGACAAGGAAGAUGGGGUCACCGGAGAAGGAGGAGGACAACGAUGAGUCUGAGCUUGACUUGAGCCAUGGGAGCUCACGGUGUGCGAGAUAGAGGAGCAACUCAUGGCGGAGCAUGUCGAUGUGGACGGGCUCGUCGUCAUUGUCGAGGGGAGUUGUUUGUUGAGCGCAACGAGUGCCCAUGGCGCCGAGGCAUUGGGCCCCAACAACGAGGAUUGGGGUUAAUCGAGUGAUAAUUUAGCUUACUUUCAAUGGUUUGGAGUUCAAUGAGGCGAUGUUAUGUAUAACUUUGAGAGGUUAGUUUUUAUUUUUUGGGGUGGGGGGGGGGGGGGGGNNNNNNNNNNNNNNNNNNNNNNNNNNNNNNNNNNNNNNNNNNNNNNNNNNNNNNNNNNNNNNNNNNNNNNNNNNNNNNNNNNNNNNNNNNNNNNNNNNNNNNNNNNNNNNNNNNNNNNNNNNNNNNNNNNNNNNNNNNNNNNNNNNNNNNNNNNNNNNNNGGGGGGGGGGGGGGGAGUUGUGGUGGGAGGUAAAAGAACCUGCUGCUAUUUAUUUUUACUCCUUAAUAAAUUGUUUGUGGAGGUGGUUUCAUAAGGAGAGAAGGGCUACGAUUCUGCUGCUUCCUCUCAACGUUUCGUCCCCGUUGUUUCCCAUGAAAAUUAAGGAAGAGUCGAUGGGCCAAGAAACACAGUUUCUUAUUACAUACUGUAAUUUUUUUCAUUGGAACACCUGUUACCUAGCUACUUGCGCCGAUGCCUUAACAGCUUGAUAAGUAAGGAAAGUAACACACAAACUAAUACUAGCACCGAUCAUCGCAGACACGGACAGAGACAUCGGUGUAUGGCGGCGGGAAUCCCGGCCGGGCAAGCAGCCGACUCGGAAGGGAUGCAGCGAUUGUUGUCUGCCCGUCGUGGCCGUGAGGCAAGGCAGCGCUUACAGCUAUAUUCGGCCAUGUCGACGACCAUGCCGGCGACGGCACCUCUGAUCCCAGAGCGGGCGGCGGCGCGCGUCCCGUGACGCAUGGAGAAGAGGGCGUUGGUGGCGCCCAAGGCGACCGUGGUUUCAAAGGGGUAGUCCGGGGCCACGGCGCACCUAACCGAUUUGGCGACGCCAUACCAGGCCGCAAAGCUGCCGAUUCUGAGCGCGUUCCUGGGGACUGCGAGAACCCCGCCGGAGAGGCUGCUCCCGCCCGGCGAGUUGGUGGCGCCCUGGUAGAAGUUGAUGAAGGAGCCAAAGAUGGCGCCGGAGGUUGCGUGGCUGCGGACCGCUUGGAUGAUGCUAGGCGGCUGCGCGCCCGGCGAGUUGGUGGCGCCCUGGUAGAAGUUGAUGAAGGAGCCAAAGAUGCCGCCGGAGGUUGCGUGGCUGCGGAUCGCUUGGAUGAUGCUAGGCAGUGGCGUCGGCGUCUGCUCGGUCGUCGGUGUUGCGGUGUCCAUCGGUCGACCGGCUUGGUUGUCGUCGGUUUCCUGGGGCGGAGAUGGGGUGGCUUCGGGCCGUGGCUUGGAUUACGAGUUGGCGAAGUGGUUUGCAAUUUGGACGUCCCGAGACGAGUCAGUCGGCAGUAUAUAUAUAUGGAGUUCCCUGGUCGGUCGGUGCGCUGUUUCCAAGCCCGUUGCGUUGCCGUGGAAGGCCAGGACUUUGUAUAAAGAACGUUCUGGUGUCUCUCCAUGCGGCGCAACAUGGUAAAAAGCAUCUCUAAAAGACCCCAUAAAAGCAUCUCUAAAGCCGAUCCGUAAAAAUCAUUUACGGUUUUUGUGAAAAAAACGGUUUGAUGGAUGGACGCAGAUACAGACAGAGUCAAACCCCGUAAAAUGGAUCUCUGAAAAAAGGUAUUCAUAGAAGAUGUUCUUUUACGAAUCAGAUAUACGGUGUCUGCUCGGACGUUACCGUGUCGACCCGUAAACCGAAAACCCCGUAAAUCAGAAUUACUAAUAUGCAAUAUAACAAAAAUAUCAAUAUUACAAUACACUAAUAAUCCAAAGUAUAAUAAUUAUUCAAAUCACAGUAGCAAACUAAAUAAUUCAAUACAGAACUUGUCCUGUAUACAAAUCACAUAUGAAUGAAAUAAAAAUGAAUGAAAAAAUAAAAUGUGUCACUGUCCAGUCCUUUACCGAUGGUGUUUAAUGAGAUCCUUCUGAAGUUGACAGUGGGUGUUUGCAUUUUCAAUUUUCUUGUAGGUCUGAAGGGAAGUUCUAAUUCGGUUAGGGUCUGUAGUUGGUUUGACACAGCUACCCACAUUGUCGUACAAGAACUCCAAGUUCAUACCUCUCUCAUCUUCGAUAAUCAUAUUGUGAAAAAUAACACAACAUGUCAUGAUGUUUUUCAAGGAUCACUUAUUCAAAAAUCGAGCAGGACCACGAACAAUGACAAACCUAGAUUUUAAAACUCCAAAUGUUUUUUCAAUAUCUUUUCGGGCUACCUGUUGUGCCCUUGCGAAUUCACACUCUUUUCUAGUUUGUUGGUUUUUAAUGCUCUUGACAAAUGUAUACCAAAAAGGGUAUAUACCAUCUGUAAGAUAGUGCCCCUUUGUGUAUUCAUGCCCAUUAAUAGUGUAGUUACAAGAAGGAGCAUCAUCACCAGCAAGCCUAGCAAACAAAUGAGACCGUUGCAACACAUUGAUAUCGUCGAGAGUACCCGAUAUACCAAAAAAGGAGUGCAAAAUCCAUAAAUCAUUGGAUGCUACGACCUAUAGCAUAAUUGUUUCAUCACGAGACUUGCACAAUACAUUUCCCGCCAUGCCUUUGGGCAAUUUUUCUAACUCCAAUGCAUACAGUCUAUGCUUCCUAGCAUGCCAGACCAACCUCUUCUAUUAUUAGAUGCAAUCAAUUUUUUUGUGUCUUCCUCGUUCGGUGCCCGAAGAUAUUCAAGACCAAAGACACGGAUGAUCAUUUUGAUAAACCUACGUACUGACACAGUUGUACUAUCUUCACCAAUGCGAAGAUACUCAUCGGCAUAGUCAGCCGGAAUGCCGUAUGCAGUUACCUGCAUAGCUGCCGAGAUUUUUUGAUAUGUACUAAAUCUGUCAAGCUCGCGGCAUUUCUUCUUCGAGUAAAAUACCGGCAAUUGACCUCGCAAGCUUGAACAAUUUUCACAAAGAGGGAUCGACGCUUACGGUACCUUCUCCGGAAGAGGUGUGGCGGAUAUGUUGAAUUGUCCAUGAAGUAGCCUUGCAUCAACAUCUCGUUUCCGAGAUGGCGAUUUCGAGGAAUGCAAAGACGGCCGACGGCCGAUCCUCGCCGCCUCUUUCGGUUCUCAUCUUUGUUCUCCUUCACGGCACGGGCCAGCACUAAAGUCUGAUGGCGAAAGGUGAGAAGCAUGGUCUCAACAUCCGAGUCGUCCAAAUCGGAUGAAUCAUCGAGCAAAAAUUUCUCGCACGAGCUUAAUUCCAUCUCUGGCGGUGGCUCUCCGACAGCGGUGGAUUGGCGGAUCCGGGGAGCCGGUGCAGAGGCUCGGCGGACGAGGGCAGGGGCGCCCCUGCGGCGCGAUUCUGCCCGCAGAUUUGGCCGGAAUCGCCGGCGACGAAUGGGUGGAACCAAUGGCGGGCGGCGACAGAAGGGGGUGGGAAAAGGGUGCGGGCUGAAAUAUCCCUCCCGCCAAUCGCUUUCGUAGGAUACGGGGCACCGUAGGAACGAGGCGGAAACCAGUGUUUUCGCAGGUCGGGAAGGGGAUUUUGCCGUGUCCCUGAAAAUUUUUAUGGACUGAACGCGUUUACGAGGUCUGAUCGGACAACAUUUUCUACGCCGACCCAUAUUUUGAUGAUUAUUUUACGAGUCACAACUUUAUACAGAGUCUGCUAGAGAAGCUUUGACAGGGUUAAAACCGGAUACGAUGAUGGUCUUCCUAGAGCAACUCUAGCAGACCCCGCAUUCGUCCGGCUCGCAAAACGUGUUUGCAGUUCGCGUAAAAACGUCUAUACGGGUCGGCGCACACGAACGCGGAUGCAGACCCCACAUAACGGACCCGCAAAAGAGCAUAUUCGCGGAAUAUGCUUUGGUGGGGGAAAGUGUGGGCUGAAAUGUCCCCCCACCAACCGCUUUCGCUCAUAUGCGGGGCACCGCAACAGCAAGGUGGAAACCCGCGAGUACGCGGGUUGGGGCUGAGAUUUUGCCAUGCCCCGCAAAAAUAUUUGCGGGCCAGGGCGGGAUGCGGGGUCUGAUCGGGCAGGUUUUCCCGCCCCGACCCGUAUUUUGACGGUUAUUUUUCGAAUCGAGACGGGAUGCGGGGUUUGCUAGAGCUGCUCCUAUAUACGCACGACACCACGUUUCCUUACUCCUUACGGGUGCUCACUGCUCGGUGAAUCGAGCAACAGAUUGUGGCUCCUACAACUGGAUUAAGGAUUAUAUAUACUAGUACAAAUACCCGUGCGUUGCACCGGGUAAAAAAAAGAACACAACAUGCUUCAUGUGUCAUUAUGCAUCACGUUCACUCUGCGAAGCCUCCAAUUCAGCUCUAACUUGAAGUUCAGUUCCAAGUUCACUCUGGAGAGCGUCCAUUUCACCUCUAACUUCAAGCUCAGUUUCAGGUUGACUUUGCGGAGCCUCCUUUUCACCUCUAACUUCAGAACAAUCACUGUUCUCAGUCACUGGUUCAAUCAGGCAUGCAUCCACACGCACAACGCCCGCCUCCGUGUCCUCCUCCACAUCGCUGAGCUGGGACUACGUGUGCGCCGGUUCCUCAGCAGGCUCGGAUGGAUGAACAUCCACCAUGAGCAGUUGGUGGCUGGCAUUUAUUUCAACAGCAUCUGCAUCAUUCAGGCCAGCAACAGCAGCAGCUUCAUCGUCCUGACCAUUGUCCUAUGUUUCCAUCUCUUCAUAUUCAUAGGUGACACCAUCAUCAUCUUCACCAUGUUCAUCUGAUUCCACCACAUCUUCAUAUUCAUACUCUGCAUCUUCAUCUUCAGGCCUUGCACCAUCGUGCUCUGGUUCCACCGCAUCUUCGUCUUCAUGGCUGGCGCCGUCCUCCACCAUUACCACCUCGGAGUGAAGAAUCUUCGGAUCCCUCGGCAAUUUAUCGACAUCAUCGCAGUCCACCUCACCGUCACGGCCGGCAGCAGUUCUAGACUCUGCUGGCACCUUGCUCUGAUCUAGAUCGCCACUGCGUGGCUGAUCGAAAUCACCACCCCGUGGUCGCCAGUCUGAAUCCCUCCGGCUGCCACUGUAAGAGUUCCUGGGCCUUGUUCUACUCCGGCUCCUGCUCCUGCUCCUGCUCCGACUCCGCCUCCUCCGCCUCCGGUCCAGUCUGCGGUCAACAGAGGGCCGGCGAUCAUCGCUGGGAAUUUCUUGAAAUGCACGAACAUUAUUUGAAUUAUGAUGAAAAUGGCAAAGUAUGUUUUGUUAAUUAAUGAUAGCAUAUGCAUAAGAACAUUAUUUUUAUCUUGCUGAUAUAUGUGUUUGCAUUUGUAAUCUAAGUGAAGUCUUAAUUUGGUUGCAAACAUAUUAGACAGCUCCAUCGAAAACAAUCAAUUUGUAAGUACAUGCAUACCAAAUGUUCCAGGCAGUUUAUAUAUAUAAAAAAUCAAAGCUCAGCCAUUUGUUUACGUAAAGCUUGUAUAAACAACAUUGUAUAUUUUUUAUACAUUAGAAACUUUUUUUGCGUGUGACAUCACAAACAUUAUUGAGUUUUGAUGUCUAAUUUCUUUAAUAUGCAUUUUACAAAUUUUGUAUGCAUCAUGAAUAUUUUUUAUAUACAUGUUUUACAUUAUUCAAAUACACGAUUAACAUUUUUGAAAAGUUCUAUUUUUAUGUCUACUUUGUUCCAUACACAUUAUAUAUUUUUGUAUAUGUUUUCUCAUACACCGGAAACAUUUUCCUAUGCACAUUUAAAGUUUUUUAAAUACAAUAUCAAUAUUUUUCAAAAUAAAAGAAAAAUAUAUUAUUUAUUGUCCAUACGGACUGUAUAUUUUUUUGUAUAUAUGGGAACUUAUUUGUCUACAAAUUUGACAUUUAUUUAAUCCAUGAUUAACAUGUGUGUAAAGUUUGUCGAAAUAAAGGCAAAAGAGAAAAAAAAUUAGAAAAAGAAGAACAAAAACGGUUGUAGUCCACGAUGAGGAUUGAACCUGGGUCUCCUGGGUGGGGGACAAGGCACACCCAACCGGUUGGGCUAGCCUGUUCUUGUGAUAAAAUACGGAAUCACAGCCUUUAAAAUUGGAAAGGAAGAGCCGAAUCGAAGUCCAAAAAACGAAUCGUUCUUGUCACUUACGGAUGGCAUUGAUGGGUAAUUUUGAUGAACUUUAGGGGCAAAUUUAAUGACGUACCACAGAAGCAAUAUGUACUUUAUUAGUAGGUAAAGAUAUAUAUUACGUACAUGGAAGAUAUAUCUAUUAUAAAAAUUAGUCAAAUAGACAAAGCAUCUCAAACACAAUUAAAAUGACAUCAAAAUUUCGAGACCAUCGAGAAAUCACUAUUGCCGCUAAAACGAACCGACGUGUCGCUGUAACUACUUUUCUGUCGAAGCCGGUUUGACCUUGUCGAUGAAAGUCAGAAAGUCUUCCUAUACAUGUCCGUAAGGACUAUUUUUUCGAUCAAGACCACUAAGGACUAAUGCCCUGGAGCCCCAGUCAUUGUCGUUGAAUUCUUGCAUAGAUCUGAAGCACCUAACGUCAAAUCUCGUCACAUGACGAGAAAUUCUAACCUCACUGUCCUAAGGAGAUGACAGGAAUCUACGUUGGCGCUCCUUCAACUAUUUCCAGACAGACAAACUCGAAGAGGAUCAGAGCCAAGAAGAUAAACUUGAAGAAAAAGCGUUGCCAUCUGUCUGAGCGCCACAGCUGCGAGGAUUAAAAAACCUGAGUUAAAUACAUCACAUGUGACUUAACUUGUCCGUUGCAGUCAAUUUAAUGUCGAAACUUCUAAAAUACAUAAGAAUGGUGCUAUAACUUGUUUGCACGGCGCCUCGGCAUGUAUACCGCCGUAUAUGAUGUCCGGAUGGCGUGAUAGCUGGUGGCUGGCCUACAUGUUAGUGGGUGUAAGUGCCGAGUGAAAUGCAGGAAUUUUUUUUGCCGAAAACCGCCUAAGGUUUAGUUAAAUAUCAUAAAUAAGCACUUGAUUUGUAUGCGAAUAACAGCGAAAAAAUAACGUGCGUUGGUUUUUCGGUGAAUAGAACACGUCAAUGAAUGGGUAUUCAACAUGCUAUAUUCAGGCCACGUGGACUAACCGUAAGUACUUUAUGUACACAAGUUAGCUGGAAACUUAUAUAGUCAAUAUAUCGCUUUAUAAUUUUCAUUCUAUUUUUUCAAAGCUACUGUUUUUUUUAUUAUAAGUAAAUUUUCUCAUAUAUAAAUAUAAUAAUUAUCAAUAUGAGAAUAUUGUCCAUUUAAAUNGUCCAUUUAAAUCAUUUUCUAUGUUUAUUAUUGUGCAGUUCGAAGAGUUAUGUUGAUUUAAAUGGUUCAAUGUAUUUUAUAAAACAUUGUUUAAAUGUUUUUUGUAUCUUCUUUCAGGACCACAAGCACACACAAUUAUUGGAUACCUUAAUUGUAUUUUUAGAAUACAUAAUUAUUAAAACCGACAACAUUGUAUUUUGAGAACUUUUAAUGUGUAUUAAAAAUUACUCUGUACAAACAAUAUGUUCUAUAAAUGCGUUAAAAUAUAUUUUUAGAAACAUAAUAAUAAUUUUACAUAAUAAUUUUUAAUACAUGUUGAACAUUAUAUGAAAUAGAUGUUGUAAUUUUCGGAAUGCAUGACGAAUAUUUUUCAAAAACACGUUUACAAUUUCUAAAUAUAGUGAGAAUUUUUUGAAAUAUGUUGUUUUUUUAAAUGCACUAACAUUUUAAAAGUUUAUGACAUGUAAUAUGUUGAAUAGCUCUCUCUUUUGCAAACAUGAGAAUUUCUUAAUAUUUUUGAAUAGCUACUAUGAACAACUAUUUUUGCCAUAGUGGUUAUAACACGUGUGCAAGUUGUCCUCCCAUUUACUAAGUUUGAAUCGUUCGAGCGUACCCUUUUUUCUUGUUAUUAUUUCGUCCCACAUGCGGUGCUCAUACCUGACAUGUCGGAUCAAUAUAGUUCGGCAUAUUUAGAUAAAAUGUGAGGGCCUAAAGUACAAAGAGUUUUUUUUGUAAAACAACCAUCACACUCAUCUCACAACUAUCGACAUGCGGGCGAACAUCAUGCUGGCACGCCAUGUGGGCACUGUGUAUGCCUGAAUAAGGACGGAGGCACCACCGUAUUUAAACGCUCGGUUAAGUUAUGUCACUAGUUUCAUAUAUUUUAAAAGUUUAUGCAUCAAAGUGAUCGCGUCGGACAAGUUAAGGCGUCCAUGAUGUAUUUAACUUAAAAACCCUAACCUAUACUAUUAAAUGACGCAAAGGCAUCUGGAUUCCCCUCCUCGCCACCGGCUAUCGGAGUGGCAGGAAGAGGGGAUGUGAAUCCACGGGCUCGUCGGUUAAGUUUGAAGGAAAGAGUCUGCCGUAGCCGCUUAAGGUUACUGGAAGUGUACUGUUGCUGGUCAAAUUUGCCUAAGUUUUUGUUUUGUACUAGAAAAUUUGGUAAUCGCAGAGCGCUAAACUCACAAUAGUCCAAUUGAACAAUUACACUUGGAUAUGAUGCGCUGGAAGAAACCGUUUGUUUCACUUCUUUUUUUGCGGAUGAGAAACCAUUCGUUUCUCAACGUAGUUGUGUGGCACAACUCAUGUUUUAGUUUUCGAAAAAUUACAUGAUUACAUACAUCAUGCUCUCUCCAUGGACCAAUAAUUACACACUAUACUUAUUAAAGGUCAUGUUUGAAUCCUAGGGUUAGAGUUAGAGUUGGUUAGAUUAAACUCAUCUAACCCUCAAAAAUCCAAACAUGGUGGGUUAGAGUUGGUUAGAUGCAUCUAACCCACCCAAAAAAUCUAACCCACCCAAGAGGUGCUUUUUUGGGUUAGAGUUAGGUGGGGCCCAGAAAAAAUUACUUUCUCUCUCCCUCCACCACACAAAAUCCUAGAUAAAGGAGCCAAAUGAUUGAAAAAAGUGCAUUUGGCAAUCUAACCCUUUCAUCCAAACACCUCUUUGGUUAGAAUUAAUUUAGGUUAGUCUAGAGUUAGAAUCUAACUCUAACCUCUAACCGAGUUAGAGUAUCCAAACAGGGCCAAAGAAGUAUUGAAUAAUUUUGUCAAUAUGUCCAGUCUACCACAUUUCCCAAGGAAUACACGUGCGUGGAACCUCCUUGGGAAUUGCCGGCUCGCACAUUAUUCAUACCCCGAGGCCAGCUUUAAGAGCAAUUUUGAUCCCGAGGCCAGCUUUAAGAGCAAUUUCGAUCGGAUGAUCCAUUUCAUUCAUAUAUUUUUUUAUCUUUUUGAUAAAAAUAAUAAUCGAACAUAGAGAACUAUUUCUAUUUUGCAUCCAAUUAUAUCCGCAUGAAUCUAUUUUUGUUCUAAAUUGGCUUCACAUUUAGAUCAAAGGUGGACACAAAGAGAAUGUUUUCUGCGUCCUCUUCGUCCGCCUCUCCCUUAUGUACCGCAUGCAGCGACACAGUACGGCAUGUCUCCCACCACACCACGUCCGUCCUCCUCACCACCGCCACGCCGCCGGUCACCUGGCGGCUAGGGUUUGGCUCAUAGGGCGUUCACAGGAGAGACGCGAGGGGAUGUGUUCUUUUUGUCGAUCUUGAACAAAAUUAUGGUUCUUUGUCACUACUUCAGCAAAUGUCAAUUUAAUAAGCUAAGAAGCCCCUAAAUAGCUAAAUUCAAUAAGUUGAGCACACAAUAGUUCUCCUUGGACAUAACAGAGACAUAUAUGAGCACAACAAGAGAAUUAUCAUGCCAAUAAUAGUAAUACAAAAUUAUAGGAUCUCCAUAUUAAUAUCCACACAACUUGCAUAAGAACAAAGGUUAAAAGAAAUCCACACUGCAAUAAAAUGAAAGAAUAAAUACAACAUGAGGGAAAUCAAAUUUAAAAACAACAUUACGAGAGGUAAUCAAAAUAAAGAUCAAUGCACACACGAGAAAGUCGUGAGCUUAUUCUCAAUCUCAAGUGGUUAAAAACUUGCGAUGAUGUGAAUGGGUCAUAGGUUUAGUAGGAGUUGAUGACGCCACAUUUCCUCCUGAUCUCACCAUUGGCACUGGUCUUGACCUCGAUAGCACCCAUCCUUACCAUCGCUGCCUUGAACUUCUCCUCCCACACACCGUUGUCCUUAGCAUUAGCACGCACCGCUGCACUCGUAUCAUCUGCUUUCAUGAGCGCGGCAUCUGAAUCGAAGAGCACCUCAUGGCUAAGUACAUUCUUGUAGUACUUGUUGUCGACCUUGUUCGGAGUCUUGAUGUCCUGCACCACCGUGUUGUCAUUUCCGGUGUCUGACUUGCAUUGCUCCCGGAGAGAGCUCAUUAGCAUGGGGUCCAUGUCGGAGGUGCUUGGAUUGAGGCGGUCGGAGAAGGAUGAGUUGAAGGACGAGCAAUGUGAGAUUCCGAUAGUGUGUGCACCAGAGAGGGUGACCAUCUCGUCGGCAGUCAGCCCCUUAGAGGCAAAGUUGGCCUUGAGCUGGUCCACGGUGGCGAAGGGUGGUGGCAAGUUGGGGAGUGUCUCAUUACUUAAUGAAACAAGUCCAUCGUAACGGCCAGCUGGCAUGUCGAAGUAGACCUUCUUGUUGCUGAGGAAGUAGGUGGCAUCACGCCCAGCGAAGGCCACGACAUCAGCGCACGAGACGGCGUCGCUCCCACACUCCUUCUCGAUUCUGGCCUUGGCGGCAUCGAUCACCUCGAAGCCACGCAGGCUUAGGUUCGGGACGCCGAACUUCUCUGUUGGGCUGUU
rnacentral:lncRNA from 1 species